rnacentral:lncRNA from 1 species
AAUUUCACUCUUCAAUAAAUAAAAGUGGAAGGAAUCUUGGUAUUGCGUUCAUAUGGUAGACUCAAACAGAUACUAUAUAUAUGUGAGUGCUUGGUCUCCUCAGAAUUCAUAAGAAAAAAACAGCAGUUGCAAAGCCUCUCUUCUAUUACUUGCAGACCAUGGCAGGACGGUCCUUUCAACACCUUCUUAGCUUUCUUAUGCUUUUGCUGCUAUGUGCCAAACCUGGCCUGGGGAAUGUUACUGGGUGCAUAGAGAGGGAGAGACAAGCUCUCCUUCACUUCAAACGUGGCCUUGUCGAUGAAUUUGGCCUUCUUUCCUCUUGGGGAGACGACAACAGAGAUUGUUGCCAAUGGAGAGGAGUCCAGUGUAGUAACCAGUCUGGUCACAUCAUCAUGCUUCAUCUUCCUGCCCCGCCAAAUGAAGAAUAUGGUGAAUUUGUUAUUUACCAAUCUCUUAGAGGCGAUAUAAGUCCUUCGCUGCUUGAAUUGGAGCACUUGACUCAUUUGGAUCUCAGCUGUAAUGAUUUUGAAGAGAGGCACAUACCUCCAUUCCUUGGUUCCCUCAGCAGAAUGCAGUACCUCAAUCUCUCUCAUGCAUAUUUCGCUCAAACUGUUCCCACUCAACUGGGAAAUCUUUCCAACUUGCUUUCCCUUGAUCUCAGCAAUAAUUAUUUGAAGUUUGGGAACCUUGAGUGGCUUUCUCGUCUUUCUUCUUUAAGACACCUUGACCUAAGUUCUGUCGACCUUAGUAAAGCCAUCCACUGGUCCCAAGCAAUUAAUAAACUCCCUUCUCUCAAUUCACUUGGAUUUACAAAGUUGUGGUCUCCCUCCCAUCCCUCCACUCACCAUUCCGUCUCUUUCCCAUGGGAAUUCCUCUGUCCCUCUUGUUUUCCUUGAUCUCUCUUUUAACCAUCUCACUUCUUCAAUAUACCCAUGGCUGCUCAACUUUAGUACCACCCUCCUUCAUCUUGAUCUCUCUUUGACUGAUUUAAAUGGUUCGAUUCCGGAAUAUGCUUUUGGGAACAUGAGUUCCCUUGAAUAUCUUGAUCUCUCUUCGAAUCAACUGCAGGGCUCAAUUCCAGAUACAGUUGGGAAGAUGGUUUUACUUUCCCAUCUUGAUCUCUCUUUCAAUCAACUGCAGGGCUCAAUUCCAGAUACAGUUAGGAAGAUGGUUUUACUUUCACAUCUUGAUCUCUCUGUCAAUCAACUGCAGGGCUCAAUUCCAGAUACAGUUGGGAAGAUGGUUUUACUUUCACAUCUUGAUCUCGUUGUCAAUCAACUGCAGGGCUCAAUUCCAGAUACAGUUGGGAAAAUGGUUUUACUUUCACAUCUUUUUCUAUCUUACAAUCAACUGCAGGGCUCAAUUCCAGAUACAGUUGGGAAUAUGGUUUUACUUUCACAUCUUGAUCUCUCUAGCAAUCAACUGCGGGGCUCAAUUCCAGAUACAGUUGGGAAUAUGGUUUUACUUUCACAUCUUGAUCUCUCUCGCAAUCAAUUGCAGGGCUCCAUUCCAUAUACAGUUGGGAACAUGGUUUCUCUUGAAAACCUUUAUCUCUCUCAGAAUCAUCUUCAAGGUGAGAUUCCAAAAUCCUUGAGUAAUUUAUGUAACUUACAAGCAUUAAAGUUGGAUAGAAACAAUCUCUCUGGACAGCUUGCACCAGACUUUGUGGCCUGUGCAAAUGACACAUUAAAGACUCUGUCUUUAUCAGAUAACCAGUUCAAUGGAUCAGUUCCUGCUCUUAUUGGAUUUUCAUCCUUAUGAGAGUUACAUCUUGAUUUUAAUCAACUAAAUGGAACUUUACCUGAAAGUGUUGGACAGCUGGCCAAACUUGAAUCCUUGGAUAUUGCCUCAAAUUCAUUGCAAGGCACUAUCUCUGAAGCCCAUCUCUUUAAUCUAUCCCAGUUGUCCUAUUUAAACUUAUCUCCCAACUCUCUCACUUUCAACAUGAGCUUGGAGUGGGUUCCUCCAUUUCAACUGUUUGAUCUACUAUCAGCCUCCUGCAAAUUGGGACCUCAUUUUCCUAGUUGGCUUCGUACUCAAAACCGGUUGAGUGAGCUUGAUAUCUCCAAUUCUGAAAUUUCAGAUGUCCUCCCAGACUGGUUUUGGAAUGUAACCUCAACUGUCAAUACCUUGAGUAUUUCCAACAAUCGGAUCAAAGGAACCUUACCCAAUUUAUCAUCAACAUUUGAACGUUUUUCUAACAUAGAUAUGAGCUCAAACUGUUUUGAGGGUUCAAUACCACAACUUCCUUAUGAUGUGCAAUGGUUGGAUCUCUCCAAUAACAAGUUAUCGAGGUCCAUUUCUUUAUUAUGUACAGUUGGUACUGAGUUACUUCUACUUGACCUCUCAAACAACUCGUUGUCGGGAGGGCUGCCCAAUUGUUGGGCGCAGUGGAAAAGCUUGGCAGUCCUUAAUUUGGAAAAUAACAGAUUUUCUGGGCAAAUUCCAAAUUCAUUUGGCUCCUUGCGAUCAAUUCGAACACUACAUUUGCGCAACAACAAUUUAACUGGAGAAUUGCCUUUGUCUUUUAAGAAUUGUACAAGUUUGAGGUUCAUUGAUUUGGCAAAAAAUAGGUUAUCAGGAAAAAUACCAGAAUGGAUUGGAGGAAGCCUCCCAAAUCUGAUUGUUCUAAACCUAGGAUCUAAUAGAUUCAGUGGAGGUAUAUCUCCAAAGCUAUGCCAAUUGAAAAAUAUUCAAAUAUUGGACCUCUCUAGCAACAAUAUGUUAGGUGUUGUACCGAGAUGUGUUGGUAGUUUCAUUGCCAUGACUAAGAAAGGGAGCUUGGUCAUUGCUCAUAAUUAUUCAUUUACAGACUAUGAUAAUUGUAGUUAUUUCAAUUGCAUGCCUACAAAUGCCUCUUAUGUUGAUAGGGCAUUGGUUAAAUGGAAAGCAAGAGAAUUUGAUUUUAAAAGUACCCUUGGGCUUGUAAAGAGUAUUGACCUUUCAAGCAACAAACUAUCGGGGGAAAUUCCAGAAGAAGUAAUUGAUCUUGUAGAAUUAGUUUCAUUAAACUUAUCAAGGAACAAUUUGACUAGACUGAUUCCUGCAAGAAUUGGUCAAUUGAAAUCAUUGGAGGUUCUUGAUUUGUCUCGAAAUCAACUCUUUGGUGAAAUUCCAGCUAGCCUUGUUGAAAUAAGUGAUCUAAGUGUCUUAGAUCUCUCUGACAACAACUUGUCCGGUAAAAUUCCACAAGGUACUCAACUUUAAAGCUUCAAUAUUGAUUCCUACAAGGGAAAUCUUGCACUCUGUGGAUUGCCUCUUCUGAAAAAGUGUUCUGAAGUUAAAAUAAAGCAGGAUUCUCCCACUCAUAACAUUGAAGACAAAAUUCAGCAAGAUGGAAAUGACAUGUGGUUUUAUGUUAGCGUUGCUCUUGGAUUCAUUGUUGGAUUUUGGGGAGUGUGUGGAACUUUACUACUCAACAACUCCUGGAGAUAUGCCUAUUUCCAAUUCUUGAAUAAAAUAAAAGAUUGGCUCUACGUGAUUAUAGCAAUAAAUAUGGCUAGAUUACAAAGGAGUCUCCAAAGCUAAAUGGUACAAUUCUCUCCCUCUUUCCCUCUUUUUCAUUUGUACUUGUUUUUGAAGGCUAACAAUUGUCAAAGAAAAGUAGGCCUUUACAUAUCCUUGGGAUAUACUUUAUAAAUCAUGAAUGCUAAUGCAAAUUUUCUUUGCAUGCAACUAAUUGAAGGGAUUUUUUCAAAUUGAUGAACACUGAUUUUUACUUUGUGUUAAUUAUAGGACUGCAACUCUUGUUCUUGCCAUAUUAGCAUGGUUGAAUGCAAAUCGUUGUGUCCUUCCUUCUGUGAUUGAUCUUGGGAUGUAAUAGGUUUCUUGUUUUAUUUUAAGGAUUUCUUAUGUUCUUUAAAUGCAUAUUUUAUAUUAUAUUCAGAAAUUUCUGUGACAUAUUAUCUCUUUUCUUCCUUACAUAAUGCUUUUAUUUGGUAUUUUGGAUACUUUAUGAUUCAUCCAAACAAUAUUAUAGAAGGAUAUCAAAGGUAUAUUAGAGUCCAGCUUUCUAAUUUUAAAAAUAUUUCUUUAGCUCUAAAACUAAUUUGUAUUCAUUAAAAUUAAAACAAAAAUAAAGGAUAAUGCCAUUUGGUUAUGUAUGACAUAAGUUUUCAACCAAUUAUUAAUAAUCAAAUCAUAAUUUCAACACUAAAGAAAAAAGAAUUUUUUUUUCACAAGUUAUUAAUGAUCUGUUUCUCUCUUUCUAAAAAAAACUAAAUUACUCUAAUAAAUGGGAAACUCUUUCUUUCUUGUCAUCAAAGCUUUUUCACUUGAAGUUGUCUCACAUGCAGAUAAUUUUUGUGAAAUAUUUUGUUUUCAUCAAUUUUAUAGAAUAUUAAGUCUAACUUCUUUUCUUAAUAAAAGGUUUUUUUUAAGCAAUUAAAAAAAUCUCGUGUUAUUUUCUCUAUUUUAACAUAUUUCAACUCUAGGAUGACUAAAAUAUGAUUGAAAAAUAUAAAAUAAGAGAGAAUAAUUAUAUUCUAUAAAAGCCAUUAAGAAUCAAGUCCUAUCAAGUUUUUAAAGUGGUAAAAAUGAAAACUUUUAUAUUACCAUUCUUUUAUAAGUUUUUGUAUUUAUUAGUUUUUAUUUAUUUCUCUAUGAUAAAAUCUUUUAUCUAAAAUAUUUUUCAAUAAUUCUUUAUUAUGAUUUUUUAAAUUUAAAAAUAGAAAAGACUCUAAUUCUUAUUAAAAAUAUUAUUUAUAUUAAUAUUUUCUUCUAAGCUCUUUCUAUUGGAACAAGUAGUGACUAUGUAGACCCCUCAUUUUGGUUCUAGAGGAGACUUAAUUCUUUCUGGUUACCUUUCGUUCUGUUUUCGCCUUUUGGAAGGUGAGUUGUAAAAGACAGGUGGCAAAAGAGGAUAUUCUGGUGGCAGACUGUGAGGGUAAGACAUGUGGCAGUGAGGUUUUGGUUUUUCUGCUAGUCAUUUUAGAGUGAGUAGUGGAGUGUCUUGGUAGUAGGAAGAGCCGGGGGGUUGUUAGAGGGUAGUAGAAAAUGUCCUUUGCAGGGAUGACACGUAUUAGAGGGGAUAUAUUUUGGGUUAUUUGGUUAAAGGUGCCAAAACAAGCUGGUAUUUGGAAAAAUGACCUCUACCUUUUUAAAACCUGAAGAAUGACCCCUUUUGGACUAAAUUACCCCUGAAAAAAAUUAAAGAGAAACCUUUGAAAUUCAAAAGUGCAGAAAGAAAGAUAGAGAACUAACUAAGGGUUCUCUUUUGAAUGGUAGACUGCAACACACUCUUUGGUCUUCUAAUAUUUUUUUUUGUUUUUUUGUUUUUUUGCAAAUUUUCGUAUUACUGCUGAUUAUUUGUCUAAAAGGAUUCUAAAAGGUUAUUCAUUUGAUUAAAGUGUGAAUUUUUUUUUUCUCCAGUUUUUGAAAAAAUGCGGGAAAGGAAGAGAACGAAAUGAAGUGGAAGAGAACCAAAAAGGAUCUUGAAAAGUAAGUUUAUUACUUUGAAAUAGUUUUUUUUUUUAGAUUUUUCUCUUGUUGAUUUCACAUAUUCGCUUGAGGUGUGUAUUUUCUUUCUGCAUUGUUUCAGAAAAAAUAUGGGAGAAAGUAAUGGUUUAUACGUUCACUUUUUGUUAAGCAUAAAUAUAAGGGUUUUUCUUAAAUUUGUUAGCUUAUUCCUCUUUGAUCUUGAACUCUUAAAACACAUUGGUCUACCAAAGAAGAUAUCUAGUUGAAUUGAAAAAAAAAGUCUUUAAUUAGAUUUCUUAGCUAUUUUAUUUUGAUGUUUUGCUCUAGUUGUUAAGAUUUUGAAGCAUGGUGUUGUGACAAAUGCUUUGUUUCUAUAGUGUAGAAAAGUGACAAAUGUGUUUACCAAUUUGGUCUUCUAAAGAGUUGAAUCAUAAUAAGAGAAAUAGAAUUUGCCCCCAUUUUGAUAUCUCCUCCCUAGUGAUUAGAAGAAACAUUUCAUUUGUCCCAUAGGAAAAUGAAUUUGUUUCCUUAAACCCCCAAGUGGAGACAUUGAAGGUGUUGCUAAAGUCUUUUUUCAUAAGCAGUGUUGGAAGAAUGGUUUCGAUUUCUUUUCCAAAAUUCAAAACCCUUCUUUUAGAGUAGUUUUGGCCUUUAUCAUAAAGUGAAAACAACACUUCUUCUAUGAUUCAUGUCAAUUAUUCUCCUUUUGUGUUGCUUAACUUUUAAGUAAUGGAACCAAUAUGAUAUACAUGAAUAGUGUGAAACCAAGGUUUGGUUAAUCUUGAUUUUGAUGAUAACAAAACAAGGUUUAGAACUAAUGAUCAUAUUUCAAGUGUGAUUAGGCAAGACAACUUCCAAAGUGGUAAUCCAAAGACAAAUCAAGCCAAGGAGAAAUCAUGAAGAAGAAGACCACCUCAAAGAGAAGAGUUUUUCAAGACCAAAGCUUCUUAAGAUCUCUUUGUAAGGUUGUUGGUGCACUAGGACUUUCAUGUAUUUCAUUCUUUAUUUAUGCACCAAAAUCAUCCAAGAGUAAUAUUGUUUUAAAUAUCUUAAGAAUUGGAUGAUUUCAUGUUUUUUUAACUAAAACCUUGUGUUAAAUGAUUUUCAAACUUGUGUUAAAAGGUUUUAAGUUGAAAAAGGUUGAGUGUUGAGCCAAAAAAAAUGGCUCAACCGGUUCAACCGGUUGUGCUCGUCCGGUCGAGGACCGGUUGUGCUUCUCCGGUCGAGGACCGGUUGAGGGAGGCGAAAAAGUUUCUCUCUCUCUCAGUGGCCUUCUCUUCCCAGUCAAGGUUGAACCUUAACCGCUUGAGGUCCGGUCGAGGUCCGGUUGAGGCCUAACGGUCACUUUUCCUAACGGCUAGUCAACCGGUCAAACCCCCAACAGCUAGUUUGGCUUUUUUCUUCUAUAAAAAGACUCCAAUCUUCAUUGUUUCAUAAGCUUAACCUUCCCAAUUCAUUCUUGAUUAUAUUUGAGCCUUGGAAGAGUGUUUUUUGAGUGCACCAUUGUUUCAUAACUUGCAUAUCUUUAGUGCACCAUUAAAUCCUAGUUUUUUUUGUAUCUUUGAGCCUAAAGUUCUAUUACUAGGAUUUUGAGAGAUCAUUAUUUGUAUGUCUUUGUGAGGAAUUUUCUCAAGUGCGAGGUAUCACUUGAGGGGUUGUUCAAGAGUGGGAUAUCUCUUGAGAAGUGUAAAGGGUGCUUGGAGCCAAAAGUCCAAGAGGGUGAAUUGGAACCAUAAUCCAAUUGUAAAGAGAUUAGAAGCUUGGUUGAAGCUUCAAGAUAGUGGAACCCUCACUCGGUUAGGAGGUUGAGGAGAGUGGAUGUAGGCAAAGAAGUGCCGAACCACUAUAAACUCUCGUGUUUGCACUCUCUCUUCCCUAACUCUUUUAAAUUAUAUGCAAUUGUAUUUAUUUUGUUUAUUAUAUACUUGCAUAUAAUUGUUUCUUAUUUUUGCAUAGUUUAAAUUUGUGAAAAAGAGACCAUCACCCUAUUUACCCCCCCUCUAGGGUGAUUACCAUAGUUUGGAGUAGCCCUAUUUUUCUAACAAAUAGUCAUUCUUUUCUAUUAAUGACAAAAUUGGAGAUCAUUGUAGUCUUUGCCAAUUGGGUGUCUAGUUUUUUAGAAAUUUAGGGGAAAAAUUUGUGCCUAUUUGUAGUUCUUUUCCCAAGGGAUAGAAAGGUGGUUUAACUGAAAAUCUCAAUUUUCAUCAAACUAUUUGCAUCCCUUGCCUAUCUAUAGUCUCGAUUUCACUUGUAUAUAUUGAGAAGAAAAUCACUACUCUCCCUUAGAGGUAAACCAACAUUAAGAAGCACCCCAUCAAGGUCUAAACCCAGUUUGCUUUUACUAGAUCAUAAGUGACAUUUGCUAAAUUUGGGACCCAGUUGGUCCUACAAUGCAAACCACAACAUUGAAAUAGUAAUCUCUAACAAAAGUCAUGACAAAGAACAAUCCCAACUGAGGGCUGAAAUAUUACUCACAACUAAAAUAUUGAGUGAGAUGAUGCAUAUGCAUAGCUAGAAUACUUCUGCCAUAUGCUUUCUAUAAGUAAGGAUAGUCCUUUAGAACUUCACUUAUAUCUAGAUAUAGAUGCAAGGAAAAGCAAUAUGACAUGGAGUCAUGAUUAGUUCUUAAAAUUUAGGCAUGAAUAACCAAAGUGUUUGAACUCUUUAGAAAAUCAUGUGCAUUAUGCAAUCUCUUUAAUCAAUAAAAGAUUUAAAAGAAUUGAAUGAAAAAUGUAGUGUAAGUUUUAUCAAAAUGCAAAUUUCUAAAACUUGUUUCUAAGGUGAUGUAAAAUAAUGUUAUACAAUGGUCUUUAUUUUUUCUCUCUUUUAUAUAAAUAUACAUAUAUACUUAGUAUAAACUUAUGGAUUUUAAUAAGUAAAUUCAUGAUUUUAAUAAGUGGUCUAAGUGUCUUAGAUCUCUUUGACAACAACUUGUUCAAUAAAAUUCCACAAGGUACUCAACUUCAAAGCUUCAAUAUUGAUUCCUACAAGGGAAAUCCUGCACUCUAUGGAUUACCUCUUUCGAAAAAGUGUUCUGAAGAUAAAAUAAAGCAAGAUUCUCCCACUCAUAACAUUGAAGAAAAAAUUCAGCAAUAUGGAAAUGACACGUGGUUUUAUGUUAGCGUUGCUCUUGGAUUCAUUGUUGGAUUUGGGGAGUGUGUGGAACUUUACUACUCAACAACUCAUGGAGAUAUGCCUAUUUCCAAUUCUUGAAUAAAAUAAAAGAUUGGCUCUACGUGAUUAUAGCAAUAAAUAUGGCUAGAUUACAAAGGAGUCUUCAAAGCUAAAUGGUACAAUUCUCUCCCUCUCUCCCUCCCUUUCAUUUGUACUUGUUUUUGAAGGCUAACAAUUGUCAAAGAAAAGUAGGCCUUUACAUAUCCUUGGGAUAUACUUUGUAAAUCAUGAAUGCUAAUGCAAAUUUUCUUUCCAUGCAACUUACUAAAGAGAUUUUUUCAAAUUGAUGAACACUGAUUUUUACUUUGUGUUAAUUGCAGGACUUCAACUCUUGUUCUUGCCAUAUUAGCAUGGUUGAAUGCAAAUCGCCGUGUCCUUCAUUCUAUGAUUGAUUUUGGGAUGUAAUAGGUUUCUUGUUUUAUUUUGAUGAUUAUCUAUGUUCUUUAUAUGUCUAUUUUGUCCUUUAUUCAGAAAUUUGUGUAACGUAUUAUCUCUUUUCUUCCUUACACAAUGCUUUUAUUUGGUAUUUGGAUACUUUAUGAUUCAUCCAAACAAUAUUAUAGAAGUAUAUCAAAGGUAUAUUAGAGUCCGACUUUCUAAUUUUAAAAAUAUUUCUUUAGUUUAUUCAUUAAUUUUUUUUUUAAAAAGGAUAAUUGGUUAUGUAUGACAUAAGUUUUCAACCAAUUAUUAAUAAUCAAAUCACAAUUUCAACACUUAAGAAAAAAGAAAUUUUAAUCGCAAGUUAUUAAUGAUCUGUUUCUCUCUUUCUAAAAAAAUUAAAUUACUUUAAUAAAUGGGAAACUCUUACUUUCUUGUUGUCAAAGCUUUUUCACUUGAAGUUGUCUCACAUGCAGAUAAUUUUUGUGGAAUAUUUUGUUUUCAUCCAUUUUUUGCUUGUCUCAAGUUAACUUCGUUUUCUUCUUAGUGGUUGAUUUUAUGGAUCCAUCACUAAAUCUGAUUAUUAAAGAUCAUGCCCCAACUUUCUUUUGAUUCCACCCUAGUGUAGCUCAUUGACAAUCCAUGAAAUAGGGCUAAGAUUCAUUGAUGUUUCGUUUAUUUGUUCGUUUGUGCUUUGCCCCUGUUUUGUUCUUCCCUAUAUUCCUCUAUUUCUGGUGUCUCUGGGUGAGGAUACAAUAACUUUGGUCAGACAGUCUUUGAGAAGUAUACAGAUUCCUGGUAUCAUCACCAUUUUGUUGGCGUGUUGGAGAAGUAUUGCAUUGGACCAGGAUGAGAAGGUAAGAAACUUCCAGCUUCGGAGCAAUACCUUUGCUUUCUUACUGAUUUCCAAAGCUGGGACUGGAAAUCUGAUCACUAAAAAGAAUAGUGAGCAUUUCGGGUUGAAUGAGGGUCCUUCGAGAGUCUACGGAUGAUGGCCACUUGAUUUUGGAGUUGGGGAACGAAUUUUCUCACUACCGAUGAUAUGAGUGUCAUACUAGUUGCAAAACUGAAGAGAAGAUUGGGAUGUGAAAUGUGGGCAAAAUUACAUUUGACUGGCAUGCAUGUUGACUAGGGUAUCAAGUUCCACUGGAGAUCAGGUAGAGGCAAUGGCCUUUCUAGGGGGUUUUAGACAUAAAAUGUGCUUUAAUGGCAUGAGAAUUUCUGGGUCCCUUUCAUCUAGUACUGUUCAUUUGUUAAUUUGGAGACCCAUUUUUGGUUUUGUUGAGGGUUCUGAGUUGAAGCUGGCCUGUGUUCAUGUGCAAAGCUAUCUUAUAUUUGUUUUGUUGAUAGAAUGUUAAAAUCAUUAAGAGUGAUAGUUUACGCCGAGCCACAUUGUUCAGAAAGGAGAAGUGGUUUUGAAGGAAUCAAUCCCAUGAAGUAGUUGCCUCCAACAAAGAUUUGGGCAUUUUGCAUGAAUAUAGAGUGGUGAUAAUUGAAGGAGUCUGGGGCUCUGAGCAUUGACACUUGAAGAAUGGCUUCAACAGGGCCACCAGACUUUAAAGAGAUUGAAUUCCUCGUUAACAAGAGAGGGAAUCCAGCUGAUUAUCACCCAUCUUGGUACUGGAAAUGAAAUGGGCUGUUCCUGUGCCUACACGUCUUAUAAAGGGAAAACCAUAUUGUUUGACUCUGGAAUUCUUCCCACAUACACAGGCACGGUUGCUUUGCCAUACUUUGACGAGAUUGAUCUUUCAACCAUUGAUGUCCUUUUGGUGAUACCCUUUCACUUGGAUCAUGCUGCAUCCCUUCCAUAUUACCUGGGAGAAGACAUUUCUGUGCAUUCAGACAGUAACAUGAAAGCUCGGUUCCUGAAACAGCACUUGCAGCUGCAAUCAAUCAAGCUCUUUCCCACCCAAGCCCUUGGUGCAUGUGACUUCUUCUGCAUGGCCAACCAAAGUUUCUACAAAGCCCUCCAUCAAAAUCCUUCCUCUAUCCAAUCCAAAUCCCAAGCCAAACAACUCCGUGCCUAAAACCUGAAGACAAACUCACUAUCUCCCCAAUCUUCAUACCCACCAAAUUCAUCAUGACAUACCCACCACCAUCAGUUUGUUUCCCAUCACAAUACUCAACACAAUCACUCCUCACACCCUCUACCUUCAACUUCAAACCCAUCAUACUCUCUCCAUGAUCCUCACUUUCCUUUCUCUCCCUAACAUGCUCUUCAGACGGUAACCAUAAAUCAACCAGAAGCAGCUCCUGGGUGGGCCCUAGUGGGCUAACCUCUCUCAUCCGGUUUCUCAUCAUUGCCCAAGACGACCUUGACAUACCAGUAGCCACAGUUCAGCUAGUAGAUGCGUCCAUGUGUGACGUUACUUCCACUCAGCAUGAAGAGAAGUCCUAUAGUUUAUUGCAUCCAGUCAUCACAAUUCUUGAUGGAAAAGAACGAGAUAUUGCUUGUCUUGUUACUAAAGUCGAGGAUUUAAUAUUGGAAGAUAACAAUAUGAAGUUUAGGCUAAAAUGGAUGAUUCUAUACUGGUUUUCGUACCCGUUUAUUCAUCCAAAGACGAUAAGCUACAUGUGUGAAGACAUUGGAAUCAUCUCAAGAUCCCAAAAUAGUCUCCAUGCUAAUGGCAGUAGCAGAGCCAGUGGAGCCAUGGAACCUCAAGCCUCUAGGAGCAUAGGACUGUCGGAGGAAAAUUCGAUGAGAAGAAGCACAAGGUUGGAUGCCGCCUUCAACUGAGCAUGUAAUGCUAUUUAGUUCUUCUCAUUCUCAGCACCCAAAAAGCUAGAAGGACGAUUUGAGGUGACUCAAGUUCAACAAGCUGUGAGCCUAGGAAUGGCCCCACGUGCAUGAAGUUUCGCACCACCCAAGAGCACGUGGCCCUUUUGAAUCCGACAGUGUUCUUGUUUAUAAUAGUGAAAUAUUUGGAGGAAUUCAUGUUGGCAGCAACUAUAGAUGCUCAGAACUCAAUCUGGACACAACUAUAUUACUCAUAAACCUAUUGCUAAGAAAGUAAUAAUGGAAUACUGAAAAUGGCUUGCCAACCUCUGAUAAGCAACUUCUGGUAAUCAUAAAGAAGACGAGAUACGGAAUGGAAAUCAAAUCAUGGUGCCCGAGCCUUUGGGAAACUCCUCAUUACCAAAGGAGAGAGAACCUGUUAUUGAUGCCGAUAAGCUUUCUGUCACCAAUAUAUCACCAUCGGGAUGCUUGGCAAACCUCCUUGAAGACCACUCUGGUAGAAUUGAUGCUCUCAUAGUUAAACUUCCAAAGUGGGUUGCUACAUCUGCACUCAAUCAGUUCAUGUUGUUAAAGGCUGAUAAGCUUGACAAGGCAGAAGCUCCUCAAUUGCCUAUAUGGCCCCAUCAUGCAUUCCCACAAGUUGACACAAAUCCAUGGUGGUGCUUAAGGAUCAGAAUCAGACAUAGCUUAGGCACGCUGAAGAUUGCUAGAUGAGAAGCAGUAUCCAAGCAUGGUGAUUGGUUUAGAGGCCCAUCUACCAAAAAUCUGAAGACUAAAUGUUUGGGAAGGAUUAAGUUGAGGUAGGCCUACAGUCAAAAAGCUGAAAAGCAACAGAAAACAGGUUGUGAUUGCUUCGGGGAGUGAUUGGGGCAUUUAAGCAAAGAUUCCCUACUAUCCUGAUGAGAAUCAGUAAGGCUGGAAAGACCAUGCUGAUGAAUGUUCUAGAAGAAAGACAAGCUAGAGGUCAUAUUGAAAGGAAACAUUAGAAUAUCUGGGUUCUCCAAGCAGCAUUAAACUUUUGCAAGAAUUUCCAAUUGAGCAGAAUGAUAUCCACUCUCCUCCAGUUACUGUUAUUGAAUCUUUGAUCUACUCAUUUCUUUCCUGGAGCUCAUCUUUUAACUCUUUUAUCUUUGUAAGGAUUUACAUGCUGCCUUAAAUUGAGUUUUCAAAACUUUUCCAUUAAAAUAAUUCCUCUUUUCUAAUUUCAUCCUUAGGAGUUUCUAGGUAAUAAAUUUUAGCUUUCAUAAAAGCUUGCUGCCGUAUUUCACUCCGACAGGCACUUCUUAUCAUCUCCCUUGUCUUUUUUAACAAUUUUCUUGAUUUUUAAUAAGCACGAUUAAAUUCUCUAAUUCUAGAAAAUGGAACUUAUAGAAUUAAUUCCUGCAAAAAUAAUUCGGGUAGUGGUGGGGCUCAACAUACAUGUUAUUCUCUUUUGUGGAUUAAUUCUAAUUGAUAUGCUCAUUGAAUAUUGACUGACUUUGUGUGACAUACAUGUGAUUAAUUCCAUGAUAGCACAUUAUUGAUUCGCUGCUCAGGUACACAUCCUAUCUUUUCCCAUCUGUUUGAUCACUAUCCAUUGAGUACUUUGACUAUAGUAUGUCUUUGAUCACUAUUUGGUAUCCACGAUUAAUCGGUUAAUUGUCGUACAUGCCUCAACUUAAUUAGUAGAGACCCAUUUUUAGGGGCUUAGAGGGUUGUUACAACUUAUCACCAUACCUUCUAGAUAGGUAACCUAACCCUCGGACCUAACCCGGUUUUUCCAAAAACUAUUAUUUCUUUUAAGAGUCACACUUAGGGUUUUUCUUUCUUAUUUUGUUUUUCCCUUAAAAAAUUAAACAAAAAUAAAUAACAACUCUUUAAAUAAUUUUCAAAAAAAUCAAAUUUUCAAAUAAAAAAUGAGUCUCGCCAUUCGUGUGGGGAUGCAUGAGAAAAAGGCCGGUCCACAGACUGACUUUCUUGUGAAGGCAAAUUGAAAGUGAGGACCAUAGUUUCAAUGGUGCUAACCUCAAUAAAAACCAACCUCAUUAAACCUCGUUGGUAUAGCCACAUAGAGUUACUUUCUAAUUUUCUCAUUUUUUUGGGCUCAAAACUAAUCAACUAACAACUAUUAUCAUAUAAUUAUUUGUUUAUUUAUAAAUAUAUUCUAAUAAUAAAAUAAAAUAUUUGAUUAACAUGUUUGAGAAUACCUAUAAAUAUUUAAAUAGUACCAAUGAUAAUAUCCAUUAAGGAUUAUUAUCUUAAGUUGCUUACUUUAUUUUUGUUAUACACUUAUAAUGACCCACUUGCCAUAAACAAAGCUAUUAAGUUCAAGGUACAUAUAGGUUAUGUUUGGUUCUUAGAAAAUUUGAAAGAAAAUAUAAGGGAAAAAAAAUAGGAGGGAAACGUAAAAGAAAAGAACAAUUGAAGAAAAAAAAAGAAUUUAAAGACAACAAAUUAUUUUUAUAUGACAUUUCAAACUUAUUUAACUUAUUUUAACUCUUCGAUAUAAAGAUAAAAUAAUUUGAAAAUAUAUAAGUUUUUAAUUAAUUUUAAUUAUAUUUGAUUUUUUAGAGGACAACCAAACAUAAGAAAAUCAUUUUUCUAAACAUUUUUUUCUUUUCUUUCCUUAAUACUUCUCAAAAAUCAAACAAAACCAUAACAUAUUUUUUUUAUAAUAAAUCUUUAUUCUUUAUUCAUGCAAAAUUCCUUUACUGACUUGAGCAUAGGAGUUAUAUAUAUAUAUAUAUAUAUAUUAUUAUGAAAAAUACUUGUAAAACAUUAUUAUCAAUUUCCUUGUUAGAAAAGCCAAUAUUUUAUCAUAUUUUAGUUUUCAUUUUAAUAUUUCAUUAUCACAAAAAUAAAAAUAAAAAUUAAAACUACAACUGUUUUACACUUUACCUUUAAAUUAUAGUUUUAAAGUUGAAUUUACUUAUCUAUUUUUAAUUUAAUUGUCUAAGCCUUUAAUAUAAUUGUUUUUAGGUUGUUCUAGGUCCUUCAAGUUUCAACUGCAACUAGGAACUAAUCGUCCCAAGGCUGGAGCCACAAACCAUUGAAUUGGGCUCGAAUCCCAUAUCUUGGGCCUAUUAAUGAGAGGCCUACCCUUUUUCCUUUACAAAAGACUAAGUUUGCCACCAAGCCCAUAUUCUUUUAUUGUUUAGAUUUGGAUCCUAACAUGCUACCCUUCUUUAAGUCCCAACAUUUUCAAGCCCAAAGUCUCAACCUUGUUAAAUGUCAUAAGUUCUCUAAGUUGAGGUUGCCUCUAGAAUGCAAUUAAUAAUAUUAAAAUGUUAUGAUUAAAAGAUAAUUAAUGAUAACAAAUAUAGGUUAUGAAAUUUUAAUAUCUCUAUUCUAAGAACCUAUAAAUAGAAUAACAACUUGACUAAUAUUAAAAUAUAUCAUUUGUAUAGAAAUGUAUCAUAUUUAUAGCUUGUUGAAUUUUGAAUAUCUUUGUUAUAGUAACAUAUAAAUAAAAUAAUAAAUUUUCCGAUAUUAAAAAUGUAUAUUUAUUUAGAAAGUAUGUAUAAGGAAAAUGAUAAAUUGACUAAUCAUCUUAAAAAUAUAUUUAUUUAGAAAACAUGUGACAUUUUUCUCAUCAUAUUCUUCAUAUUUGUAAGAAAGAUAUCAAAAGCAUCCUAAAAAUUAAAUCUAUUAUUCACUAUACUUUGAGAAGUAUCCUAAAAAAUUUCAAUGCUAGUUUACAUGCAUUCUAUAUCAACUUCUUGUUAGAUUGCUAGUGCACCUCAUGUUCUGCAUCUAGCAUCCUAAAAGUUUUCAUAAUGAACUUCAAAAUGAAUUUUCAUGUUAUUUCCAUUUCCAAGUCAAGGCCAAAUACAUAUUAAAAUCAAACACACAUAUAUAACUAAAACUAAAAGGUUUAAAAGGCUUAUUUAUGCAAAACAUCCAAAUAUCUCGAAACAUCUUCUUUUCUUUUCGUUUGUUAAAUGUUUCAUAGAGAGAAAGUAGAACACCUCAACCUGUGACAUGGGUCCUUCAAAAUGAACAAUGUUAGUGGAAACUAUAAGUGUAUUUUGUGUAUUGGAAAUUUCGAGUCAAUCAUAGCUCAUAUUUUUCAAAUCCUCUCUUGGACACUUGCCUUUUGCAAAUUAUUCAUGUUUGAAGAUGGCUAAAGGAAUUGGUAAGUGCAUUUGAGGUGAUGGAUGAUGGUAAAAAAUGAUCAAUCAUAUUUUAAUUUUAUAUCCUUUUAUUGAAAAAUGAAAUUGAAGCUUAAAAGUGUAAAACAUUGUGUUUAAAAAAUUUGGAUCGAUUUUUGUUAAUCGAACUAAAGAGUAAUAGUUUAUCCUGAACCCAUAUUUUUCAGUCUUGUCCGAUCGAUCAUAUUUCGAUCACACUUGUGAAUUUUUAUAAUUUUUCAAACAAAUCUCAAUCAAUUGAUGAGUUUCAAAACCCUAAUACUUAACAUCUCUUUCCAGACGUGGAGAGAUGACUGUGAGGGUAAAAACCCUGGUUUUUGAGCUUCAAGAUUCUCUUACUAUAUUGGGGAGUGUUUGCCUUAUGAGAUAAUUUAUGAGUUUCAAUUGAAAAUCAGUUUUUGAGUAAAAAAUCUUUAGUUCCAAAUGGGUUAAUUCAUUGUCUUCUUCAUCCUAUCUCUCAUAUUGCUCUCAUAUCCAACUUAUUGGGGUAAAACCUAAGAUUCUUCCUUUGUGGACUUAAGAAAAGGCUGAGAUCAAAGCUUUGAGUGAAUUUCAAGUAUUUUCUUGAAGAAGAAUGAUGGUAGCUAAAGCUCAAAGGUUCUAGGCAAGUGGUCUGAGAAAGAAUGAAAGACUUAGGCUAGGUAAAACCUUGUACUCAACUAUUUUUUCUUCAUAGUGGAUUAUUUGAUUGCUUGAGGCCCAUGGUUUUUUUUAUCUCUUUAGAGGUUUUCCAUGUUAAAAAAAAAUUGGUGCCAUUUCCUUUCCUUUCUAUUUUAUCUUCUAAUUAGCAUUUCAUAAGCUUAUGAUAUUUUUCAUUGUGUUAUGGCAAUUGAGUUAAUUAGAGCAUGAGCUAAAAUGCAUCUAUUGAAUCUUUGAAAGAACAAGAUAUAUGUUAGUUUUUGUUGAUUGAUGACAAGGGGCAUGUGAACAAAAGUUUUUAUGUUGAUGCAAUGUUUAAUAUAUUAGGUUUAGGGAGUGUUGUCUCAUUUGCAUGUGACUUGCAUUGAAUAACUUGUUUAGGAGAGUGUUGGUGCAUCCAUUGUUGCUUGUGAUUCGCUUGUUUGUUCAUAAAGUUGAAAAAAAAAAUCAUUGUAUAACGGAAAAACAGGGAAAUUGUGAGCAUUUAUGAGAUACCUAUCUUAUUGUUUUAAAAAACACCUAUUCGCCCCCUUCUAGGUGUUAUCCAUAAGUGAGAUUCAUCUUCAAUUGGUAUCAGAGCGAGUUUCAAAGCAAAAAUCAUUAUCGAUCCGUGAAUCUCAAAUAUGGAACCUCAUAAAGAGGGUGAUUCAAUUGGGAGACCCCUCUUUUUAAUUGGCGAAAAUUAUUCUCAUUGGAAAGUGAGAUUACAAUAUUUUCUCAAAAUGCAAAGUGAAAAAGUAUGAAAUACCGUUGAAUUUGGUUUGCCUCCACCAAAUGUGUUGGAUAGAGAAGGUAGACUAACAAAUGUGAUCAAGCCUAAAUUGGAAUGGGAUAGAGGUGAAAAUGAAGCUAGUGAGAACAAUGCUAGGGCCAUGGAUUCCAUCUUCAAUGCCAUUAGCACAGAUGAAUUCCAUAGGAUUACUACUUGUACCUCAGCUAAGGAAGCUUGGGACAUCCUCCAAGUGACUCAUGAAGGAACCAAUGUUGUUAAAGUUUCUAAACUUCAAAUGUUGACUUCUAGGUUUGAGACAAUUAGGAUGGAAGCUCAUGAGAAUUUUGGAGAGUUUCAUGCAAAAUUGACGGACAUUGUGAAUUCUAGUUUUAAUCUAGGUGAACCCAUCCCUAAUUCCAAAGUGGUUAGAAAUAUUAUAAUAUAUCUUUCAGAGAGAUUUAGAGCAAAAGUCACCACCAUUAAAGAGUCUAAAGCUGUGGAUUCCUUGAAAAUUGAUGAACUUGUAGGUUCCCUCCAAACCUUUGAAAUGAUUCUUGUAUUACCUGGGAAAGUUAAGGGAAUUGCUUUAAAAGCCAUUAAAAAAGAGUCUCUAAGUUUCGAAAGUGAGGAUGAUGAGAAAAUGUUAGAAGAUGAGCUUACUAAGUUUGCUAAAAAAUUCAAGAAAUACAUGAAAUUCAGAAAAUCCAAGAAUGAAUCAAAUGAUGCUAAAAAAAAAUGGAGGAACUCAAUUAGAAAAAAGAAAAAAUUGGAAAAAGAUGUGAAAAAAGAGUUGGAAAUUGAGUGUUUUAAAUGUGGGGGAAAGGGUCACCAUGCAUUUGAAUGUCCUUAAAAGAAAAAGAAUAAUAAAGCCAUGCAAGUUACUUGGAGUGACUCCGAGUCUAAUCGAACAAGUGAAAAUGAAUCAAAUGAAUAAGAUGAAUGCACUAACUUCAUAGCCUUUACUGCAACUAUCAAAGAGGAACCUCUAUUAAAAGAAGCCUCAAGUGAGUUAAAGUGAGUCAAGUGAAAGAAUCCAAUGAUGAUGACAUGUGUUUUGACACAACAUAUGAGAUUUUUUAUAAGGAGUGCUUAAGCCUUAAAUAAGACAAGUCAAGUAGACGACUUCUAAGAGGAUUUUAACCAAUGAGAUUGAUGUUUUAAAGAGAGAAAAAAAGACUUUGCUUGAUAAAAUUACAUUUCAUAAAAAUGAACAUUUGGAAGUGAAGAAAAAGUGUGAUGUGUUGAAGAAUGAAAGUCAAAUGUUCAAGGAUGAGUUAAGCCUUAGGAAGGAAGAGUAGUAUCCUAGCUUUAAGAGACUUAAUGAGUUGAUCAAUUCAGGGAGAAAAUCUUUUGAUAGAAGAGGUCUAGGAUUCGUUGAUGAAAAUGUUACUCUAAGUAACGAUAAGAUAGUUUUUGUUAAGCCUUGUGAAGAAAAAUUUCCUAAGAAAACUCUUUCUCAUAUCAAGUUUCAUUGCACUCAUUGUGGAAAAGUGGGGCACACUUUUGAUAGAUGUUAUACAAGAUUGUUUGAUAAUUUUCAAAGGAAAUUGACCAACCUAAUGAAUGAAUGUCAUGCAUUGAAGGAUAGGUUGUUGAAUGUGAACAAGAGAGUGUCUAUGAAGUCUUCAAAUAUCCCUUAUAAUGGUAUCUUGAUAGUGGAUGUUCACUCCAUGUGACUGGAAAUAAAUCUUUUUUCAGAUCACUGAUUUUGAUGGAGGAAAUGUUACAUUUGAGGAUGGUAAUGUGGCUAGAGUGAAAGGAAAAGGCUUUAUAUGUGCUUCAGGUAUUCCUAAGCUUGAAGAGGUCUUAUAUGUGGAAGGUUUAAAGGCCAACUUAAUAAGCAUAAGCCAAUUAUGUGAGAAUAAUCUUAAUGUCCAAUUUUCAUAAAAUGUGUGCAGUGUGUUUGACUUGAAUGGUGAUUGUGUGAUGAUUGACUUGAAAACUUGUAAUAAUUGCUAUGUUGUUAGUCAAAAAGCUCUUUCCUCUUCUUCUCUUGUGUUUGAAAGUUCUAAAAUUGAUUUUGUUGAUCACUUGUGGCAUAAUAGAUUGGUUCAAAAUGAAAAAAGGUGUGUCAUUCUAAAGAUUAGGAGUGAUAAGGGAGAAAAAUGGAUGAUGUUGGUGUCAUUCAUAGAUCAAAGAAUCAUCUUCAUCAUUUUAGAGGCAAACUCACUGCUGACACUAGACAUUGCUUCAAUAAAGACUUGGUAGAAGACAAACUUGUUUCCUUCAAAUAUGUUCCUACCGAGUGUCAAAUAAUUGAUAUCCUCACUAAGCCUUUGGAUGUUUCUAGGUUUGAGUCACUUAGGAACUCCAUAGUCUUAUGUUUUCUAAGUUGAUUGUCUUUAAGGCCUCUCUAUGACAUCCCUUCUUUGUAAAUUCUUUCUUCUUAGAGGUUUCAUAGGCUUAUUGAGUCCUUGUGUUGCCUUGUUUUUCUUUUCUCAUGGUUCUCAUUCUUGUUUUUUUUUUUUGUUUUGGUAUCUCCUUAAACCCUUUUUCCUCUCUAGUUUAAACAUAGAUGUUUGUUUUUAUGAGGACUUGACAUUGUUUUCUUUUUAGCAAAUGGUUAUUUCGUGUCAUAAUGAUCCAAAAGUAUUCCAAGAUAUGAAAAUCCUUCUUGUGUUGGUGUGAGAUGGAGCAUAACGUGCUUAUUGUUUAGCUUUGCUUGGAUAAGCUACAACAUACUUAUUUCAUAACCAUUGAGUAAUUAACAACUUGUGGAGUGAUUUAUGAUUUCAUAAAAACUGAUAAAUGAUUUGUAAAGUUCAAUUGUGGGUCUAUAUCAUUCAAUGUGCCUUAAAGUAUGAGUAAAGCCACAUGAAUCUUCUUGAGAAUUUGAAUUUGUGUAUCUUGAUUGUUUACACUCUCCAAAAAAAAAAAUUAUUCAUUUCUCGGAAUGGUUAAAGCACCAUGGCAAUGUUUCAAGUGUAAAAAGUCUCCAUUAAAAAAGUGGGGCAUCCCUUUAUGUUUGUAAUGACAUAUUUGUAAUGGCCACCUUAGUGAUCUUAAAUUCAACAAUCUAUCCUAAGUGUGUUUUCAACAUGUUAUCAAAACAAAUUAAAAAAAAAAACAACAAGAUGUGAUGUUUGUUUGCAUUUCAAGGGAUGUAUAUUUAGUCAAAGAAUGUAUUUUUUACUAUGUUAAAUAGAAAUCUGGUCAAGGGAGAUGUAAAUUGACUUUAAGAGAAAUAAAUUUGAGUUUCUUUAGGGAUGGAUAUGAUUUUGAAAUUUUUUUUUUUUUUGGUUCAUGGAUAUCUAUAGCCUUAUAAGUUGAGAUUAUUUAUCAUUUUUAGUUUGUUAUGGUCUUAUGAGUGUACUCUUUAAGCCAAAAAUCGUUUGAUGGAGUGUUAAUAAUUUCUUGUUUUAUUUAUCCUUGUCAUAUGAGAAAUUGAUGAGUUUCUGUAUAUUUCAUGCUUUGUCAUUCAAUUCAAAAGUCUCUCGUUGACAUUUUUUUUAUUAUUAUUAUGCAUUUUAAUGACCAAAUGCUAAAUGCUUUUCACUUUGAGCUCUAAUGAAUUUGUUUCUAAUGUCUUUUUUCAUUUUUCUUAAGAUUGUACAACUUUUUUUACUCAUUUUUUGUUGAUUUUUUUGUCAUAUCUUGAUCAUUGGUCAUUUCAAUCAAUUGUUUUUUCAAGAAAAACCGAGUAUUGUGAAGCGUGAUUGAACUGUGAACGAUCAACUUUUGAUCAACUAUGUUUUUCUAACCUUGGCUGAGAACUAUAUUAUGUGAUUGAAAUGUAAUUGAUCGACUUUCGAUCAACCAUGUUUUGUCUAACCUUGGUUGAAAACUAUAUUAUGUGAUUGAACUUGGAUCGAUCCAUCUUCGAUCAACUAUGUUUUUGUUGGCUUGACUAACAAUUGUAUUGUGUGAUCAAAUUUAUUCUCUAGUGCUUUAAAUAAAAAAAAAAUCAAAAGCAAUAGAUAAAAUACAUGUUUAAAUGGAAAGGAAAAAAGUGUUUUUCCAUUUCAAAACCAAAUCCCUAAAUUUCUUCAAAUCCUAGCUCCUUCCAACCCACUUUUCUCUCAAAACACUUUUUGCUCGUCACUUUCUCUUCACCAAAGCAUUCAAAGUUUUCCAUUGCUCUUCUCCAUGGGUGGCUUCUAACUUCUAAAUCCUUCUCACAUCUCUCCAAGAAAGCGUGUUUUAUUGUGGAUUGUGGUGUCGAUGGCUAGUUGUUCUCCAUUGCUAGAUAAGUUUGGUUUUUCUUUAAAUCUAAGGUUUGAUUAGGGAAGAUUUCUCAGGAUCUCUCAAAUUCUUAUUUGUAUGGUUCGUAAGUUGAGUACUUAUUCACCGAGUAUAUUCCAAUGGAGUGGUGGAAUUAUCGAAUUCCAAUGGCAAAGACAGCUUCAAAGUCAAUGGAUAUCGUCUCAAGCCAUUCAUGGAGCCAUUCAAACUAGAAAAGGAGGCAAUCAACCUCCUUGAACGUCAAAAAGCCUAAGUGAAAAAGGGUUUGCUGAACGUGGUUUUACCAUAGUUCAGUUUGUAAAUUUUGUAAAAUUUCAAGUUUUUUUCUGUACAUUUGAUCUUAGUUUUUGAUCUUAAAUCAUGUUUCUAGGUGUGUUUUAAUUGUUUUGAAUGAUCCCAGGUGGAAGAAAUUUCAAGGGAAUUGAAAGAAAAAAAAAUCGGGUCGAAAUCGGAGCAGAAACAGAGCAAAAACAGAGGAAAAGCAAAGCUCUGCGAAAUUUCGCAGAAUGAAGAAAACCUCUGCGAAAUGAGCAUUUUGUUGCCAAAUCAUUCCGCAACACUUUAGGAUUCUCUGCGAAAAUUUUCGCAAUUGCGAAAGUGGAAAUGGCACACGAGUGCCACUUCGCAGCACAGGAGCAUCAGUUUUGCAGCUGCGAAACGCAUUGCGAAGUGGAAAAACGUGAUUUCGCACCAAAAGUCCCAUUCCGCAGCGUAAUUCGCAAUUGCGAAAACGAUUUUGGCACACGUGUGCAACUCCGCAGCACAGUAACAUCAAUUUCGCAGCUGCGAAACGCACUGCGAAAUUGCUGCGAAAAUGGCAUUUUGCUGCGAAAUUGGCGUUUUAUUGCGAAACUCAAACUGACCCUUAGGCUUCCGUUUUUCCUAUUUAUACCGGUCAGUUGAGCUGCGAAAAGGGUUUCAAAAAUCAAAGCACCAUUUUCGCAGCCUGUUCGUCUUCUUCAGUGAGCCUCGCCGUCCAACUUCCGGUCAUCCUCUCCGUUCAUCAACGCCGGCCAAAGUUCGGUAGCCCAAAAUGGCGCGAACGCGAGGAGCUAAGUCUUCAUCUCCUUCGAACCGCAAAAAGACGCUGCGAAAGGAGCCACUUCUAGAUUCUGCUCCAGAGCCUUCGUCGUCAAAACCAAUUCCACCUCCGGCGAAGCCCGCGCCACCAAAGCCACCGGCAAGACGAUAUUUAACCAGGUCAGGAGGUCGACCAUUACAAAAGAAGCCAAGGGUUGAGAGCUCAGAACCCAUCGAUUUGACUGAACAAUCCCUUGAGCAAUCCCCAGAGCAGUCACCGGUUCAAACUCCGGUAUCCUCACCAAAUCCUUCUUCAGUUGCAACCCCAGUUCCCUCGCCAGUUCAGUCGCCGGUACCAUCUCCGGCGCCGCAAAAAAAAUUGAAGAAGUCUCAAGCGCCACUUCCAGAGCCCCAAAUUCAAUCUGAAGUAGCUCCGGAAGAAGUGAUCAGAAGGCCAAUGCUAACUCAGCCCCCAAUAGAGGGAAAUUUGGAUUGUCGAUCUUGGCCAUUCCAUUCCGACUUGUGUUUCGAUAUAGCAGCAUUCCAAGUGAGGCCGGAGCUAGCCCAAUCAUUCCAGCUGCUGAGGAGGUACCAUAUGGAGCAUCUGCUAGCUCCAAGAGAUUUUUUUCUACCCCCGGAUAGCAAUGGAUUUCUACCAAUCCAUGACAACCAAAGAGGUUAGAAAUCCAACUUUGAUUCAUUUUACUAUUGAAGGAAGACAUGGUGUAUUGGGAGCACGCCACAUUGCUGAAGCCCUGCAAAUUCCUUUUGAGCCAACCCAAUUCGAUAAUUUUAGAGCUUGGGCCAAUCCUACUGAACUGGAGAUGGUGCGCACCCUUUCCAGAGGAGCUGCAAAUCGAUCACAUCUGCUGAGAGGGGAGCUUCCUCCAGUUAUGUUUUUGAUUGAUGCCUUUUUGAGGCAUAAUAUCUAUCCAUUGCAGCAUUGGACCCAAAGAAGGGGAAUCCUCUUGGAAGCUCUUUACAAGAUGUUAGAAGGAUUUUUCUUUGGGCCUCAUCAUCUGAUCCUGACAGCCCUUCUCUAUUUCGAAGAGAAGGUUCACAAAAAGAAGCUUCAAAGAGCUGAUUGCAUUCCUCUCCUAUUUCCAAGGCUGCUAUGCCAAAUUCUAGAGCACUUGGGAUACCCUGCUGAGCCUCAGCUGGAGAGAAAGCAAAUUUUCCGUGAGCCAUUCACCCUAGAUAAAUGGAAUAACAUGACGGCCUACAAAGUUGAUCAGCCUUCAGAGUCUCAUCCUCCAGAGCCUGAAACCCCAGCUGAUGCACCUACUGAAGAGGCAGCAGAUCCAUCUGCCUAGUUCUAGCCCCAGCACCACUCAUCAGACUACUAUCUAUCUAAUAUUUCUAUGUAUUUUGUUUUUUUUUAGUUGAAAAGAAAUCCCAGUAUUUUGGUACUAUAUUUGGGAUUCCUUGUGAUUACUUGUCUUUUGCACUGUACUUGAAUCAACUGAAAGUAAUACAAGCUGAAUAUUUCUUAUUAAAAGUUAGCAUUAAAUUUUCCUUAUUUCCUUUUCUCACAUAUUCUAUUCUUUUUGAAACAUGUGGUUUUCCCCAAUCAAUAUUCGAAUUUGAUAUCAACCAGGAGGUACCACUUCCUCCCUUUAAUUACAGUCACUCAAAUCACAUUGAGGACAAUGCUCAGUUCGGUUGGGGGGUAUGAGGAAGGAAGUAUGCUAAAUCUUUUUGGUAUUGCAAUCAUAUUGGUUAAGUAGUUGUAGUUUUACUUUUUACUUUUGUUACUCUAUUCUCUAUGAAUUUUGAGGAAAAAUUUUCAAAUUAAACCAAGAGAAAUUGAACUAUUGUUUUUCACUUGACUUAGAGUAUGGAUUAUGCUUACUAAAGUGGUUCAAUUGUUGAAACUUCUACUGAAAUUGAAUUUAGUUCUUCCACUUUAAGCUAUUCACACACUGUGCACAUUAGAUUCCGAUUAUAAGAUGAAAAGCUAUUUCCCUCUUGACUUAGGAUAGUUUUGGGACUUGGUAUAUUUGACCUCAUUUGAUAAAAAUUGAAACACCUUGCAAAAGGCCAAUGAGCCUUUGAAAUAAAGAAAGUUGUUUGCUUGCCUUGAAACCCGAGCAAGGUCUGAGGGGUAUAUGGUGAAAAUCUUUAAAGCCUGGUGCCCUAAGCCUUAAAUGGUUGGGAGACACCAACCUCAAUGCUCGUUAUAAGGGUGAAUAGGUAGAGUUAGCAUAUGGUAGAUGUUUGGGUAUUAGAAAUUCAUUCUUAAAAGUCCGGGGAAAAAUCCGAGGAGUUAGUGGUUGAAAGAUCCUUAAAGCUUGGUGCCCUAAACCUUAAGUGGUUGGGAGUCAUCGAUGGACCCCCAUUACAUGGACAAGUCAGAAAGAGUACCCCAUAAAGCUGCCUUCUAAAAAAAAAAUAAAAAAAAAAAAAAAGUUGUGUUCUUUUCUUAUUGAUUUUGGUCAGAUUACUAAAGUUUUGAAAAGAAAUAGGUUGGGGGGUGAGAUUAGUUUAGCAUAUUAUUUUCGGAACCUAAGGAACCAAUACACAUAGAUUUUUGUGGAAGAUUAAAGUUUGAUUCUUAGAAAGUGGAAAUGAUUUUAAAACUUCAGUUUGUAUAAUGCACUCCCUUGAUUGACAGUGUUUAGCAUAGUUGUUAUGACUCUUGUUGAGAUUUGGGUUUGUAUUUAUUUAAUACUUCAUGUGAGAAUUAGAUCAUCAUGCCACUUGAGAAUUAUUUUCUUUUAGCAUGAUGUUGUAAAUUUUAGAUUAGUUUGUUAUGUAUUUUUCAUUUUUCUCUCCUAUAUUGCUAAGGGACUAGCAAUAUGUCGGUUGGGGGGAGUGAUUACUACUCAAAAAGUGCUAUUUGAUAGCCUAUAAUCAAUCCUUUUAACCACUUUUGAGUAGUAGUUUAGGCCUUUUAACUCAAUUGGCAUGUUAAGGGUCCUUGAAAGCAAUUUUAAUCAUUUUGUGUAAGUUUUGGUGUUUUUGUUAGUAUUUUGAUCAAAAAAGCAAGUCAAGACUGAGGAGAGCUAUGAGGAAUCUUGGUCAAAGCUUAGAAGUCAUUUGCCAAGAGUGAAUCCGGAUUGCAAGGAGAAAAAGCAAAGAGAAUCUGCCAUUAAGCAUAUUCUUGAUGAUAGUCGUAGCAGCCACUUUUGGAGCACUUUUUGAAGUCCAAAUGAUGCAUGCUAUAUACCAUUUCAAAGCUCAGGAAGUCAACAAUCCAAUGCUUCAAACGGUGUGCAAUUCGGAGUUGAAACGAAGAAGUUGCAGUCGUUACAAUCCAAUCACUCCGAGCUGAAGGAAGCAUUUUGCAAAGUGCUGCGAAAUCACCCUUUUGUUGCGAAGUGAUUUCGCAGCAUUUUUGAACAGUGUGAUGUUUCUCCUUUUGACGAUGCCCGAUUUAUGCCGCGAGAAGGAAGCUUGGAACCUCAAGGUGGAAGCCAACUUCGCAGCCCUUCAGAGAUAGCUUGGUGUUGCGAAAAAAUUUCGCAGCCCUCUUGAGUGUCUGCGAAAUUUCGCAGACACCAUUUUCCUCCUGCGAAAUGGUUCCUGAAGCCUCCCGAUAUUUGCUACCGACAUUGGGAGAUAUUUUCCAUUAGAUUUUUGUUAUCUAAAUCCCAAAAUACUCCUUGUAAACCUCCAAUUAUAAGAUUCCUUAGCUUUUAAGUUAAUAAAAAGACCAAAUAUCUUUGUAACAAUUAGUUAUAUAUUAUGUUCAUAUAUAUACCUCUCGGGAGCCUGUUCUCGGAGAGGAGUUCCUUCUGUAAAAGUUUGGAAAGCAAGUAAAGUUCAUUUUCCUUCUACUGCCUUACCUUCUCACUUUGUAUUUUUUUAGUUAAUACUAAGUUAUGAACUCUCUGAGGAGUUUUCCCCAGAGAAUGAGUAACUAAACCUCUAAUUCCUUGGAGCUAAGGUUGCCGGGGAAGGUUCCAAGUGCAAGAAUGCAAAGCUCUGUGGUUUUAGCUAGUAAUGAAGAGGAAGUGAAAUCCUUUAGUGAUUUCAAUGUUUUUAGUUAACUUAAAACACCUUGGAGUCACCUGGGCCAACACUUGGUAAGGCAAGUGAUUUCCAACCAUGGAAAUGCACUAGUUUACCCCUUGCGAGCCUCUGGGAGGUGACUUCAGGGUAGGAUUUUCUAGAAUAGCCAACACUUGAUAAGCUUUUGGACUCCUAGGAGACAUCCAUUAGUUAUCUCUUGCGAGCUUUUGACGGGUAAUCCAAAGUUAAGGAUCACCUUGAAUGGUUAAGGCUUAGUGAGAGGCUUAAACCAUUUCAAGUUGCAUCAGUGAGAGAAUUAAAGUGAAAUCUAAUUGAAGGAUGAAUCUGUACAUCACCGGUUAGGGAAUUGACUAUAUGUUGAAUCUCUAACGCGAGGAUAUGAACCUUCUGACCGGAGCUAUGUCUUUUGCAUGAGGAACCACCCCAGUGAACCUAACUCUUCAAGGAAUGUUUUUCUUCCUAAGUUAUUCCAAACUUCUGUUAUGUUAGUUAGUUUAAGUCUAAACCUUCACCAACCAAAGUUUGUUUUUUUACCUCUUAAGCUAACCAUGAAAUGAAACAAGACCAAUUCACUUGGAAUUGGUAUCAUUGAUAUCUUGUCAACCUUUCCCAGUGGACGAUCCUAGAGCCACUAUACUAUAGUAGCUUUUUAUUUGCUACCCUAGUGUAUGGUGUUAUAGGUAUAAAUUUUGUUGAUUACUCCCUCAUUCAAGGAGCACCAGCUGAACACGAAUCAGCUGAGACACCAAUUGGGCAUGAAUCACCUUGUAUGGUUAAUUAAUCAAUUAGCAACCUUUUUGGGCUACAGUAAGUGACCCAAGUUCAAGUUGGGCUUAAGUCACUUAAGCCCAGUAGGAAGCUUAUAAAUAUCCCUUUAGGGGUUAGGGUCUCCAUGUCUUAUCAUUCUCCUUUUCAGUCUAAAGAGAAAACCCUAGCCUCCACCUUUGAGAUCUCCACCAUGUCAAUGCUUAGACAUAAGAAAGAGUCAUUGGGCAGAAAAUCAUGGUGUUUACGAGAUUCAUUAUGACUUUAAAGUUAUCUACAUCGAUUGGAAUUGAUCUAGGAACAUAAAGAUCAAAGGUAUGUGACUUUAUUCUCUAUAUCUAUAGUUUCUAUGCUAUUCUUAUUAUUUUUAAUACCUGUUUAUCCAUUGCGAUAGAUUUAGAGACCUUAUGACAGAUUUGUAUGCACCCUAUGCAAUUUGGAGCAUGGGAACAGAGUAAUUCGGGGUUCCCAACAACUGGUAUCAGAGCCCUAGGGUAGGUUAUAGCAUGUUAAAGUUGUUCUAAGGUAUGCUAACUCUAUUUUGCAAGGUUGUUUUAUUCAUCCUAUGGCCCUAAGGGAUGAAUGAAUGAAAUUAUUCAUUCAUUUUAACGUAUAAAUAUAUUUGGAUUGAUUGAUUGUUAUUGAUUCAUUUGAAUGAAUGAAUAUUAAUGGAUGUUUUCUUUGCCUUUUGUUCUCUAGAUUGGGUUGAACGCCCCAUAAGGGGUAUUAGAUUUUUAUUUGGUUGUAAAAAUCUUUUCUUUUCAAUAGAUGAGUUGUAAGCUCCAUUAUAGGAGCAUAGAAAUUUUUAUUGUUGCAAAAAUUUCAGUUUUUUUAUAUCCAUCUAUGGUUACCCAAGUGAAAUGAAGGAAUCUUGAAAGUUCUUUUUGAGAUUCUAUGGUGGUUAAAGAGGAAAAAAGGAUUCUUGGAAGUUCUUAUUUAGAAAUCCAUAGUUAUACAGUGAUGUUAAAUUAAACUCAAAAUCAGGAUUAUCUCCUAGUGGCUUCUUAGGGGAAGUAACAUAUGAAUUUGAAGUUUAGGAAGUCACAAAUCCAAUGGUUCAAGCGGAUUUCAAUUUAGAGAUGAAAUGAGCUACAUAUGGCUAAUUGAAGCAAGGCUGCACAAAGUGCAUGAUUGCAUAGUGAUGUCAGCUUUGAGCCAAAAUUGCAGCUACUUUUAGUAAGUUUCUUUGAACAAAUCACAUAUGGUUUUAAAGCUCAGGAAGUCAUAAAUCCAAUGCUUUAAACGGAUAACAAUUCGGAGUUGAAACGAGAGAGAUAUGACCAAUCAAAGCAACGUUGUGCAAAAAGCAUACUAUUACAGGAUUGCACACGGGUCCAAUUCAUUUAGUUGUUUGGGCUAAAUUUUGGGCCUCUUCUUGGGCUUAAUUGUUUGUGGCAAUUGGGCCUUUUGGGUUUUAUAUUUUCACUAACCCUAUUUUUGGUUGCAGCUUUAUUUUUGGUAAUUUAGAUUUUAUCCAAAUUUUAAUUACUAAAUAUGCAACAAGAUCCCUAAAGGUCAUUGGAAGUUUUAUAUUUAAUUAUUCUCUUGUUUUUAUUGUAUGCUUUUGAUUAAUUGCAUAUGUGGCCUCAAGAUAUUUUGAUACUCUUAAUUAGAAAUAAAUUUUCAUGUUUUAUUUUUAAUUGGAAAACUUAUUUAAAUAGGGAUGUGAAUGGUUGGGAUUUUUUAUUUUUUUUAAGGAAAGAUAGGUUGGAUAAAAGAUUAAGAGCUUUCUUACCUUUCGCCUACUAAAAUAAGGGGAAGUAAAUGAUGAAGACUAAAAAAACGAUUUAAGGUGGCAUUGUCCAUAGAGAAACCACCCCAAAUCCAAGUCACUAUGGUAUCUCUUACUACAGCUAUGGCGCUAGCUAAGCUAGUAAUUACUAUAGCUCCCCAAAAGCUCAUCUGACCUCAAGGUGGUACGUAUCUUGUAAAAGUUGUCACAAUCAUUAAUAGGAAGAUUACAACUCCGAGACACCAAGCAAAUUCCCUAGGACUGCUAUAACUCGCAUGAUAUAGCCCAUGAAAAAUAUGAAGGUGAACCACAAUAAGAAACAUACUUGCCCCAUUAGCAUGCAUAUAACGGAGAAACCAGCCCCCUUCAACAUCUCUCAUAACAUAUUCUACACUGUUGAAAGCUAACUCCACUUGAGGUGUGUGAUGCAUAGCAGAAAAAAGGCCAGUAACUAUCUGAAUGACUAAACAAAUACCAGCUAACGAACCGAACCCCCACCAAUAACUAAGGUUGCUUGGGGUUGGAUAGUCUAUCAAAUGUUGAUUCAGUGUGGAGGAUAUAGGUUGUUUAAGAAGAGAGAAUCAUUGGUUCCUUAUAGUCAUUUCUCUUUUCUAUUGUGAAAACUCUUGUUCCCCCACCUUUUUAGCGUUCUGGGACCCUACUUACUAAAUUAUAUAUAGAGAUAUAUAGAUAUAUAUAAUUAUAUAGAUAACAUAAUUUUAUAUCUAAGAGUACCCCUUAUUCCACCUCUGAAGGAUGGAGGGGGUAUACAGCGAAAGAAACGUCAGAGGGUUCAUCUUGGGUUACUAAAGAGUUGUCUGACUGCUCAGUGACCGAAUCAAAGAGGUUUUUACCACUUUCUCUUCUCUCCAGCACUCUCGAACUGAUCAUCUUGCUGUAACAAAGCAAUCUUAGGAAUGAAUCUAAUGGAAAUUUAUUAGUUCUCUAUCCGCUUGGAAGAUUCUUCUUUCCUCUUCGGUGAAAGAGGGUAAAUGUGUGAGGGAGAAAGAAUGAAAAAAUGAGAGAAUCUUUCAUCCACCAAGCGGGAUAGAGUGCAACCCCUAAGUAAUGUUCAAUUCUCACUCAGGGGUCAAUAUCAUUUGAAAACUUUUCCUGUUCCAUUAGUAUAGCUAAAUUUGAAUAAAAUGACUCAGCGUCAGGAAAAGCCCUUGCCUUGAUUUAAUUUUGCUUCACUAGGUCCUUGAAUCAAUCAAAAAUCUUAUUGAUUUGAUUCAUCCUAUUUCAUUUGGGCAAAAGGGAGGUUGUGAGUCACCUGGGCUACGAAUUUGUCGAUUGGUUGAUUCUCGAAAUCACCUCUUGAGAAAAUAAAAAAGGCCAUCCGAUCCUAACCCACAAAUGAAUAGGAAGCGGGGCGAGGGUCUUUCAUUAAAGAGGGGAAAAAAAGGUGGGGCUUUGUUCGAGGGAAAGGGAGGGGGGGGGGGGACCACCUUGCGUAGCUUUAGAAAGAAGAGAAUUUCAUAAAGUCACCAUCUCCCACUAUCUUUAGAAAUAGGGCGAGAUAAAGUAAAUAUGAUAUUUGCGUUGGGUUUUCCAAUGAAACUAAGCAUUUUUUAUCUUUCUCAUUUAGAAGGCUCAGUCCCAUAAUGAUGGGAACAACCUUUACACUCUGGCGCUCCAAUGAACAACACUUAUCCAUCUUACUAUAUUUAGAAAAAUGGUCGAUCCCUCGAGAGUUACAUUCGUAACUUAAUGUUAUGUUCACGUGGUGAUAUUCUAUCUUUCCAAGAGUACUACCUUGUAAUUGUACCUAGUCUAUGUUUGGGGAGCAUACUUGAAAGGAGAUAGAAACAGGCAGUAGAGAGGUCCCCCACUUCGAUUCCCGCCCCGUUAGUAUCUUCGAUCCGCGAUAAAGGAUUACUCUAUUAGGUCUUUUCUAUUCGAAGCCAGUCAGUUAUGGACUUACUUACCUUGCUUGUAGACCAGCUGCAGAGCUAACCCUUGUUCUAUUGGUUUGGUGGUUUCUACCAAGACAAUUUCUUUAUGCCCAUCAAAGGACCUCAAGAUGCUAAUCCAUGAAAAAUGAUACGAGAAAUUCGAAAGAACUCAUAUACGGAACAAGGGUGACUUGUGGAAAUACAUCGGUUUCUUACUCGUGCAAAGGAACUAUUUCUUGGAAACUUGGACAACUUAUAACGAUGUUUGUCCCACAUAUCACUAGGAAGAUCGGGAUCUUUACAAAAGGACUUAUAAAACUUUCGUCUCAAUUCAUAUUUAGCUGUGAGCAAUCUACGUUUGUGAUCUCGUAUAUUUAGCUUCUUUAACCUCUUAUUGACCCUCAUCUUUUUUAAAAAAGCCACGCCACGGUGGUAAAGUCUCAUCUUGUGUGUUAGCCGAAGUAACAAUAGUCACAUUGAACCCUCCAAUAUGUUUGAAGAUCUCGAAAAGAUCUUCCAGUUCUGGGGAGAAUUUGCAAAACUCUGUUUGCAUCAAGAAUUGAAUGGAGUUUUCCCAUAUUUCGACCGGAGAAUCUAAUAGAGACAUUACUAUCAAGAUUUUGACCAAAAAAUUAGACAUUCCAUGCCCUUGGAGAGUGCUUUGUCAUGCUAGGUCACUAACAUAUCCUUUGUCUUUAUUUGACCCUAAGAAUUUAUUGGAUCAAAAUGACUUUCCUGUCGAACCCCUUUGUGUCUGUAUAAAUCUUUGACCGCAUGGAAUCUCCAUAGCCAACUUUCCAUUUUGGAUUAUGAAAGAUGAGGGUCUUUUUGGUAUUAAUCUUGUUUCACACAAUCCAGGAACUUCCAUAACAUUAGCGUGAUUUGGUUUGAGCAAUAGAUCAUGACAUGAUACAUCUUCUUAAUGAAAAUGGAGUGGAAACAUGAGUUAGCUUUUCCAGUAUAUAUAGAAUGAGCACUGUGAACUAUCGGCUUCAAAAAGAUAAUUGGUUGAAUGAAAAUCAACACUUUAACUCGAUCGAAAUACGAAUGAGAAAAAAAAAACAGUUGCUUACUUGCGAAGAAGAGGGCAAAGGAUGCAAUAGCUUCGAUUUGAGCAAAGGCCAUAUUCCUUUCUUGAUAAACCUCUUUUCUUUGAACCACUGCUUGUCAUGGUCGGUUGUUCCAGUUAUCAUCUUUAUUUGAGGCGCAGGUUUCAUAUCCUUAAUUCAUGUGGUUAAGAAAGUCUUUGUUUUCUAGAUGUUGAAAAAAUUUAGAAUUGGCUUUUCGAUGAUAAGAGAAUAGAUAAGACUUCCAUGGGAGGUCGAAUUCCAAACUUCUCUCUCAAGUAUACUCAUUACCAAAAAAUGGACGUCACUUUAGGACACAUGCGGAUAGCCGCCCCGCGUGGCUAAAAGUAAGCCAAAAGAGCUCAAACUCUUUUUUUUUAGUUCCGCUGAGAAACUCGAGUCUUAUAAAAGACGCCACUCUAUGAGGGAAGUCCUUGGGUCGAGUCUUUGCAAGUUCAUCCGAAAUGGAACCUCCUCAUGGUCGGGAAGAUGCAAAUAAAACGCCAAUAGCCGGUUCUAUGGCAUAAGCUUAAAAGAAGAGAGCUAUCAACGAAGAAUAAACAUUUCAUAAGAAAAUCCAAUUUAUUUUUUUGAAACUCGACUUCUUUCAAUUCUAAGAAAGAAAAAUAUCAAAAAAUUCAUCAAUAAAUGAUGAACUUCAUUAUACAAAUGAUAGGACAGGGCUAAGGUAGUGAUCCUGAUGGAGAUUAGGAUGAGCUUGGAUGAAAAAAAAAAAAAAAGAAUAGGUAGAAAUUCUCAUAGGUGAAGCAAAUCAACCCUAUUUUCAGACAAAGAAGAUAAAAAAAAAAACAAAACUAAAGUGGCUUGGAAAGCCUCGGAUAUUCUAUGAUAAAUUGGAAACGUCAAAGUGAGUUGUGGCUUAUAAAUAGGAAGAUGAGGGGAUAACGGGCGAAGGAUAUUUUUUCUAUUAUUAAUUAGAUUACCACGUCUAAUUAGACCAUUACAUACGAAAUCCGAUAAUGUUAUUAAAAAUAUUUCUUUUCUUCAUUUUUUGUCUCAUUGAAAAAUAUUUUAAUGUUAUUAAAAACUUUUAUUAUUUAUUUAUUAUCUAACUGUUGAUUAUCCGUAACCUUCAAUUUCAUUUGCUUUCUUCUUUGACUGCUCUGCUCCCCAACACAAAUGAGGAAAGACUUGUCGAAAAUGGUUGGUUAGUUGGUUGUUGACCAACGGAAAAGCAUAGGAAAAAGAAAGAACACUAACGAAGAUGAUUCUGGAUUGGUCACCUGGAGAAAGUUGACAUCAACGGCUUACUCUUUUGCUGAGCAAAAAGAGAAAGAAUUUAUAUGAAGAGAGAUUUUCAAAGAAGCAAGCGGAGGCUCAAAAGUCAGAGCUUUUCGUUUUCUCUAUUGGCUCUCGGAAAAUAGAUUGACUUAGAAACGUACUCUUCUUCCGCUUUAGCAAAAAAGGCUUUCUUUUUACUUACUAAAUUUAGAGUCUAGUUCUAUAUUUUUCCUAUUUUCUUUUAUGUCUCUUGUCCUUUCUUUCUCGAGUUGGAAGCCAGUGAGGAGAGAUUUCUUUUGAUUAGUAUAGGAUAGGACUAACUCUUUUUCUUCCCAUUCUGUAUACAGAAAUGUUUCCAUGUGAGUCUUUACUUCUUACUUCUAUUUUCGACAUAGGUUUCUCUCAAUGGUGGGCCAGCCUAGAGAAUCUCCCUAGCUCUAGUUGGAGUUUCCUUUGCUGUUGGUGCAGCCGAGAAAAUAGGAUCCACGUAAGUUUCUUUUGAUAUCGCUAGGAGUUCCAGCCAAUAAGCCAAUUUAAGUAAGGCUAGGGUAAAGGUAUACACCUAGGCAAUCUCUUUCUUUCUCUAGGAAGGCAAUAGUUCUCUGGUUUUGGUAGGUCUAUAAAUAGAUAGUUGGAGGGCUAGCUAACAUAGAGAGAUUUCCUUUUUGUUUUUUUUUUUCCCCCCUUUAUUUGUGAAGAUAUUUCCUACAAGUGGGAGUUCUCAUUCUCUGUAAUCCCACCCAGGGAUCACUACUAAGUAAGCAAGCUACCUAUUGCCUCAAAUGGAAUGGAUCGCCAUGAAAGGAAAGCACUUAGGAGAAGGCAUUACGGCUGAAGACCGUAGCACUCUCAUGAGAUAGUAGAAAGAAUGGACCUCAAACUCUUCCCACAUGUAAGGAAUUAGUUAGGAAAGUCUUAGAAAUGUAAAUGGCUCGCUGGAAUCCCCAUCGAAGAUAAUAGGAUUGCCUAAAAAAAGGAAUAUCUUAGUACUACAAUUGGGUUUGUUGCUUACCUUCAUACUCCAAUUGGAAGACUUGAAAGUCAAGUGACUGCGUUUUCCCUUUAUUAAAAAUAUGAUAUUUAUUGAACUGGUUUCAAACCUGAUCUACGACCACCCUCCUUGAACCCCAACCUACCUACAGAUUUUUUUUCCCGUAGCUCGUCAUCCGUUCUAGGACCGUCUUCUCGUGCAACCUCCAUGUAAAGCAAAACUUACCAUAGAAGUUAGUCUACGAUCAGCCGACAUGAGCAUUCGGUUAAACCAAACCAUUUCAAGCGCUCCCAUAUAGAAUCGGAGUAAUGGUAGUUGACUGUCUGUCUAUAAAAUUAGGGCUCAAGGCACCCACCCAACCGAUCUUUAGGAUGGUUACAAAAAUUUCCUCAAUUCAGUAGACCAAAAAAAUAAAAACUAUAGUGCGAUAGAAGGUGGCAUAUAGUCAAGAUAUAUGCCCUCCUAUGUUGGUCCUAAGAAAUCCUGACUUCAUGGGAAUAAGGAAAACAUUUCUUUCGCAUGCCCAUAUGUAAAAAACCAUCACAUCUUAAGGUUAGUUCAAGGUAGUAUAGUUCUUAAUUAGUGGUUCAUUCGCUCCAAAUUCCACCCUACUAUGGUAUAGUAAGACUUUCCAUAGUCUGUUAUGAAGAUAGUUAGUGAUAGGCUUCCUAGUGGGUACGACCUAUUUCUUAUUUUAUUUUAUUUAAUAGAUAGUAUAAUUGAAAAUAGACUCUUUUUUUUUAUAUCUAUCUAUAAAAAUAUAUGAAUUCCCUAAGGAUUGCAUUGAUUCAAACUCUUUUCUAGUCGGGUCGGGAGAAAUUCAAACUAGAUAAUGAUGCAAUUGACCGAUAAAUGGAAACAAUGUGGCCUUCUUCAAAAUUAGAAAUGAAAAUCAGUCUUUACAAACCGAAUCUUGUUCACGUACAUUGUUGAAUUAGGUUGACCCCCAUAUUGGUAUAUAUGUCUUGGAUGCAUUUUGAUUGCAGAGGUAUAUCACUUCAUAUUUUCAUAUUGUCAGUGCCAUUAAUACCACAUGAUUUUCUACACAUGGAAUCUAAAAACUAUGUAAGAUAUAUAUAAAAAAAAAAAAAAAGGUAUUAUAUGAACAUAAACUCUCGAAUUUCACUUAAACAUGUCGUCUUACCUUAGAAGUUAUAUUUUACCGGAUUGGAGAAGCGAAGACAAGGCUAAAGUGCUUUAUAUAGGGCUAAACGCGCCUCCCUAACUUUAAGGGAAAAGGCCUUAGAUUCGCCUUAUGUUGAAUUAAGAAAUAUAACAAAUUUACACAACUUGAACAUGGAAGGUAAGAAAUAAUAAAAAUUUACACUACUUAUAUUCCAAAGAUUGUGUUAGAAUAAUGUAACAAUUACAUGACCCAUUUGUAGAAAAUAACUUACCUACGGUUGGGUCAAGUCAUUAGAUGACUAGGUAGAGGAAAAACAACAAACUAACAAACAUGAAUCUUAGACUAUUAUUUUUUUCUCUUUCACACAUGAUAGUGGUCUUAGUCCAUAAUUUUUUUUGUCCAUUAGCAAAGGUAGGGAAUCUUCAUUUUUAUCUCUUGUGUUGUCAUCUUUCCUCUUUAAUAUCUCACAUGCUAAAUUGUUCCACCUUUAACUUGUAAUAUGGUGAAAAGCUUAUUUAUCAUAUCUUAUAAGGCAAGUAUUUGAAAAUUUUGAAAUUCUUUUUAGAAAGACUAUCAAGUCUUGGUGUGGAGCUACAUUUUUCACGUGCAUCCUCACUUGAUGACAAGACUUGCUUUUUAUUGUAACAAACUGAUUUUUAAAAAAGUUGGAUUCAUUCUCUCAUAAAAAAUCUCUACAAAAUUUAAAUAAUUUUUUUUAAUAUAUAAAAAUUUGAACAAAUGCAAUAUUUUGAAUACACACAACACAAUUUUUUAUAAAUUUUUUUAUUGGACAAAGAUUUUUCAUAUAAUUUUAAUAAUGUUGGAUCAAUUUGUUAAAGUUUUAUUAAAUCCUUUUUUAUACACUUCAAUAAAAGAAAUUUGAAUUUUCAUCCUAGUACCUACAUGAUCCACUCUUAAUAAUUUGUGUAAAUAUGUAGUAAUUUAAAUUUGUAGAAAAUAACUUACCUAUGGUUAAUCAUCCUAGUGCCUACACAAUCUAUUCUUAAUAAUUGGUGUAGAUAUGUAGAGAUUUAAAUUAGUAUUUUGAAAAUUGAAUUAAAUGGUUUCCUUUUAGUUUUCCACACUCUUUCCAAUUGCUCCAUAAAACAAAUUAGAGGCUUUAGGUUCGUGUUACAAUAUGAAGUUAUAAAUAAACUUUUUUUUUAUUUUUUUUAAGAAUCUUUUUCCUAUGUUAACUACAACUAAUAUUUAAGUUUGAAGUACUCCCAAAAUGCAUUUGACUAGUAACUAAUUUGAAAUUACAAGUUUAGCAUUAAGACUGAUAAUUUGUUGUGACAUAUUGGAUUCGCCUUAUGUUGAGUUAUGAAAUAUAACAAAUUUACACAACUUGAAUAUGGAAGGUAAGAAAUAAUAAAAAUUUACACUACUCAAAUACCAAAGAUUGUGUUAGUACAUGACCCAUUUAUUUCACAAAUAAUACUAUAGACACCAUCUAGUUAACUUAUUUAAUAAAUAGGUUAAGUUGAAUUGUGUAUGAAUUGAUAGAUAAUUUUUUUAAGUUAUUAAUUAUUUAAUUAUGUAUUUUUAACUACAAUAUAUUUAUAAGGUAAGAUUAAAGUUUUAAUUUUACAAUUGUUUAUAUUUUAUUUAAUUUUCCAUUAUAAACUAUUUUUAAUCUUUAUAUUUUUUAAAUAUAUAAAAUUUUACUUUGUUAGUUAUUUAAUUUUUUUAUUAUAUGAUAUUAUUAUUUAAAAACUAUUUUAAUUUUUAUAAUUUUUAAUAUGCAUAAUUAAUAAAUUUAUAUGAUUAAAAUGUGACCUAAAUAGGUUAUUUUAAUAUUGUUAAGUAAAUGAAUUAAACUGGUUGACAAUUAAAUUCAAGUAUAACCUAUUUAUUAAACAAAUUGACAUGAUUUUGAAUAAAUAUAAUCAUGUUUAAACCAAACCUCUAAACUUUAUGUCAUUUUUGAGUCAUAUUGCCAAUUCAUGUCAUAUUUGCUACCCUUAGCAUAUAACCAAGAGUCAUUAGUCAAUCUACCCAAAAUUCUUUAAAAUUUUAUGAAAGAAAAGUGUAAUGGGUAUGAUGAUUAGAACUAAUACCAUUUGAGAAGAGAAAAACUUAGGCUAUGUUUGAUUCCAGAAAAUUUGAGGGAAAAUGUGAUGGAAAGAGAAUAGAUAGAAAAAGUGGAAGGAUAGAAAAAACGAAGGAAAAUAAAAAGUAGAUCCAAAGUCAAUAAAUCAUUUUUAUAUCAUUCUUUAAAUUCAUUUCACUUAUUAUCUCCCAUUAUAUCAAUAAUAAGUAAUUUUAAAAUGCAUAAAUUUUUAACAAAAUUUGAUUAUAUUUUAUUUUCUUCCAUAUCUUCUAUAAUGAAACCAAAUAUAAAAAAAAAAUAUUUUGCUCAAACAUUUUUUUCUUUCAUUCUUGAUACUUUCUAAGAACCAAACAUAGUCUUAAUGUUUUAAUAGCAUAUUUUCUUCAUUCUUAGGGAAUAAAAUGAAAAGGAAUUACUCCUUUCUUGUUAAUUCCAAGGGUUUACUUCACUAUUGAAAUUGGUAAAAGCAUGUUGGAUCAAAUUUUGAGAAAACUAAUUUCUCCAGCCCUCGAGGCCAUUUAAAAAUCCAUUUCUUUUCCUCCGUGAAUGCAAGGUGACCAAAACAACCCCUCCUAACUUGUUGUAACUAUUUCAAUUAACAUAAUGAAAUAUUUAGUUAUUGUAAUCCUACACAUUAAUAAACAUGAUGACAUGUUAAAAUAUUUAGUUGUUUGAGGGUUCAAUACCACAAGUUCCUCAUCUCGUGUAAUUGUUGGAUAUCUCCAAUAACAAGUUAUUGGGGUCCAUUUCUCUAUUAUGUUCAGUUGUUAAUCCGUCACUUAUCCUACUUGACCUCUCAAACAACUCAUUGACAGGGGAGGGCUACCCAAUUGUUGGGCACAAUGGGAAAGCUUGGUAGUUGUUAAUUUGGAAAAUAACAGAUUUUCUAGGAAAAUUCCAAAUUCAUUUUGCUCCUUGCAAUCAAUUCAAAGUCUACAUUUGCGCAACAACAAUUUAACUAGAGAAUUGCCUUUAUCUUUUAAGAAUUGUACAAGUUUGAAGCUUAUUGAUUUUCAAAAAAUAGGUUGACAAGAAAAAAGCCAGAAUGGAUUGGAGGAAACCUCCCAAAUCUAUUUGUUCUAAAACUAGGAUCUAAUGGAUUCAGUGGAGGUAUAUCUCCAGAGCUAUGCCAAUUGAAAAAAUAUUCAAAUAUUGGACCUCUUUAGUAACAAUAUGUCAGGUGUUAUACCAAGAUGUCUUGGUAGUUUCACUGCCAUGACUAAGAAAGAGAGCUUGGUCAUUGCUCAUAAUUAUUCAUUUGGACCUUUUGGUGGUGUUCAAUACCAUAUAGGUGGGAAGACACCUGAGAAUGCCUCUUAUGUUGAUGGGGCGUUGGUUAAAUGGAAAAGAAGAGAAUUUGAGUAUAAAAAUACUCUUAGACUUGUAAAGAGUAUUGAUCUUUCAAGUAAUAAGCUAUCAAGGGAAUUUCCAAGAGAAGUAAUUGAUCUUCUAGGAUUAGUUUCAUUAAAGUUAUCAAGGAACAAUUUGACUAGAUUGAUCCUUGCAAGAAUUGGUCAAUUGAAAUCAUUGGAGACUCUUUGGUGAAAUUCCAGCUAGCCUUGUUGAAAUAAGUGGUCUAAGUGUCUUAGAUCUCUCCAACAACUUUUUCUCUGGUUAAAUUCCAUAAGGUACUCAACUUCAAAGCUUCAAUAUUGAUUCCUACAAGGGAAAUCCUGCCCUUUGUGGACUGCCUCUUCUGAAAAAGUGUCAUGAAGAUAAAAUAAAGCAAGAUUCUCUCACUCAUAUCAUUGAAGACAAAAUUUAGCAAGAUAGAAAUUACAUGUGGUUUUAUGUUAGCAUUGCUCUUGGAUUCAUUGUUGGAUUUUGGGGAGUGUGUGGAACUUUACUACUCAACAACUCAUGGAGAUAUGCUUAUUUUCAGUUCUUGAAUAAAAUAAAAGAUUGGCUCUAUGUGAUUAUAGCAAUAAAUAUGGCUAGAUAACAGAGGAGUCUUCAAAGAUAAAUGGUACAAUUCUCCUCCUCUCUUUCAUUUGUACUUGUUUUUGAUGGCCAACAACUCUCAAAGAAAGAUAGGCUUUUGCAUAUUCUUGGGAUAUACUUUAUAAAUUUUCUUUCCAUGCAACUAACUAGAGAGAUUUUUUCAAAUUGAUGAACACUAAUUUUACUUUGUGCUAAUUACAGAACUUCAACUCCUGUUCUUGCCAUAUUAGCAUGAUUGAAUGCAAAUAGUUAUGUAUGUCCUUCAUUUUAUGGUAGAUUUUGGGAUGCAAGAAGUUUUUUUAUUUUAUUUUUAUGAUUACUUAUGUUCUUUAGAUGCUUAUUUUAUCUUUUAUUAAGAAAUUUGUGGACAUUUUAUCUCUUUUGUUCCUUAUAUAAUGCUUUUAUUUGGUAUUUGGAUACUUUAUGGUUCAUCCAAACAAUAUUAUAGAAGGAUAUCAAAGGUAUAUUGUUGUCCGACUUUUAAUUUUAAAAAUAUUUCUUUCAUUCUAAAACCAUUUUUUAUUCAUUAAAAUUAGAACAAAAUAAAAAUUAAUGUUAUUAAUUUGGUUAUGAAUAAUAUAAGUUUUUGUCAAAUUAUUAAUAAUCAAAUCAUAAUUUCAACAUUUAAGAAAAAAUAAUUUUCUUCACAAGUUAUUAAUGAUUUGUUUCUCUCUUUCUAGAAAACUAGAUUACUCUUAUAAAUGCAAACCUCUUUUUUUCUUGUCUUCAAGCUUUCUCACUUGAAGUUGUCUCGCAUGUAGAUUAUUUUUGUGGAAUCUCUAGUUUUCAUCCAUUUUCUGCUCCCUUUUCUUCUUAGUGAUUGAUUUUAUAGAAUAUUAAGUCUAACUUCUUUUCUUAAUAAAAGGUUUUUUUUUUCUAAGUAAAUAAAAAAAAAAAAAAAAAACUCUUGUUCUUUUCUCUAUUUUAACAUAAUCCAACUAUAGGAUAACUAAAAUAUGAUUGAAAAAUAUAAAAUAAGUGAGAAUAAUUAUAUUCUAAUUAUACUCUAUAAAUAAUAUCAAAUAUUUGAUUCACAUAUUAGAAAAUAGUACCAAUCUCCAUCAUCAUGAGAUUAAUAUCCCAAUAAUUAAUCUUUUUUUAUUUGUUGAAAUUUCUUAUCUUUCGUGGUGCAUUACAAAACUCCUUAAACACUUUACACAAUGGUCUCUUGUUGUUUUGUUUUUGGUGUUUAUUUUAUUUUAUUUUAUUUUUUAUCAUUUCCCUGUCUUUUUUAGGUCUUCCAUUGCUUGGAUUAUUCUAUGCAGGAAUUUGAUCAAAAAGCCAUUAAUAAUCUAGUCCAAUCAAGUUUGUGAAAUGGUAAAAAUGAGAACUUUUAUACUAUCAUUAUUUCAUAAGUUUUUGUGUUUAUUAAUUUUUAUUUAUUUCUUUAUGAUAAAAUCUUUUAUCAAAAAUAUUUUUAAUGAAACGAUAAUUCUUUACUAUGAUUUUUUUUUAAAUUUUAAACUAUAAAGGAUUUCAAUUCUUAUUAUAUAUAUAUAUAUAUAUAUUCUCUCUUUUAAGCUAUUAGAACAAGUAGCGACUGGCUUUCUUGUGAAGGCAAAUUGAAAGCAAAGACCAUAGUUUCAAUUAUGCUAACCUUAAUAAGAACCAACCUCAUCGCAAAGAGUGGCUCUUAACUCAUUGAUAUAGCUAGAGAGAAUUACUUUCUAAUUUUCUCAUUUUUUGAGCUCAAAACUAAUCAAGUAACAACUAUUAUCAUAAAAUUAAUUACUUCUUUAUUUAUAAUUAUAUUCUAAUUAUAAAAUUAAAUAUUUGAUUAAUAUAUUUGAUAAUACUUAUAAAUAUUUAAAAUAGUUCCAAUAUAAUAUCCAUUAGGGGAUUAUUAUCCUGACUGACUUGCUUUAUUUGUUAUGUAUUGAUAAUGACCCACUCACCAUAAAUAAAGCUAUUAAGUUCAAGGUACAUAUAGGUUACGUUUGGUUCAUAGAAAAAUUGUGGGAAAAUAUAAGGGAAAGAACAUAGGAAGGAAAAGUAAAAGGAAAGAAAAAUAAAGAAAAAAAAAUGGAUUUAAAGCCAACAAAUUAUUUUUAUACAACACUUCAAACUUAUUUCACUUUUAAUUCUUCAAUAUAAAGAUAAAAUAAUUUGAAAAUAUAUAAGUUUCUAAUUAAUUUUAAUUAUAUUUUAUUUUCUUUGGUACUUUUCAUAUGACAAUCAACUAUAAGAAAAUCAUUUUCCUUAACAUUUUUUUCCAUAUUACUUUUCAAAAACUAAACAAAACCAUGGAUAUUUGUUAUAAUAGGGAACUCUUUAUUCAUGCAAACUCCCUUUCAGACUUGAGCAUGGGAGUGUUUUUCUUUUUCUUUUUUCUUUUUUUCUUUUUUUUGGCUUGUACUUCUCCAUAGGCCAAAUUACAUUGAAUGGAUCCCAAAGGAACAAAAAAUAAAUAUAAAUGUCAUUUGGGCCAAUACUAAUACGAUGAUUGUAUUAUCUAUCAUUAGGGCUGAUACAUUUCCAAGAAGUGUGUGUCAAAGAUUAUGUAUCUUAAGCCAAACCCAUUACUAAUCCAAUCAAAUUGAGCAAAAUUCAGCAAACCCCAUAGCAAAGAAAGUGGGAUAUACAAGCAAAGAUGGCCUCGCACAAUAGGAAUGAAAAUUUUUACAUUAUUAAUGGAAUGAGAACCAUAUAUGUUUGAUAAACACUUGACUAAAGCAAUAGAAAAACCAAUAUACUCCCCAAGAAAAUAAUGAAAAAUAAAAUAUAAAUUAAAUAAAAAAAACUGUAUUAAUGAGUAUAACAAUGUGAGUUAUACAUGUGCAUUCUAUCCUAGUAAGUAAAAAAAUAAAAUAAAAUAAUAAUAAUAAUAAUAGGAGCUAUGUGGUGUAAAGUAUGAAUAGUGAGAGAGAAGUACUAAAAGAUAUGAAAAAUAUGAGAUAACAAAAUUUUAAGAAUUUUAUUUAGUUCUAUUAAAUUAUUUUAUAGACAAAAAAAAAAAAAAAAAAGCCAAUCAUUUAAUUAACUUACUAAAUCAAAAUUUUGGAAUUUGUAAAAGAACAAAUAUAUAAUUGAAACACCUAUAAUUGAACUUGGGUCUCAUUUGAAUCUCACAAUUUUAUCGUUUGAUAGGGGUGGAGAGGGCUUGAGUUAAAGUUGAAACCAGGGCUCAUCAAUUUAAAAAUAAUUAUAUUAAAGGCAACACAUUUAAACAUAGAUUUCAGUUGGUGAUUCUAUAAUAAUGAUGAUGAUGAUGACGACGAAAGAGAAGAGGACAAAGUAUGAAGUGACGGACAAAAAGACACCAAAAAUUCUAAGAGUCAUCUACUAUGAUUAUUUUAUUAUUAAUUGCACUCAUCAAAUCACCUUUUUAAUAUAUUGAUGAUUUUAUUUGAAAAAAAAAAUUCAAAGUUAUAAAUUACACAAGAUUGAAAAGAAUUCAAAUAAAAUUGUGUUUAUUAUUAUUAUUAUUGUUAUUGAAAACAUCAUUCUUAGUUUCCUCAUUAAAAAAGCCAAUAUUUUUAUCAUAUUUUAGUUUCAUUAUCACAAAAAUAUUAUUAAAAUUAUAGCAGUUUGACACUUUACCUUUAAAUUAUAAUUUUAAAGUUGAAUUUAUUUGUCUACUUUUAAUUUAACUGCCUAAGCCUUUAAUAUAAUUAUUUUUGGGUUGUUCUAGGUCCUUCGAGUUUCAACCGCAGCUAGUAACUAAUCGUCCUAAGGCUGAAGCCACAAGCCACUGAACUGGGCUCAAAUCCCAUAUUUUGGGCAUGUUAUUGACAGGCCUACCCUUUUUUCUUUUUUUCUUUUUCUUUUAAACAAAAGACUAAGUUCGCCACCAAGCUAGCCCGUAUGCUUUUAUUGUUUAGAUUUGGCUCCCAACAUGCUACCCUUAUUUUAAGUCCCAAUAUUUUUAAGCCCAGAGUCUCGACCCUUGUUAAAUGUUGAUAUAAGUUUUCUAAGUUGAGGUUGCCUCUAGAAUGUAAUUAAUAAUAUUAUAAGAUAAUUAAUGAUAAUAAAUAUAGUUUACGAAAUUUGAAUAUUUUUAUUCUAACAACCUAUAACAACUUGACUAAUAUUCAAAUAUAUUAUUUGUUUAAAAAUGUAUCAUAUUUUUAUAUAUAGCUUGUUGGAAUUUGAAUAUCUUUGUUAUAGUAACAUAUAAAUAAAAUAAUAAUUAAAUUUGUUGAUAUUAAAAAUGUAUAUUUAUUUAAAAAAUGUGUAUAAGGAAAGUGACAAAUUGACUAAUCAUAUUAAAAAUAUGUUUAUUUAGAAAACAUAUGAUGAUUUUUCUCAUUAUAUUCUUCAUAUUUGUAAGAAGGAUGCCAAAAUAAAGAGAAAAAAACAAGGAAAAAUUGAAUCUUUUAUUUCACUCUACUUUGAGAAGUAAAUCCCAGGUUGUGCAAACAUGGGAUUACGUAGAGCUAACCACCAUGAGGUGAGGUUGAGUACAUGAUGAGAUGAAAUGAGAUGUAUGGGAAUAUAUGCUUCUACAUACCCAUUACAAAUGCUACAAUUUUCAAUGUUAGUUUAGAUGCAUUCUAUAUCAACUUCUUGUUAAAUUGCUAGUGCAUCUCAUGUCCCUCAUAUUGCAUUCUAAAAAUUUUCAUAAUGAACUUCAAAAUGAAUUUUCAUGCUAUUUCCAUUUCCAAGUCAAGACCAAAUACAUAUUAAAAUCACACAUACAUAUAUAGCUAAAAUUAAAAGGGUGAAGGGGCUUAUUUAUGCAGAACAUCGAAAUAUCUGAAAACAUCUUUUCUUUUCGUUUGCUAAAUGUUUCAUGGAGAUAAACCAGAGCACCUCAAACCUUAAUGGGGGUUCUUUAAAAUGAACCAUGUCAGUGAAACCAAAAACAUGGCAAUACUCAUUCAAUAACAAUGCUGAUUUUUUUACAAAGAUUAUUUUAUUUCAAUUAAAUGUGUCAAACACAUGGCGUGAAAUUAGCUAAUCACCAUACUUGGCCACAUGCUUCUUGAGUGCAAUGAACCAAUCAUGACAUCAGUUGGCAACAUCCUUAGUACUCAUCAGGGCAUUUACAAGUGGAGAAGCAAAGCACUACAAACCACAAAUUUUCUCAUAAGUGCUUCAAAUAAUGUUUUGAAAUUUGAAACUCAAAAUCUUCCUAGUGUUUACACAACUACAUAAAACAUACAAAAUUUAAAACAGUCAAACAUAUAAACUACAAACUAUAUAUAAAUGAAAACCCUUCUUACAUGGAAAUUUGCUCUAUGUCAAGCCAUUUAUACUAACAAGCUUUUGAUCAAGUGCAUGAUGUUGGAUUUGACGAAAAGUUUGCUAUCCUUUAGACAUGGAGUUCCUUUUUCUAAAGAUUGGUGUCAUAAGACAUUUAAGGAGAAAGAUCCCAUGAAAACAGUAUCAAUCUCAUGAAAGCAAUAUCUUAUACCUUUAUAGUGAGUAGUCUUAUGUUUGUGAUGUUAUGUGCUAGACCAAAUAUUUGUUUUGUUGUACGGGGUGGUAAAUAGAUAUUUAUUCAAUCCAAGACCAAAGCAUUUGGCAAAUUUCAAAGGAUAUUCUCAAGUAUAUUAGGCAAACAAUGGGAUAUAUGCUUGUAUCUCUUUGUAAUUAGUUGGCACUCCUUGGAUGCAUGGAUUCAAACUUUCAAUCUGACAAAGAUUCUUGUAAGUUUGCCUCUAGAUAUGUGUACAUUCUAAGUGAUUUUUAUUGUUGCUUUUGACCAUAAACAAUUAACAUAUAAUAAUAUAACUUUUGAUUAUAUAAGAUUUUAGAAAUUAUAGUUUAUGGCUAGAAAAUAUCAAUGUUCACAAGCUUUUUUCUUGACCAUUCAUAGUUUGUGAGUAGGAAUAAUUUUUAAGUAUAGCUUCUAGCUAUAUAAAAUUAAGAUAUCAACGAUUAUAAGUUUUUAACUUGAUUUGAAAGGUCUUAAUAUAGCUUAUAGCUAUAAAUUUAUUAAUUUGGUAUUCUAUUUUAUAUUAUUACUAGUUAUAAGAAAAUACAACAUAUUUCAAAUGUUAUAUACGAGAUGGCGAAAAUUAAUUGUGUAAGUUAUUAAGAAACUUUGUAAUGUACUUUUGAAUUUCGUAUUCAAAAACAAAGAAAUUGCUUUGAAUUGAAGAUGUUUUCUCUUUCUCAACCCCAAAAGUUGUAUUCAUAACAUGUUAUAAUUAAAAAUAUAAAGGCUAAGGAAAAAUAAAGAGAAGAGAGAAUAAGAGGAGAGAAUGCAUUAAUUUUUUUUUAAUCUCUUUAUUAACUCAAAAACCCUUAUUUAUAGGAUAAGAAUAAUAUCAAUAUGAUAAUAAUACAAACAUGGCAAUGAUGUUUUCAUCUACAAACUAUCAUGGAUAUUUGUAACAGUUUUCUAGUUUUAACCAUAAUAUAAAGAAUUGUAUUAUUAAAUAAAAAUUGAAAUGCUUUACUUAAACAAUAUACAUUUUUAUACUCACAAGUAUUAAGAUUUUUUUAAUACUUAAUUUCCAGUUUGAUAGAUUAGGCAAUUUUAUAAAAAAUAAUUAAUAGGUGAUAUCAGAUUUAUAUUACCAAACAUAUAUACUUAAAAAGAUUGAUGUUAGACCUCUUAUGAAGAACAUGAAGAUAUUUAGUGUAAUGGCUUCCUGAAAUAAGAGCCACCAUAAAGUUUUACUUUAGGGAUUUUUAUAGGUUGAUUUAUUUAUUUCUUUCUUGUCUUUUUCUUUUGGUAACCUAAUUGGAAUCUUUCAUAAAUACUUUCAAUUCCUAAAAUGCCUAAAGAAAUAGUGAAAUCUUUUAUUAAGAUAAACAAUAUUGAUCUGACCACCAACUUUAUCGUGUUGAUAUAAUGUUUUAUAAAAUGAUAGUUAGAAUAUCAAUUCUCUUCUAAGUAUUUAAGGUUUGUUUUGGUCAGCCCUUAGCUUCUAGUGUAUAAGAAAGAGGCAAGGUCUAGCUUGUCUUACAAGUUUAUAAUGAUUAAAUUGAUUAAAGUAAAAAUAUUGUAAAUGGUAGGGCCUUGUGAUAAGAUGCUACAAUGAGUCAACUUUGUUGGUGCACCAAGUGUAAUCCGACUAGCUAGCAAGAUGCUGAUGACAGUUCGGCCAGCACAAAGAAAUGCCUGGACAAGUUAAAAGUAAUAAAGGAUGAUAGAUUAAAAGUAAUAAAAUUAAGCCUAUCUCACCCAGGUUCCUUUACACUCACGAGCUUUAAAAGGGAUAGCUUCAAGCUCUAGAACUUUGCCUUCUCGUUCACUAAUAGAUGAAGAUGAAGAUGGAGAAAUGGUUGAUUCAACAUAUGAGGAAGAUGGAGAAGGCUAUAAAUGUGAUGAUGGAAAUGAUGAUGUUGAUUUUGUUGAUUUAGAGGAGGAGUGAGGAUUGAUUGUUGUGGACAAAUUUGUUAUUUAAGUGUUUUUUAAUGAUGUUUUUGAAUUGUGGAUAAAUUUCAUGUUUUGGUUUGGAAACUUUGGAUUUGGAUAUGUAUUAGACUAUUAACAAUCAUGAUGCUUUGUUUUUAUGCUUGGAGUUCUUUGUUUUUUUGUUUUUUGUUGAUUAAAUUGAAGUUUUGGAUGAUAUUUGAUGAUUUAUGUGUUUAGGACAAAUAAAUGAUUAUUAAAUUUGAUUAUGUUUUAUAUAAAAAUAUAUAUGUAAAUUAUGGUGCACCUCACUUUACUAAACCCCGUGUCUUAGGUGCGCCUUGUGCCUCAAGCUCCAGGACUACUUUGCGCCUUGGUGCGCCUUGACCCUUUUAAAACUAUGCAAGGUAUUUUGGUACAUUAUUUGUGAACAUAAUGGCUCUACCUACUAGAAGGUGGUGAUUCUUUCUUUCAGCAAUGCCAUUUUAUUGUGGGGUUGUUGUGUAGAAACUUUGAUGAAUAAUGCCUUUCUUAGAGAGAAAACCUUCUAAAAUAAUUUAAAAUAUCCUUUUUCGUUGUCUAUUAUAAGAAUUGUAAUGUUAGCAUUGUAUUAGGUGUUAAUCAUGGCAUAAAAAAUUUUAAACACUUGCUUUGCUUUUUAUUUUUCUUUCAAAAGAUAUACCCAACAAACCCGAGUGUGAUCAUCAAUAAAUGUGAUGAACCUUUGUUUUUCGUUAAAUGUUUAACUCGUGAAGAACCCCAAAUAUUACUAUGGAAUAAUAAAAAGAUGAUGACGCUUUGUAUUUUUAAGGAGGAUAAGUGGAACAAACAUGCUUGGCUAAGUGACAAAUUCCACAUUGAAAAAAAUCUCCAUUAUGAAAUAGUGAUGGAAACAAAGUUCGCACAUAUGGAAAACUUGGGGCCUAGUCUACAAUGUCACAAUAUUAUUUCUUGUUCUCUAGAAAUAGACUUACAACUUGCAAUUUAGGUUUGUUUAUUCAAUUCACUUCUCAAAAUAAUAUAACCCCUCAUGUUCUCUGGCAUUGCCAAUCUUCUUCUCCUAAGUUAGGUCUUGAAACACAUAAGAAGAUUCAAAGAAAUGAGCAUCACACAUUAAGUCUCUAGUCAACUUACUAAUAGAGGGAAGAUUGCAAGAAAAAAAUUAGAAUAUGUAAAACAAAAUGUAGUUCAAUAUUAGGGCUAAUUCUAAUAUUUCUAGUUCUUGCCACUGUUGAAAGAGAUCCAUAUGCUACUUUAACCUUGAAACUUCCUAAACUAAGAUUGUAUGAUGAGAAUAAUUUUUCGCAGCCCAUCGUAUGAUUUGUGGCUCUAGAUUCAAUCAUCGUGGUUCUAGAUUAUUUCUAUAACUACAAUGAGGUGAGGAAAAAAUUACUUCUCUGUGCUAAUAAUGAAUUAUUAGUGUCUUUUGAUGGUUUUGUCAUCAAUAUGGAGAAAAAACCAACAUUCAUCAAAUUCUUAUUAAAAAUAAAUUAAAGGUACAAGCUGUAAUUUAUACAAAGCAAAACGUGAAACAGACCUUAAUUCUAGGAAUAAUAAAAUCAUAUCUCCUAAGAUUUUAUUGCUAUUAAUCAGCAAUAUUUAUUCAAAAUGAAAAAAUUCAAAUGAUGUUCAAAUAAUAGUUGAUUAUUUGGCUACUAGUUUAAAACAAAAUCUGCCCAUAAUUAGAAUGAUUUGAUUUUAUUUGAAUUAUCUUCCAACACUCCCCCUCAAGUUGGGUGGUACAAAUUGAACAUGCCCAGCUUGUCUACUAGUUACUUGAAUGAUCUUCUUGAUAGUAAUUUGGUGGGUACAUUUGCUAGUUGUUUAUUUUGUUGGUACAUAAGCCAUGCAAAUUGUACUAUCUUCAACCUUUUCCUUUAUAAAGUGUCUAUCAACUUCCAUGUGUUUAGUUAAGUCAUGAUGAACUAGGUUGUGUGAUAUAUGUUGAUGGUCACCUUAUUGUCACAAUACAUCUUCAUUGGCAUCUUCUCCUCCACAUUAAUUUCUCGUAGAAGUUGUUUAAGCCAUAGUAGUUCGCACAUAUCAUGAGCAAUAACACAAAAUUCCGCCUCUGCACUACUUCUAGCUACUACUGUUUGCUUCUUACUCCUCCAAGUCGCUAAGUUGCCCCACACAAAGAUGCAAUAGCUUGAAGUUGAUCUUUGAUCAUCUAUGGAACUUGCCCAGUUAGCAUCCGUGAACCCUUUAAUGCUUCUUGUUUCAUUUUUUCUAAAGAAUAAUCCUUUCCUUAGAGAUACUUUAAGAUACUUUAUAAUUCUAUACACGACUUCCAUAUGUUCUUUGCAAGGAGAAUGCAUGUAUUGACUCACAAUUCUUAUUGCAAAAGCGAUGUCUAAUCUAGUGUGGGAAAGAUAAAUUAGCAUCCCUACUAGACGUUGAUAUCUUUCGAUGUUGAUAGGUGUGCUCUCUUUUUGUUCUUCAAUCUUUUUUACGGGAUCCAUUACAACAUCCAAAGGUUUACAUCCUAGCAUCUUAGUUUCCUUCAAGAGAUCUAGAAUAUAUUUUCUUUAGGAAAUUGUUAUUUCACUAUUUUUCCUUGCCAUUUCCAUCCCUAGAAAGUAACGUUGAGGUCCUAGAUCUUUGGUUUCAAACUUAGCAACCAACUUCCCUUUUAAUUGUUCCAUCUCCAUUGGAUCAUUUCCCAAUCACUAUAAUGUCAUCCACAUAGACCAUGAGAAUAGUGACCUUACCAUCAUUGUGAUGUUAAAAUAAGGUAUGAUCAGAUUGAUCCUAUGUAUAUCCAUGCGUUAUGAUGGCCUUGGUAAAUCUCUUGAACCAUGCAUGAGGAGACUGUUUCAGCCCAUAGAGAGAUUUUCUAAGCUUGUAGACUUUUCUACCUUCCUUCCUUGAUCGAAUCCAAGAGGCAAUUCCAUCUACAGUUUUUCUAGGUCUCCAUUCAUAAAAACAUUUUUGAUGUCUAGUUAUUGAAGUCACCAAUCCAGACUUGUAGCAAGAGAUAAAAGAACUGUUACGGUAUUAAGUUUGGCAAUUGGGGUAAAUGUACAUUUCUUGAUAGUCAAUACCAUAAGUUUAUGCAAAUCCCUUAGCUACCAACCUUGCCUUGUAUUUUUCAAUGAACCCAUUUGACUUUUAUUUUCCAGCAAACACCCAUUUGCAUCCAACAAGCAUAUUUGCUUGGGCUUGUCCACUAAAUCCCAAGUUCGGUUUUUUUUUUUUCUAGAGCUUUCAUUUUCUCCAUCAAAGCUUCUUUCCAUUGAGGAUCUUGUAAAGCCCCAUGAAUAAGUUCCAAAACUUCUUCUCCUAAAAGUUUUGAAAUAAAAGCUUGAAAUCAAGGUGAGAGGGUGUUGAAUACAUGGUCAAACACCUUUUCUCAUGGCUAUAGGAAAAUUAAGGUUACUUAUGACUCAUGCCCAAUUGGUGUCUCAGCUGAUUUGUGUUCAGCUGGUGCUCCUUGAUUGAGGAAGUGAUCAACAAAAUUUAUACCUAUAACACCAUACACUAGGGUAGCAAAUACAAAGCUACUAUAGUAUAGUGGCUCUAAGGAUCGUUCACUGGGAAUGAUUUGCAAGCAAUCAAGGAUACCAAUUCCAAGUGAAUUGGUUUUGUUUCAUUUCACGGUUAGCUUAAGGAAUAAAACACAAACUUUGAUUGGUACAGGUUUAGACUUAAACUAACUAACUUAACAGAAGUUUGGAAUAAUUUAGGAAGAAAAGCAUUCCUUGGAGAUUUAGGUUCACUGGGGCGGUUCCUCAUACAAAAGACACGGCUCUGGUCAGAUGGUUCAUUUCCUCGCAUUAGAGAUUCAACUUAGAGUCAAUUCUCUAACCGGUGAUGUACAGAGACUCCUUCAAUUAGAUUUCACUUUAAUUCUCUCACUGAUGCAACUUGCAAUGGUUCAUGCCUCUCACGAGCACUUACCAUUCAAGGUGAUCUUUAACCUUGGACUUCCCUUCACAAACUCGCAAGAGAUAACUAAUGGAUGUCUCCUAGGAGUCCAAAAGCUUACCAAGUGUUGGUAAUUCCAGAAAAUCCUACCUUGAAGUCACCUACCAAAGGCUCGCAAGGGGUAAACUAGUGCAUUUCCACGGUUGGAAAUCACUUGCCUUACCAAGUGUUGGCCCAGGUGACUCCAAGGUGUUUUAAGUUAACUAAAAACAUUGAAAUCACUAAAGGAUUUCACUUCCUUUUCAUUACUAGCUAAAACCACAGAGCUUUGCAUUCUUGCACUUGGAACCUUCCCCGACAACCUUAGCUCCAAGGAAUUGGAGGUUUAGUUACUCAUUCUCUGGGGAAAACUCCUCAGAGAAUUCAUAACUUAGAAAUAAAAUGAAAAUACAAAGUGAGAAGGUAAGGCAGUAGAAAGAAAAUACUUUACUUGCUUACCAAAUGGUUACAGAAGGAACUCUCCUCCGAGAACAGGCUCCCGAGAGGUAUUUAUAUCAAAACAAUAUAAAACUAAUUAUUACAUAGAUAUUUGGUCUUUUUACUAACUUAAAAACUAAGAAAUCAUGUAAUUGGUGGUUUACAAGGAGUAUUUUGGGAUUUAGACAACAAAAAUCUAAUGGAAAAUAUCUCCCAAUGUCGGUAGCAAGCUUCGGGAGGCUUCAAGAGCCAUUUCGCAGGAGAAAAGUGAGGUCUGCGAAAUUUCGCAGACACCCAAGAGGGCUGCGAAAUUAUUUUGCAAGACCGAGCUAUCUUCACCUGGCUGCAAAGUUGGCUUCCACCUUGAAGUUUCCAGCUCCCUUCUCGCGGCAUGGUUCGUGCAUCGUCAGAAGGAGAAACACCUUACUGUACAAAAGUGCUGCGAAAUUCUCGCAACAAAAGGCUGAUUCCGCAACACUUUAGAGUGACUGGCUUGUAAUGGCUGCAACUUCUUCGUUUCAACUCCGAAUCGUGCACCGUUUGAAGCAUUGGAUUGUUGACUUUCUGAGCUUUGAAAUGGUAUAUAGCUUGCAUCAUUUGGACUUCAGAAAGUUCUCCAAAAGUGGCUGCUACGACUGUCAUCAAGAAUAGGCUUCAUGGCAGAUUCUCUUUGCUUUUUCUCCUUGCAUUCCGGAUUCACUCUUGGCAAUUGAAUUCUAGCUUUGCCCAAGAUUCCUCAUAGCUCUCCUCAUUCUUGACUUGCUUUGGUGAUCAAAAUACUAACAAAAACACCAAAACUUGCACAAAGUGAUCAAAAUUGCUUUAAAGGAUCCUUAACAUGCCAAUUGAGUUAAAAGGCCUAAACUACUACUCAAAAGUGUUAAAAAGGAUUAAUUAAAGGCUAUCAAAUAGCACUUUUUGAGUAGUAAUCAACUUACCUCAGGAACGACAGUUUUUCUGAUUCUUGACAGCACUAUUGGUUCAUUUUGGUCUCUAUUAUUCUUGAGUUACUCCUCUUUGUAUAGACAUGAAGUUUUGGUUGUUGUAGUGAAUCUUCCCUGACCUUGAAUCUAUUUUUGUUGUUGACACCACAAGUCUGACUGGCUUCGAUUGUUCUUGUUUGUCAGUUUCAAACACUAGCUGGUUAAGGAGGUGUUCUGGUUGUUCAGGUGGGUAAGAAGGCUAGUUUAAUAGUUGUUUUGGUGAUAUAGUUGGGUUAGACAAGUUUGGUGGUUGUUCUGGUAGUAGGCUUAGCAAUGAUAGUUCCCAAAAAUUCUCUUUAUCUACAUUCUGCCCUUGAAGUGAAUUUUUGGAGAAAAAGGUUGGUUCUAAAAAAAAUGUAACAUCCAAAGUGACAAAGUAUUUUUGUUUUUUAGGAGAGCAACAGCGAUACCCCUUUGUGUGGUUGAAUGACCAAGGAAGACAUAGGCUAAUGCUGUAGGAUCCAGUUUGGUUCGAUUUUGGUCGAGGACAUGAACAAAGGCUUUACAAUUGAAAACCUUAAGGGGGAGUUGGUUAAAGGACUGAGUUUGUGGAUAGAAUUGAAGGAAUCUUUUUAAUGGUGUUUGGUAAUUGAAAACUCGGGUAGGCAUAUGAUUUACAAGAUAAUAAGUUGAAAGAAUGGAAUCUUCCCAAAAUUGUUUUGGUACAUUUGUGGUAAGCAUAAUGGAUCGAGCUACUUCCAAUAAAUGCCUAUUAUUUCACUCGGCCACUUCAUUUUGUCGAGGUAUAUCUACACACGAACUUUCCCAUUAUCCAUUUAUAAGACUUGGAUUUUAGUAUUAGAUUGGUUUUGAAUCAUUUGAUAAAAAAUUUUGAAUGCUGGUUUUGCCUCAUUUUUUUCUUUCAAGAGAUAUAGUCAUGUAGUUCAGGUGAUCAUCAAUAAACGUGAUAAACCACCUUCCCAAUUAGAUUUUGUAAACGUGAGGGACCCCAUAUGUAGUGUGUAUCAUUGCAUAAGGUCUGGAUGCUUUGUAGGGUUGAGAAGGAUAAUUGGACCAUUGAUGUUCAGCAAAUUGAUAAAUAUCACACUAAAAAACAUCUUUAUUAUUGAAAAAAGAAGGAAACAAAUGCUUCAAAUAUUGAAAAUUAGGAUGGCCUAAGCUAAAGUGCCACAACACUACUUCUUGUUGCUUAGUCCUCUAGGAAGAUUCACAACCAGCUGAUAGUACUUGUCCAUCCUUGGUAUUAUCUUCCUUGAAGUAGUAGAGCCCUCCAUAUUCCUCAGCACUGUCAAUGCUCUUCCUUAGACAACAAAUUACAUGAUAAUUUGGGACAUUGAGAACAUUGAAAAGGGUUAUAUGAGGCCCUAAAAUUUUAGUACCAGUCCCUGCAACAGUAGCCAGAGAUCCAUCUGCAAUUUUGACUGAUGUGUCCAGAACCUGGAGUAUAAGUAGAAAGUAGACUUGCACAACCUGUCAUAUGGUCUGUUGCCCCUAAAUCUAUUAUCCUAGGGUUGAAUUUUUCUGUUGUUCCACUCAAAGCAAUCCCAAAUGUACCUUUUGGGAUAGGAAGGAUGAGUUAAUGUGGUUUUGGGAUGUAUUAGUGCCUGAUUCUGCUGGUACCAAGGCUGAGGAUGGUGUUAACAAUUUGUAGAGCUGCUCUAACUGCUCCUUGUUUAAGGAAAUAUUGACAGAGCUCUCUCCUCUCUGCUAUUCAGUAUCUGAAGUGGUCUGAUAUCCCUUGGGUUCCCUCUUAGUGCCUUGGUUAUCUCUGAAAUUAGGUGGUCUGCCAUUCAGCUUCCAGCAGUUUUCAUGGCUGUGAUUGGAUCUCUGACAGUGAUCACACCAAAGGUUGUCAUUUCUUCUGUUGCAAGUAUCUCCACAGGAACUGUCAUCUUUACAGGCUAUCAGGUCUGAGUUAUCAGCAGUAGUAUUGCCAGGAACAGUAGGAGUUUUUACCCCACCAACCAUCACACGUUUGCAUGUUUGUAAUUUCUGAUAUUUUAAUCCUUGUUCACAUGAUGACUGUUAUAUUAAUUUUAUUGCUGAUUCAGAUAAUACAGUCAUAACAUUUGCUGGAAUUUUGCAAAAUCAGACUCAGCCUUUUGAGACUUUGAAAACUUUGACACCAUAUUUAGUCAAUCUAGAUUGAAGAAAAGACCUUAUUCUAGAAACUUAUGAACUAAAAACAGAGUUUUCUCUACUUAGAAUAUUCAUUAUUCAUUACUGGUUUUGUUCAUGAAAGUUUCUUUCCUUCUAUGCUUUGUUGCUCUAUACUUCUACUUGCAUAUUCAAAUGGAUCUGCAAAUAAUUUGAUUUUGUUGAUAGGUUGAUGCUGCUCUUGAUUUAAGUCACGCUCAAAACAUUGGAAGAAUGAUUAAAUCCCAUUUCCCACAUUCCCCGGUUAGUAAAUAUAUAUUUUAUUUUAUUUGUUCUCAUCAGCAUGUUGAUUCACUUUUCUUUUUAUCCUCCUAAACUUUAGAUCUUUUUGCCAAUUGAAUUUUAGCUCUAGUAAUAGACACGGGGCCUUUAGUUAUAAUUAAGUCAUAAUAAAAAAAGAAAUUUUCUAUGGUACAAAAAAGGUAUCAUGAUUCAUGGCUCCAAAAGUCAACUAAUGAGAUUGAGAGUUUGUUUCUUGAUAUAUGAAACUACCUAGAGGAGAAGCGAAUAGGUAGUCCAAAAUUUUAUUUUCCAAUUUAAAAUUUAUUCAAAUUUUAUGAGAGGUAGAUUCAAACAAUGUAUAUAUAGAAAUCAAUCACACAUACAAGGACAUCAAUUAUAGGUGGAAAUAACACUUACAAAGUACUUGAGAAAUUUUGUAGAUGAAAAACCUACAGGUUGAACGAUCGGGAAUAGAGCCAUGAAAUACAUAAAAGAUUGUAUGUAGAUUACCUAAUCUAGAAUAUCCAACUCCCAAAGGGUCUUAUACCGGUAAGCACCUACCCAACUUUUCAUGUCCUUAUCGCAACACUCUUUGUUCCUUACUGAAUACCUUAAUCCCAUGCUAAGGCUAUGAAAGAACAUACCUUCAAUGAAAACACUUUCAAGAUUGUGCUUUAAAGGUUUGAGAGAUGGAGAUCUAGGGUAGAGAGAAUAGUCACAUUCUUAUGCAUGUCUUCAAUUUAUAAAAACUUAGUAUUUAUACCAAAAUAUUAGGAGACAAUUUUGGAGAUAUUUUUUCCAAAAAGUUAGCAAAAUAUCCUUUAAAAAAUUGGAAAAUGGCUAGAAAUAUGCAAGAAUAUGGCCCAAUGUUUGAAAGUCUGUAGAUGGUGUUUGAGAGAGAUGUUUGAAUGUCUCCUAUGUGACAUUUGGAUUUCCAACCUGCAUUUUGCCCACUCGGUUGAGUUUUUCAAUCUCUUCUCCAAAAUUUCACUUAGUACUCGUGAUAACCAUUUCUCAUGGCCUAAUAUCACCUAAUGUAUAUGUACUUCAAAUGUGAAUCAACUCUAAAGUAACUAAUGAUUGAUUUAAAUUGGUAAGACCCUCAAGAGGUAAGCUACAUUGGACUCAAUACAAUAAUGGAACAAAAUUUAUCAACCUAAUCUAAUACAUCAAUUGAGAUACCUAAAGGCAAUGACAUAUUAAAUAGUAAAAUGUUAAUUUUUAUUAGUUAUAUAUAUUUUAGUGGAUAAUACCUUCAAAUGCAUUCAGGUGCGUAUAAAGAGUAGCAUGUAUGACAUGAACAAUGCUUGUUUCUAGAAGAGUCUGCUACCUAGUUGACAUUAAACAACAGAAGUGGUUCUUAACUCGAGAAACCAACAAAAAGAGGAGUCAACACUUUUAUCUUAGAUGUAAACUCUACUCUGUAUUUCUAUAAUUAGAUUUGUUCAUAUGGCCAACUGGAAGAAUAAACUAUUCAUUACUAAGAGCAAAAUGAAGCUUUCUAGAAGUUAAUAAAGCGAUCAUAAGAUCAAUUAUUGUAGUUGUGCUUUUGCUACACACAGUCAAAUUAAUAGUCAAGAAAAAUCCUGAAAAUUUUUAAGAACUAAAUUAGAUCUUGUGUUUGGUCUUAAGAACUAAAAAAAGUGGCAGCUCAAAACUAACCAUUAGGUAUGGUUUGGGGUUGAUUUAACAUUCUCUAAAGGCUCAAAUAAUACUCAAGAACGAUUUAAAAUUCUUCCACAAUCAAUAUAAGAGGUUAAUUUGAAGCCUUUAAAUAGGAGUUGGAAGCUCAAAACUAAUCGGCAGGUAUGAUUUGGGGUUGAUUGGUCAAAUUGGUUAUUACCCAUUGGGCAUCAAAAAGUACAAGUGACCAUUAGGUUAUAAAAGGUUAGCUAGAUGGGUUUCCACCUCAACCAGUUAAAAUAAGCUUUUGUCGACCUUAAUCAGUCCAAUUGAUGAAUAAACCAAUUCAACCGGUUGAUUGAGUGAAUAGAAAUGGUUGAGCCGCUUUGGUCAAAGUCUGAGGUCAAACAUACAACUUUAGCAUAUUGCAUCUUUAGCAUAAGAUCAUUAGGAAAACUUGACUAGAUAAACCCUUCAUCAUUUUAAAAACCUUUUUAACCAUUAAAAACACUAAUUAAAGAUGAUUUUCAUUUAAAACAAUUCUUCAUCCAAUUUAUAAAAGAAUAAAAAAUCAAGAGAAGAAUUUAGAGAAAUAAAGGAAGAAGAAAGUCAAAGGAAAAUAAUUUUGAAGUUAUCUAUUUCCAAUACCUUACCAUAUUUAUAGGUUCCAAUCAUAAUGACUAUAAUAUAUAUAUAUAUAUAUAUAUAUAUAUAUAUAUAUAUAUAUAUAUAUAUAUAUAUAUAUAUUAACAAUUAUGAAUGUUACAUGAAUAUUUGCAAAGUUUAAUAUUAGGAAAUGACGUCCACAAAUUUUUAUACCUAUUUAUAGAACUCCCCUUUUGAUGUUAAAUCAUUUUAAAAAUAUGUCUUAUUAAAACCUGACUAAGAAAAAUCCAAGUGAAGGAAAAAAAGUAUAAUAAUCUUUUAAUGCAUUUGGACUACUGUGACUACCUCAUUAAAAAAUUUGUCUGUAAAACCUAGUAGGACAAAACCUGGACAAAAGGAAAAAGAAUACAAUGUAGUGACAUCCUUAUUAAUUUGCUCCCCCGUGAACAUAAUCACGUUUUCUUGACUACUUCAAUUUGAAGCUUCUUGAAUCUUCCCAUUUCAAUAUUAUAUAUGAGUUUUUGGAAUAUUGCUCUUAGUAAUGCUUUUAUGAAUAGAUUUGCAAAAUUGCCACCUAAUCUUACUGGUUGAAUAUUAAUAUUAUGCUUAAGCUUGCUCUAGCUCUAGUAUCAAACCUGGCCUCCUCAGCUCCAACAACAUCACCCUAUGUCAAAUUAUCAUCAUCAAAUACAAAAUCAUAUUGUGCACCUCCAUGAGAAUCCUCAUUUUCCAUUCUUCCUAUCAACCCUUCAUUGUUGUCAUCUAUAUCUUUUAAGGAAAUUGGGCCAAUGGUGUUACGUUCAUUGUAUCUUCUCUUUAAGGCAUUAUAUUUAAUGUGUACCAAAUCAUUCAAGCGUUGAUGAUCUAACCUAUUUCUCCUCUUGCUAUGAAUCUACAAAAAUUUAUAAACUCAUAAAUAUAUUUCAAAGUUUUAACUUUUUACUUUUAAGUUACAUUCAAGACUCUAUUAGACUAUUACUUGUAAUUAUUUUGGUCACUUACAUUUUCAAAGAUGCUUCAAUUCCAUUCACAACCCAAUGCACUACAUGUUAGGUUGAGGACUUUCAUUGCAAACCUUUGCAAAUUUGGAGCUUCAGCUCCAUAUGUAGCCCACCAUUCAGCUAUAGUAUAGAUAUUAACAAUUUAGUGAAAUAAUUCAUCUAUUUCAGCAAAAAUACAAUCUAAUCAUUUAAAUAAAUAAAAAUAAAUAACUAACUUGGUGUUCUAGUCUUCAUUGUCCUUACAACUAACUCAUUCUCGAUUAGUCUUUGGGCAUUUGAGUACAAACUCACUUUAGUCACAACUUUUUCUUACUUAGUGGGGUUUUUUGUCAGCCUUAAGAUGCAUUUAUACAAAUCACUCACAAUCUUUGCAUCAUGCUCUAUUUCUAGUUUAUCAUAGAAAAAUUACCGGUUCAAAAAGUACCAUGUUGCAUGCAAAGGCCGAUGAAGUUGAAUUUCCCAUCUCUUAUAAAUGAUUUUGAAGAUUUCUUUAUACUUCUCUUCAUUUCCAUUAAAACUUCUCAUAAUUGUAUCCUUAGCUCUAUUCAUGACCUCAUAAAUUUAUUCCAUAGGAGCUUUUUUUUUUCACCUUUAACCAAACAAAGCACAUGAACAAGGGGCCCAAAACCUUUAAGCAAAACACAAUAGUGUUCCAAAAUGAAGGCAUUAGAACUAUGUUGGCUAUAGUUUUCUCCUUCUCUUUUGCCCAUUUACUAUUUGACCAAUCUGAACUUGUAAACAUCUUCCUCAAGUUGCUUUUUUGUUCAUGUAAUCGCAAUAAUGUGAUGAAAGCAAUUGCAAAUCGAGUCUUAGUAAGCCUAAGCAAUUCUUUUUGUCUAAUAAUCUGCCUCAUCAUAUUGAGUGGCCUUGGGCAAUUAUAAAUAUACCCAUUUAGUGAUAUAGCCCUCUCCAAUGUCCCUUGAUGUUUGGUAGCUUUCCAAUAUCUUCCAAUAUCAAGUCAAGGCAAUGUGCAGCACAUGGUGUCCAAUACAAAUGCAAGAAAGCUUUAAUUCUAGCAACCUCCCUAUGUGACAUUGUAGAUAAUAAAUUUACAUAAGUUCUCAAGAUAAAUAAUUCAAAUUUUAAAAUUAAAAUUAUUAAAUAAAAAUUCAAGAAAUAGUAUUUAUUACCUGCCAUCACAUAACUUGAGUGAUUAUCUGUUAUAACUUGAAUAACAUUCUCCUCACCAACUUGCUCUACCCAUUUUUCAAGUAACUCAAACAUCUUUUCUCUAGUCUCAAUCAUCGAAAAAGCAUAAAUGGAUUGCAUAAACAUGGUUCCCUUUGAAUAAUUAACCAAAAAUUUCACCAAAGUUCUCUCUUUCCUAUCGGUCCAUCCAUCUAACAUAAUUGAACAUCCAUUUUUUUUUCCAUUCCACCAUAUAAUCCUUCAUCAAAUCUUUUGUAAGAGCUAAUUCUUUCUUGAGGUUUGUAAAUCUUGCCUCAUGAAGAGUUGGUCCCUUCAUACCCACACCAUAUUAGCCAAUAGCCUCAAUUAUUGGUUGGAAACUCGGAUAUAUGAUUGCAUUAAAUGGAAUAACAGCCUCAUACAUCCACCUUGUGAUAAACAUACAAGCUCUUUCUCUUGCUUCCUUUUUAUAGGCAUCAUUGAUAGUAGUUUGAUUCAUCUUCCCACUCUUUUGACUUUGAACAACCAUUUCUACAUUAUGAGUGAAAAAAUGAUCCAUGGGACCUUUUUGUCUUGGUUUUUUUGAAGAAAACAUCCUACCACCACUUCCUCCUUAGUUACUACCUCCAUUAGAAAUGUUGGUGACAUUCAUUCUACUUUUAAUCUCCUCACCAAAAUCUUCAUCUUCCAAACCAAACAAAUUUUCAUUAACAUCUUCACUCCCCAUAUUCAUUUGCUUUUUUGACUUUUUUUGGAACUCAUAUACUCUUCCAUUUCUUCUCUAACAUGUUCUAGACAUUUUCUACACUUUUUAGCAUUUUUAUAUCCACCAACAAGAUGUUGUUUGUGUCUAUAUAUGCCUUUUUUGAUUACUUUAUCACAAAAAAUGCAUAUAGUGGUGUUCAAAUCUUUUUCAUUAGGCAAACGAGCAUACUUUCGUCUGAGAUCUCUUCUUCUACUUGCACUAGAGUCCACUUGAGUUUCACUCUCAUUUUCCAUCUUGCAAACAAAUUAUCCAUACUACAAUAAAAUAAUUAUAUUAAAUUAAGAAAAUAAAAAAUUGAAAAAAAAUGCAUAUCAUAUUAACAAAAAAUAUGUACAUGAGAGUGUUUUUUAUUUGUUUAUUUUUAUUUAGUAAAAUUUUCAUGUCAAAAUACAAUAUUUAUUUUAAAAAAAUGCCAAUGAGAGUUAUGAGACAAGAAUGGAAAAAAAAUGCAGAAAAGAGAAACAUACCAAGGUCCUAGAAAGGUACGUCUAUUUUUCCUCUAUUUUUCCUCAUUUUCUUUGCUUCUCCACUGCACAGCUGAGGUUAGGGCAAAAUUUGGGAGGGUUGUCGAGUUGAAAACAACCAGAAAAUGGAACUAGAAAGGAAAAUAGGACCAAAAUGACAUUGUUUUGGCCUGUUUUUUAUUUUAAAAGAACAAGCUCCAAAACAACAUUAUUUUGGCUGGUUAUUUUUUAAAAUAAAAAUGGUCAAAACAACGUCAUUUUGGUCUCAAUUUUUUUCAUAAAAAACAAAAUUAGGGUUCUCUCUACCCUUUGCAACCCGUCUUCAAAAAAAAAAAAAAAAAAAAAAGAAGAAGAAGAAGAAGAAGGAGAUAGGGGAUCAAGGCGCACCUAUGGACUACGUCGUGCCUUACCGAAGGUGGGCUCCUUGCGCGCUUAAGUGGCGCCUUCGUGAAGGGGCAUCGCCUACCUUUAAGCAAGGCACCGGAGGGUUGCAUCGCACCACCUGGAGCCUAGGCGCACCUUUCACAACUAUGAUACCUUGUUAUCUAAUAAAUAGAAUGUUAACCUAAAUUCUUAAUUAUGAAGCACCAAUAACUUGUUUUCUCAAAGCCUAUCAUCGUAGCCAAUCUAUCUCUUCACUUCCAUUAUGAGUCUUUGGUUGUACUUCCUUCGUACACAUCUGCGAUAAUAAUAGGAAUAAACUUAACCCUAAAGCUCGAAAAUGUAUUUUCUUAGGAUACUUUGAUAUGUAAAAAAGAUAAAAAUGUUACAUACCAAACACACAAAUAUUACACUUCUAUGGGUUUGACAUUCUUUGAAAACCAACCUUUUUUCACCAAAAAUUUCUCUCAAGGGGAAAACGUUAGUGAGGACGAAAAUAUUAAAGUUGCCAUUGCUCCUAUAUUUGCACUACUACUUGAGUUUGAACAACCACAAACACUACUACAUGAACUUGAAUAGUCAUAAAACACCCUUUGGUGAACCUGCUAUGACCAUGAACAAGGGUUCAAUGAUGGAGGGACUUGUAACUCCAGUCUCCCAAGCCACUUGUUUAUUCAAGACAAAAUAGUACUCAAAAGGUGGAACACCUAACAACCUCUUGCAAAACCAUGAAUUUGAACCAAUAUCAAUUACUCAAACUUCUAACCCACGUGUUACUUUUGGAGGUGAUGAUCUUAAAUGUUCCUAUAGCUCUCAAGAAAGGAACCCGAUCUUGUACUCAACACCCAAUCUCCAAGUUUGCAGCCUAUAAUCACUUGUCAUCGUCUGCUCAAGCACUUAUAACUAAUCUAGCAAGAGUGGAAAUUCUGAAAACCACACAGGAAGCUUUAUCAAUACUAGAAUGUAGAAACGCGAUAAGAGAAGAAAUGUUAGCUCUAGAAAAAAAUAGAACUUGGGAUGUUGUGGAGAUGUUGAGGGAAAAAAAAUCCCCUAUUGACUACAAAUGGGUUUUCUCAGACAUAUGGAGUUGACUAUCAAGAGACAUUUACACUAGUGGCAAAGCUAAAUACUAUUCGAGUACUUUUAUCCUUGGCAACAAAUUUGGAUUGGAAACUCCAACUUGAUGUCAAAAAUGCAUUCUUGAAUCGUGAGUUGGAAGAAGAAGUCUAUAUAGAUCUGCCAAUAGGAUUUGAUGAGGCUAGAAUUAAUGAAAAGGUUUACAAGCUCAAAAAAUCUCUUUAUGGAGUGAAACGGUCUCCACAGGCUUGGUUUGGUAGAUUUACAAAGGCUAUUCAUUAGCAAAGGUACCAAUAAGCUCCAUUGGAUCACACUUUGUUUUAUAGACAUAAAGGGGAUAAGACUAUGAUUCUCAUAAUCUAUGUUGAUGAUAUAAUCUUGACUAGUGAUGAUAUUGUAAAGAUGGAAAGGCUAAAAAAUCUCUUGCAAUAGAUUUGAGAUUAAAGAUCUAAGCCCAUUGAGAUAUUUUCUUGGUAUGGAAGUAACAAGAAAUAGAAGUGAUAUUUCAAUUUGUCAAAGGAAGUACAUCCUAGAUCUCUUGGAAGAGAUGGGGAUGUUAAGGUGUAAGCUUGCAGAUACACCCAUAAAUUAUAAUUUGAAACUAGGUAAAUAAUCUGAAAGUACACCAGUUGAUAAAAGUCAAUACCAACAUUUAGUAGGAAAGCUUAUCUAUCAUUCCCAGACUAGAUUGAUAUUGUCUUCGCAGUAGAAUUUGAGAUUAAAGAUCUAAGCCCAUUGAGAUAUUUUCUUGGUAUGGAAGUAACAAGAAAUAGAAGCGAUAUUUCAAUUUCUCAAAGUACAUCAUAGAUCUCUUAGAGGAGAUGAGGAUGUUAGGGUGUAAGCUUGUAGAUACACCCAUAAAUUAUAACUUGAAACUAGGUAAACAAUAUGAAAGUACACGAGUUGAUAAAAGUCAAUACCAACAUCUAGUAGGAAAGCUUAUCUAUCGUUCCCAUACUAGACUGAUAUUGUCUUCGCAGUUAGUGUCGUAAGCCAAUAUAUGCAUUCUCCUUAUGAAGAACACAUGGAAUUCAUGUGUUAGAUUUUGAGAUACCUCAAAUGGACUUUAGGAUGACGACCUAUUCUUUAAGAAAAGUGAAGAGAGGAGAGUUGAGGCUUUUAUAUAUGCAGAUUGGGUAAGACCAGUGAAACACAGGAGGUUAACAACUGUAUAUUGGACUUUUGUGUAGGGUAAUUUAGUGACUUGGAGGAGCAAGAAAUAGACAGUGGUGGCUAGAAGUAGUGUUAAGGCAGAACUUAAAACUUUAGCACAUGGGAUUUAUGAGUUACUAUGAUUGAAAAUAUUGUUAGAUGAUUUGAAAUUUAUGAGAAAUGAGUCUAUGAAGAAUUAUAGUGAAAACAAGGUUGCCAUCACCAUCUCCCAUAACCUUGUUCAUCACAAUAGAACAAAACAUGUAGAGGUAGACCGCCAUUUUAUCAAGGUAAGGAUCGAAGAGGGGAGCAUUUGUGUCGUGCAUAUACCUUCAUCACAAUAUGUUGCAAAUUUGCUAACUAAGGGAUCAUUCAAGCCGAUGUUUAAGAUUGGUUGACAAGUUGGGUCUAUUCAAUGUGUUUAGUCCAGAUUAGUCCAGCUUGAGGCGGAGUGUAGAGAAUCUUGGAUAAUUCUUAUUCUUUGAAUAAGGAUAAAAUCCAAGAAGAGGUUUAUUUUCUAAAUACGGGAGAUUGUGAUUGUGUUCCUUGUUUCUAUUUCUAAUUGCUAGCUAUAAUAUUACAGCUAGCUUGAAUCUCUUAAAAUACAACUGAUUUGAAUCUCCUAAAAUUAAGGGUUGUGGUUACAAAGUCUAGCCCAUAAAUCUACUUGUAUUGAAGAAAUAAAAAAUAACAAUAACAACCUCCACUUUAUGGUUUGCUCUUCUUUCCUGUAGUGUUUUUCUUUUAUCAUUUUUUUUUUGUUUCCUGCCCAGUUUCAGAUACUUAAAAUAUCUAGAGGGAUAAAUAUUCAUAGCUUGUAAAAUUUUGAAAAAAUCAAUUAUAAUAUACAAUAUUAAUAGCUUUGAAAAUUUUUGAAAGAUGAGAGAAAAAAAUCCCUUGGUUUAAUGUGCUUCGCAAGAAGACCCUCAGACUAAACCCUCAUAAAAGUAAGUUGCACCAUUUGAAAAACUAAAGAAAAGUUGAACUUAGUACCAUGAACAUAGAUGCAUAAAGUAAAUCCAGCUAUAACAAUUAUCAGAAGCAUCCUUGUAAACUCUUCCUCAAAGAAAAGCCAUUUAAUAAGUUUGGUAAAGCAAUCUAUAUUAUAAGUUUCAAAUGCUAAAGAUAUGGAAAAAAUAUUUCAAAACUAUGCCAAAUUAUAAAUGAAAAAAAAAAACCGUACAGCACCUCAUCCAGAAUAUAAAGUGGAACUAGUUUGAAGAGGAGCAAUGCCAAUAUUAGAGAGAUUGCAAGCAGUGAACGUUGUCCUCCACUCAAUUCUGACAAGGACUACUUCCAAACACUUCCAAAUGUAACACGAACCUCAAGACCAUCCAAGAAACUGCAUCCUUCAGGAGAUUCCAGCUUUUCCAUUGUGCUUGGUAAUAGAGUAGAAAAGACGGAUCCAAAGUCCCUGAAAAGAAGCUACAAAAUUAUGAAUAGUGAGCUUCAUCAAGUUCUAUAAAAUCAAAGAUCAAUAACCACAUAAAUGAUUAAUUUUAGUAUCAAUUAAAAUAACCAUCUAAUAUAGCAUGAUGCAAUAGACUCAAUUGUUAACUUUAGUCCAAGAACUUUUAAUGUUUCCUUCUUCUUUUCAUCCAGCUCUUCAAUCACCAUCUUGAUUUUUGACUUGUCAUUCUGUUAAAGGCAUAUUAUGCUUUUCUUGGAUAUUAAUUCAUAGUACUCAUCUUCUGCUUUCUCAAACAUUGCCAUCACUUUCUCCAGGCUACAUUAGUGAAAAUAAGAAAAAACAACCAAUAAAAAAUUGUUCUUUGCUACCUCUUCAUUUCAAAAAAGAUAAUGAUAGCACAGUACUAUGUUUGAGUAUGAGAAUGUUUGGAAAAAUCACUCAGCGCUUGAAACCAAACCAAUACAAACAAUAAUGAAAAGAGAUAAGGAAAAAGAAAAAAGGUUUCUCAGCUACAUACCCUGAUUGUUCAGCUUGCACUUUGUUAAGUUCAGCCCUGGCUUUACUAGGAUCAUGACACACAAAAUCAUAAUCAGUUCCACUUCUUCCGAAAAGUUGCUUUUCUAAUGCAAUCCAGGCAUGCUUCUCAAUUAACUUUUCUACCUUCGAAGAAAUCUUUUUGUUCCAUCUCCAUUCGUUUUACCUAAAAAAACGGAAAGUAGAUUAUUUAGUGUAUCAAGUCACAAAGAACAAAUAUAAUGCAAUUAGAAUUUACCUCAUUUUCCAGUUUCUUCCUUCCAAUAUUCAUCUCACUAAGUUUGUGUUGAAGCUUCUCCUGCUCCUUGAGAAUGUAACUAAUUUGAGAAUCACAUUCCUUCAUCUUCAAACGGAUCAAAUUGAGCUCACAUUGAGCCUGAUCAUGAUUGUUCUUUAUUGAAGCAACCUAAGAGAGAGGCUAGAAGGUUAAACUUCACAUUACAUAACUUUCCAUUGUGCUUUGAGAAUCACAAUUUGUCCUCUCAAACAUGCUAGUUGACUCUCCAAAGAUGCACGUUCCUCUAUGGCUGCUUCCAUUUCCAUAAUAAGCCUCUCUUUUCAUUCUCAUGCCCCUAAUAGCAAGAAAAAUCAUACCAUAAGAAAUUAAAGUGCUAUUGAGCACUCUAACACUUCAUCUACUAGAAAAAUCAAAAUGUGGAUGAAAUAUAAUUACCAAGCAAAGUUUAACAAAAUGGUGAAUGAAACGAUUUAAUGAGAUGCAAAAUCAAAAUGAAUAAUGUCAAAUACAACAUAUUUAAACUUCAUACCAAGCUAAUUAGCUAAAGCUUUUUAGAGAGAAUAGUAGAACAUAUUUCAUGUUGUGAAAUGUCUUGCAUUCUUGGAUUACUUGACUUCUAGGCGGUCUCAAAUUCUCUUUGUAAACAUAUUUCAUUAAGCAUUAUAAUGGAAAACUAAGCUAAGGAUUAUAGGGAAAAUUAGGAAUUAAUGGAAGAGGACAAAAUACAAGAGGAUGAGAACAGGAAAAUUUUGUUUAACCAUGGAAAUCCAAGAAAAAAUAACCACAAAAAAAAUGAAAGAAAAAAAAACUUAGGGAAUUGAUUGCAGCUCUGAGUUGAAGCUUCAAUAUAAAAAUUUUUAAAGUGCACCUUAGUUGUUCUUUGCUAUCAAACAAAUGAACUUAGGCAAUCACAUCAAUUUUGAAGUUUCAAGCUACAAAAUCUCACUUGAGCAUUCAUUAACCGUAAAAGAGAUUCUAACAAUCCCUUCUAUAAACGUGUAAGCCUAAUAUGAUAAAUUCUAGCACUUGAAUAGAAGAAUUCCAACCAUCAAUUAAAAGUCAAGUAAAAAGAUACUCAAAAUGCUAGAAAACCCCUUGCUAAUUGAUGCUGUUAAUGUCUUUAUGUGUUGGCCAAUUCUGGAUCAAAAAGAAUUUCCAUUGUAUUCUACCAUUCCAAGUCCUCAAAUUCUCUCUUGGACACUCAUCAUUUCAAAAAUACUCAUAAAUAUAGGUAGAGGAAAUGGUAAGUGUUUUUAGGUGGUGGAUGGGUUCACAAAUUGAUCAACCAAGUUUAAAGUUCUCAUACUUUUUAUCAAAAAUAGGGUUGGAAACUUGGGAGGAGUCAAAACUUUGGUUUUAAACCAAUUGGCUCUAGUUUUGAUUGCUCAUGCUGAAAGGCAAUUAUUCAAUUGUUGUAUAGAAUGUUUCAAUCUUACAUUGGAUCAAUCAUUGUUUCAAUCAUAACUUAAAUUUUCAUUUUUUUUCCAAGCCGAUUUGAGUCGUUGAAUUAAACUUAAAAUCCUACCAUUUAAACUCAUUUCUAAAUUAGGGAUUUAUAGUAGAGAGAGAUGAGUGUCUCCUUAAGCUUCAAAUCUGUUCCAUAUUAGGGAGUGUUUUCUAGAAAUUUUUUAGGUAUUUGAGUUGAAAUUAAAUUUGAUUGAGAAAUUUUCCAACAAAAUAUGUUGAUUCAUUUUUUUGUUUUCAUGUCUAGUUUUGUUCUUCAUCCAUUGGGAUAAAAGCAAAUACCUUCUUGUGUAAAUAUAAAAAAAAAACUAAAAUCUUGUUUGAAGGUAAUUCAAAAGGGAUUCGAUAUGAAGAUGGUGGGAAGUUAAGUUUCCUAAGGUAAUAAACAAGCAAUCCGGGAGAGGAUUGACAGUCUUGGGUUAGGUAAAACCUUGUACUAAUUAUUUUCUUCAUAGCAAUGUUAUUAAAGAUGAUUGCCCGGGUCGCCUAGGCUAUCAGGCCAAGUGGGAUAGAUGAAAGUCGCCUCUUAAAGACCAGGCAAAGCAACUUCACAGAAGCAAUGCCUAGGUGAUUGCCUUGGGAUAAGGCGCAAGGCAUUGAGGUGAUCGCCUUUGACCAUGAGUUAAGAUUAAACAUACUUAGAUUAUUUUCAUUCAAUCUAAUAUUAGAUUAACAUGAAAUAUUAUAUUAUCAAUCAUAGAGAUAAUGAGAUGGAGGGCCAUCAAUCUAGUCUUGAUGAAACAAUGAAAAUUUUAAUUUUAAUGAUGAUUAUGAUGAUGAUGCCUAAAACUUUUUUAAGAUGUUCAUUCUCUUUUUUUGUUUUUUAUUAUGACUUUUAGAUGUCUGAAAAAUUAGAAUAUUCAUUUAGACAAGAUGAAUAUCUCUAGUAUGAUGUUUCUUAUGAUGUGGGGUAUAAUAUUUAACACUUUGAAUAAUUAUUACUAUUUUUUCAAUUUUAUAAGACAUCAUAAGUGAUGAAAAAUAAAUAAUAUUGAUUGUUGAAGACAACACUUAUAUUGUUUAAGUAUCAAAUAGGUAAAUACACGUAUAUUUUUUUAUUGUUUUAUUAUAAUUAGGCUAUUGAAUUGUUUUUUACCUUUCGUCUUAGGCUAAAAGGAGUCUUAUCGUUUUUUGCUUUUGACAACACUGCUUCAUAGUGGAUGUUAUUGACACAAAAUAUGGGAUGAAAAAUAAUAAAUUCUGUCUAUUAGAUUGACUAUACACAGAGUUUAUAUAGGAGAUUACAAGAGAAGAAAUAGGAAACAAGAGACAUAAUAGGAAACUAACUUAUUCCUAAAUCAUAAAACUAUCUAUUUACAAAAAUAAGAAACUAACAUAAUAGGAAAAUAAUUCUCCUAUUCUAUUUACAACUCAGCACUGCCCCUCAUACUGAAGAAUAGAUGUCUUCCAUUCCUAGCUUGAAUACAAGAUCGUGAAACAUUGAAUUGUUCAACCCUUUUGUUAUGAUAUCAGCUAAUUGAUGUUCUGAUGGAACAUAAGACAUACACACUACUCCUUCGUCCAAUUUUUCUUUGAUGAAAUGCUUAUCAAUCUCAAUAUGUUUUGUCCUAUCGUGUUGUAUAGGGUUAUGAGCAAUAUUGAUAGUUGACUUGUUGUCACAAUAAAGCUUCAUAGGACCAUCCCACUUGAUUCUCAAAUCAUAUAGAAUAAUCUUCAACCAAAGUAGUUCACACAACCCUUGAGCAAUGGCCCUAAACUCUGAUUCUGCAGGCGACCUUGCUACCACAUUCUGCUUUUUACUUCUCCAUGUUACCAGAUUAUCUCUAAGAAAAGUACAAUACCCUGUAGUUGAUCUUCGAUCUACUAAGAAACCUGCAUAGUCAACGUCGGUGUAUGCUUUUAGAGCAAGAGUAUUGUUCUUCUUGAACAAAAUUCCUUUCCUGGGGUUGCCUUUCAAGUAAUGCAACACCCUGUAAGCAGCUUGAAGAUGAGGUUCUCUUGGAUCAUGCAUCAAUUGACUGAUCACGCUCACCGAGUAGGCGAUGUCUGGCCAAGUGUGAUCAAGGUAUAUGAGCCUACCAACUAGCCUCUGGUACAUUCUUUUUUGCACCACUGGUUCCUCUUUAGCUUCUCUCAACUUGUGGUUUGGAUCCAUUAGGGUAGAGACUCUUUUACACCCAAUUUUCCUUGUUUCUUCCAAUAAAUCAGUCACAUACUUUUGUUGAGAGAUGAAGAUCCCUUGUGUGGAAUAUGCCACCUCAAUACCGAGGAAGUACUUCAGUUUCCCUAGUUCCUUUAUCUCAAACUCUAUUGUUAAUCUCUACGUCACAUUAUGCUUUUCUCUCUCAUUUCCAAUCACUAUGAUGUCGUCAACAUAGACUAGAAGAACAGUUACUCCUCCUGCAGUCGAGUGCUUAAUGAAGAGAGUUUGGUCACCUUGGCUUUAUUUGUACCCAAACUCUUUCAUGACUUUUGCAAAUCUCCCAAACCAAGCCUUAGGAGAUUGUUUUAUCCCAUAAAGGGCCUUUUGCAGCUUGCACACCUUGUUACCUGUGUUUACCUCAAACACCGAUGGGAUGUUCAUGUAAAUCUCUUCAUCUAAAUCACCAUGAAGAAAUGCAUUAUUGACAUCAUACUGUAGGAGUUGCCAAUUGUAGUGGGCAGCCAGUGACAGUAGGAUUCUUACAGUAUUCAUUUUUGCAGCUGGAACAAAAGUCUCCUGAUAAUCAACUCCAUAAGUUUGAGUGUACCCUUUGGCUACCAAUCUUGCUUUACAUCUCUCAAGAGAUCCAUCAGCCUUAUAUUUCAGUGUGAAAAUCCACUUGCAAUCAACAAUGUUUUUCCCUUUCAGUCUUUCAACAAUCUCCCAUGUUUUAUUCUUUUCUAAUGCACUCAUCUCCUCUCUCAUAACAUCCUUCCAUUCCUUUUUUGUCAAUGCCUCAAAAACAAUGUUAGGGAUGAUAGUGGUGUUUAGACUCACAAUAAAAUUCUUGUGGGCUAGUGAUAGGUGCUUAAGAGACACAUAGUGUGAUAGUGGAUAGAGUGGUCGAUUAGUGCAUUCUCUGGUGCCUUUUCUGAUAGCAAUGGGAAGGUCUAGGUCUAGGUUGUCUGUUGAGUUGGUGGAAGUUUCACCAGGUUGUGUAUGUAAAGGUGGGUCUUAUAUUUCCAUGAUUUCAUUCCCAGGGUCUGAGUUGGAUUCUUGGACCUGCUUUUGUUCUGGAAUGGCCUUUUCCCUUGAAUACACCUUAGGAAACUGUGGAAAAUUGCGAGUGACACUGGCUGGAACAGGAGAUGACACGGGUUCAAUGGUAAAAUUGGGUGACUCAGGUGUGAUUGACUCGGAUGACUUAGGUUCUUCAUCACCAUGGGUUGAGACAUGAGGAAAAUCAAGAGGUUCAAAGGACUCACAAGAACUAUCUUCCAUCAUUGAAAUCUCCCCCUGAAGAGAGGACUUGGGGAAAAAAUGUUUAUUUUAUGUGAAUGUGACAUCUGCAGAGAUGUAAAAUUUUCUGGCUGAAGGAUUGUAACACUUGUAUCCUUUUUUAGUGGAUGAGUAACCAAGGAAGACACAUUUUAUGGCUCAAGGGGUCUAGCUUGUCUCUAUGUUGGCUGUGGAUAUGAACAAAUGCAGUGCACCCAAAUACCUUAAGAGUGAGCCCAUUUGAGGUUUUGAAGUGUGGAUAGAAACUCUUAAGUAUCUCUACGGGGCUUUUGUCGUCUAACACUCAUGAGGGAAUUCUGUUUAUCAUGUAUGUGGCACUAAGAACAGCUUCCCCCCAAUAGGACUUAGGAACAUUCCCUUGAAAGAGUAAGGCUCGGGUUGUGUUGAGUAAAUGCCCAUUUUUCCUCUCGACUACCCCAUUUUGUUAGGAUGUGUUAACACAUGAUGAGUCAUGGAGACAAAAUCUGGUUGAAGUAAUCUCUAGCAUUGUUUGUCCUAAAGCUUUUUAUUUUAACCUUAAAUUGGUUUUGAACCAUUGAAUGGAAAUUAGAUAUAACAAUGAUAACAUCAGAUUUUUGUUUAAGAAGAAAGAUCCAUGAAACCCGAGUGCAUUCAUCAAUUAAGGAUACAAACCAACGAGCCCCAGAAACAUUAGGUAUUGUCGAAAGACCCCAUAUGUCACUAUGGAUCAAAUGAAAAUGAUGAAAACUUCUUUUAUUGCUAAUAGGAAAAUAUACACGAGUAUGUUUUGCCAAUUCACAAGUUUCACAAUGAAACUCGAAAAUAUCUAAUCCUUGGAACAAAUGAGGAAACAUGACCUUUAAAACCCUAAAAGAUGGAUGACCUAGACGUAGGUGAUACAACAAAAUGGUAUCUUUAUUUAAGGAAUUGAGAAAAGACAACGACAAAUUAUUACUAGCUUUCUGAGAUGAUUCAAGGUGGUAAAGACCUUUCCUUUCCUUAUCAAGUCCAAUCCUCCUCCCCGAGCCUUGUUCCUAAAAAACACAAUAAGAAAGGAAAAAAAUAGCAUAACAUUUAAGAUCAUGGGUAAGCUUUUGAAUGAAAACAAGGUUGGCCGACAAUUUUGGUACAUGGAGGACAUUUUUAAGAAUAAGGGUAGGUGUGAUGUAUGUCUCCAAAACCUACAAUGGUAGCUAAAGAGUCAUUGGCCACUGCAAUUUUCUUGUUACUUGGGUUUAGGGUAUACGUAUGGAAAAGUUGAGAUUUGGAGGUCAUAUGGUCCGUGGCACUGGAGUCUAUUAUCCAAGAGUCAUCAUAAACCCUGUGUGAGGCAUUUAUGCAAAAAUAGAGUGAAAGUGUAGCUGAAAGAGCCAAAGAAUAAGUUCCAAUAGGUUUGUAAAGAACACGUGAAUAAAAAAAAAUCCAGCUAUGAAAGCCAGAAAAAUGGCGAUGAAGGCCAAAAUGAUGCCCAGGUCUUAAAAACCUAUAGCUCUGAUACCAUGACACGAAAUAUGGGAUGAAAAAUAAUAAGUUAUGUCUAUUAGAUUGACUAUACACAUAGUUUAUAUAGGAGAUUACAAGAAAAGAAAUAGAAAACAAGAGACAUAAUAGGAAACUAACUUAUUCCUAAAUCAUAAAACUAUCUAUCUACAGAAAUAGGAAACUAACAUAAUAGGAAAAUAAUUCUCCUAUUCUAUUUACAGCUCAACAGUUACAUUUAUGAUUAACCCAUGUUUUUUUUCCUCUUUGGAAAUUUUCCAUGUUAUAUCACUAUGUCUUUAUUUCUUUUUUAUUUUCUAAAUUUAUGUUUUGAUUCAAUUUAUAGCAUGAAUUUUAGAUUUGUGGACCAUGUUUUAAAAGGUAUUGAGGGUUAUGCAUCGAGGCUCACCUCAAGGUAAUUGAGGUGAUUGAGGCUUAAGCCUUAGUUAAGGUAAUUGAGGCUUAAGCCUCACCCUAUCAAGGCUUAUAGCUUUGAGGAUAUAGCCUCAAGGCUGUUGAGACCUAAUCCUCAAAUAUCCAAAGGGUUUUUGGUCUUUAUGGGCUUUUGGUAUAUAUUUUGUAAAAGGCUUAAGUCUCUAUUCAAUAAGUGUUAAUAUGAUCUACUUCAGCAAUUACAAAAUACCUUGAGGUCCUGGGAAUCUGAUAUCAUUUGAGACUUUAAAGCCUUUUCAUUUUUCUCUAAAUCUUUAAGCCUACCAUCCCCAUUAUUAGCAUGCUCUUUGAUUGACUUCUCAAGCAGUGACACGGUAUUUACACAGUUUUCAAGCAGAAAUUGCUUUUCUUUAGCAGUUGACUUUGAUUCCCAAGCUCCUGCUCAAUCCUUUUAACCAAUUCACUGAGCUACAUUGCAAGCAAAAAUAAAAAACAUAAAGAAUGAAAAUUAGAAAGAAUAGAAUCAUAUUACAUGAGAAGAGGCAACCUGAGGGUAAAAAUAUAUGGCUUCAUAUGGCAUAGCACUAAAGCUUCCUCCUAGACAUUUUAUGUGAGAAAGGAAAGGUCAUAAACCUUAUGAUGCUCAUUUUGCUUAACCCUGAUCUAAAAUAAUGAAAGGUCAUAUGACUUAAGUUCCAACUGCGCUUUAAGGUCCAUGAACCUUUAGGCAUGAGGUCGGAGAUCUGCAAUGUCAACCAAGAAAUAGACAAAAACAUAAAAUUAGUAUUGGAGAAGGCUGAUUUUAUUCAAAUCUCAAUGAAUACAUCUAAAGAGAAAACAUACACUUGCAAUAAUAAAAACCAUUUAUCUUCAAAUGUUGACAAAAAAUUAAAAGAUAGAUGUCAAGUUUGUUCUCAAAGUUCCAAAUAUGUACUGAAUAAGUAAAAAUAAUAUGAAUAUGACACGCUAUUUUUGUCCAUCAUUGAAUAAAAUCUCCAAAGCUGAUAAUAGUCAUGCAACCACAAUACAAUCAACUUUCAAUAAGAAACUUUAUAUAACAUUGGACUUGAUCAUAACCUACUAGAGACAAACAAUAGGGAACAGUGCCCCUAACUGUUUAUGAACUUCAGAAGUUGGCAACCCUAUCAGAUAACUUGAAUGUUUAUUUAUCAGUAACCAUAAAAUACAAAAAUAAAAUAAGGUUCAUAUAAAGAUAGCAUUUUUAAAAGAAAACAGAAAACAUCUUCCCAUUGUCAUGUUGAAUGGAGAUAAAAAUCAAAACUUUGCAAAAUAAUCAUCAUUUUACUAAAAGUUUUUUUCACUUCAUGAACACAAACACAAUUGUUGAAGAAAACUUAUAAGAUAUUAAUAUUUUGAAAACAUUUGUAUGGUGGACAAUGUUAAAGUCAUAAAUCAUGUGAAGGACUAUUGGGUUAACUCAAAUAAAUACUUCUUAUUAAAAGAAGACACAUACAUACACUAUUAACAUAUUGAAAAGAAGUUUUAUUUAAAUAAAUGCAUGAAGAUUUUUACUUUCUAUUUUUUUUAAUCCUAAAUACUUCAUUCUUCAGGAAAUAGAGUAGGUUGUUCAAAGUUGACCUUUGCUUCAAUUUAUGGUAACUUCUGCUGAUGAAUUGAAAGUUUUGAUUCAGCCUCUGCCAAAGCAUGAAGUUGCCUUAAUAGAUCACCACCACCUCUGGAACAAUAAAUUGUUAAUUUAAAAGGUUAUCUUACUAAAGUUGAUUUGAACCUUGAGAGCAUCUUCUAAUGUAGGUAUGAUAGUACAAAUGGCCUUUUUCCAACAUACUUGAAACAUAUGUAUGCAUAAAAAAUGAAAUAAAAAAAAAUAUAACCAAAAGAACUAAAAAAUUACUCAAAAUUUUGUAUUUAUAUGUGCUUACAAACAAUAAGCAAUUGAAAUGAUAGGCAACUACACCUUUGUAAAGAAUGUUAACUAGAUAGAAAAUAAGCAAGCAGGUGGUUUACUUGUGACUACCACCAGUCAGAAGACCACUUGGUUGAAAUAUAUCACCAUCAAGAGUAACACUUGGAGUGGAGAUACCCCUAUUAAAAAUAACCUGUUGACCAUUCAUUUCAAUACAAAUUAGCUUUGGCUAAAUCAAAAAUAAAAUUUACCACAUAAUUCACACUAUGACCAGUUUGCAUUUAAAUAAAAAGCAAUAAGAAAGCAAUGAAUGUAUUAGAGCUGAAAAUAAUAUCCUGGACUUGAGACCACCUUAUUCGAUUAAGUUUACCUCCAUCCCUUGAGUAAAACAGGUUAACUACUUAUAGACAUGUCUGAUUACAGGUUAGGCUCUAACACCAGAUAAAUUCAUCCCCAAGAUGAAGUUCUUCGACUAGGUUAUAAACAGGACAAGCUUUGGUUGGAUAAUGUUAGAGAACAUGCAAGUAUGGGGCUGCACAUCCAUGAAUGAGAGGGGGUGUAAGAGAGCAUGUUUAUUUCCCCAAUUUAUUGAGCUCAAAGGAGGUUGUUUGCAAUUUGUUUGCCUAUGGACUCGUCUAUUUCUCCAUGUAUAGGAAUAGAGCCACACAUGGAAGAGGAUGCUAGAACACAUACAGGUAUGGGGCCUCUCAUGUGGCCUACAGGCCUAUUCAUCUCUCCAUGUGUGGCUAUGAGGCUACACAUGAGGGAAGGUAUUGGAGAACAUAGUGGAAUGGGACUACAUGACCCCCAUGGUUUGUCUAUCUCUCGUCAUACAAAUAUGAGGUCACACAUGAGGAAAGGUCUUAGAAAGCAUAUACUUAUAGGGCCACACACACCCACAACUAUUAGGAAAAUUGGUUGUCCAAAUAAGUAGUUUUAGAGCACUACUCUAUCAAUUACCAACUCUAGAUAUACAUUCAAAUCAUUAUACGUUUUUUACAUAUCAAACACUUGAAAAUCACUGUAGAAAACAAACAAAAUGAAUUGAAAAUGAUAUUCCCAAUUCUUAUUUCAUUCAAACAGUAAUUUAGUAAAUCAUUGAUGAUACAAAUAAACCAACAAUACUAAUUUGACGAUACAAAAACAUAAUAUCUUUGACCAAUGAUUUUGAAGACUAUACACUAAAGGAAAUGUGUAAUAGAAGUUUAGCUUUCAAAAAACUAAAAUUUUCCAAAUUCUAUGAAGCACAUUGGUAUAGAAAACCCAAAGAGUUAGGAAUUAACUUUAAUUGGCAUAAUCAUCAAUUUUCUUAAGAAAAAAGCAACUGAACUUGGUUUCCAUGCAGAUAUUUAGAGUUUGGUUUAUCCGAUUACUAUUAAAGAGCAAUUCCAUUGCAAGUAUCUAUUUGGAUCAUUAAUGGUUUUGAUUGACACUACCAUCAUGGUCCUAGCUUUUCUCUAAGGGGUCAUUUAGAUGAGAGGUGCAAAAGAAGGGAUUUCAAGAUAAAUAGAAUUUGGCAUUAUCUUCUUCCAAAUCCAUAGAUCUCAGUAUUUAAGACAAAGAUAUAGAGCCAUAGACAAUUACCCCAUCCACCAUUUUUUCUAAACCAUCACUAUAGCCACCAACACUCCUAUCACUAUGCCAUCUUCACCACUACUUAUGUAACCACCACCACUAACACAUUAGCUCUAUUACCAAAUCACACCACCCCAUUGUGUCAUUUUUAUUUUUUCUUAUAAUUGAGGAACCGUCCAUGGCCAAGCCCUUAGGACUCUCCAUGGGGACCCAUUGUGUCAUUGCCAUGACAAUAAAUCAAUAAUAACACUACCAGGAAAAUGCUUUUCAUACCAUAUUUAUUAUCAUCUUUAUUACAACCUACUCGUGUGGUAAGGGAUUGUUGGAUGUGAAAAGAAAAAAACCAAAUAAAAAGACAUUUUUACUUAUUUUAUUCAUUAGCAUCUUUUCUACAUAUCCAAUAACCACCUGCUACAUUCGGCAAUGGUAAAAGAAGUGUUAUAGAAAAUGUUAAUGAUAGCAUCAUCCCCAUUGCUACUACCAUUUCAUCACCAGUACAACCACAACUACAACAACUCUCAUUGUUUUUAAUAAGUAAAGGCAAUUGUAUUAAAGGAAAAAAUAUACAAAGAAACCAAGGUGCAAGUACACAAAACGACUCUCAUUGUUACAAUGCCACCAUCACCAUCCUAUCAACCUACAAAUUUAUUAACAUCAAACAUAUAGCAGAAUCUUCAAAAGAUCAUUGGCAUUCCAUUCAUUCAAAUACUUGAUCACAGAAUCCUUAAUGUUAAAUCAAAAUCAUCAUUCAAACAACGAUUAAAAGAAAAGCAUUGAUCAGAAUGAAACUUCUAUUUGUUGGCUUAGUUUAAAAUUGUCUUAUUACAUUAAUACAUAAUAAGUAUAUUAGUCAUUUCAUUUCAAACCCAUUUCUAUCAUGAUAUAUUGCAAUGUAUGAAAUGGGUUUGGCUCACUUCAAUUUCCAUAAUCUUUAAAAAAAAAAUCAUUAAAAUCAUUUGGCAUGAGCAAAAAACAAUCAAAAUCUACAAUAUAAUAGGUCCCACAUACACUACCCCCAAUGUACAAAGACCAAUUUAACCACAUGAUUUUAACCAUACAAUUUUUCACAUACUAUUUUCUUUCUAAAUAUCAUUAACAUUUUCCAUCUGUUCAAAUUUUUUUAUAUAAAUCAAUGAAAAUCCAAGGGACAAAAUGAUCAAAUCAAGGUAUCUCAUACAUAGGGUACUAAAUCGUGCUCAUUAGAUCGUGAUUUCAAUUUUUUAUUGUUGAUGACAUUGCUCGAGUAUAAAAGUUGAGGAAACUUCAGAAUAGCUCAUAAGGUGCUGGGCAGUAUGGCAAUCCCAAAUUUGGUUAUGAAGCUAUAUUUAUAGUCAUUUUAAAUUUGGAGGAUGGAACCAAUUGAUUGAUACAAUCUAUCUAAUUCUAUUUAAUCUAUAUGUCACCAGUAGGACUAAUCGUCCUCAAAAGAGAAUUAAUAGAAAAUAUCUACUAAACAAAGAAGAAUCUCUUGGAGGCAACUAACAUAGAAACCUCAAAACAAAAUGAAAAACAAAAGAUGUUGAAGCCUCAAACACAUUUCCAUAAAAAAUUGCCUACAAGACAAGGAAAUUUUUUUAACGAGAUUGUCCUUUCAGAUGAGGCGCACACUUGAAAUCUUAAAAUGGUAUUGUCCUUGUUUCCUAAAUAUUCUACUUAAAUGACUGGAUAGACGAGGAAUAGGAAAAAUCAAAGAAUAGAAUAUUCUCAAAGUAGAUCAAAUAAUAGGUAACAUACACACUAAAUAUUCAACUUAAAUGACUGGAUGGACAAGGAAUAGGAAAAAUCAAAGGAUAGAAUAUUAAAUGAUUAGAUCAAAUAAUAUGUAACACACACACACACAUAUAUAUGUAUAUAUGUAUAUCACAUGUUUCAUCAUUUCAUUUUUUAUAGAAUUAUUCAGGGUGAUGCAACAAAAAUAUAUGAAACUUAGUGCUUUGAAGUAAAUUCCAAAAUAGCAGAAAUAUACUUCUGCUUUUCUGCUGCAUUUCAGGUAAAAUCAUUGUGUGCUUCAUAGUUUCAUUUUUUUGCAGAAUUAUUCAGUGCAAUGGAGCAAAAAUAUGUCAAACUUUGUGCUUUGAUGUAAAUUCGAAGAAAAUAUUUUUUCCAGAAAUGGAGUAGAAAAACAAGUAUCUGAAAUAUGGCAUCAACAAAACAUUCAAAUAGAAUCAUACUGCUCAAAUAACUGCACAGAUAACUGCUUUGCCAAAAUGAGUUUACCUCCUUUGCAGCAUCAAUACUUUUACAAACAAAGGUUCAACCAAACACAUAUUCCAUUGCACUCUGCGACAUUUAUACCAACUUUUGGUAAAGCUAUUAUCCAACAGAAUUUGGUUAAAAGUGCAAGAGAGGUCAAUGCUCAAUUCCCACUACAUAUGCUAUGCAAUAAGAUAAAUAAGGCUUGCCCAUUUUCACAACAAAUAUGUGAUGGAAUCAUAGUUGUGAAAGGCACGCCUAAGGCGCGCCUAGGCUCGGGGCUGUGUGACGCCACCCUCUGGCGCCUAGCCUGAAGGGAGGCGCCGCUUCGGCGCGCAAGGCACGACGCGGUCGCCCGAGUCGCCUCCGAUGAUCCAACCAAGUACGCACUCCUUCUCCUUCUCCUUCUGCUUCUUCUUAUUUCUUCUACCGUCGAGUUGCAGAGAGCCCUAAAUUUUUUUUAAAUUUGGUAGGUCCAAAACGACGUCGUUUUAGAGCCUGUUCCUUUUAAAAAAAAAACAGGCCAAAACGACGCCGUUUUGGCCUGUUCCUCCCUUCCAGCCCCUUUUUCUGUUCUUUCUCAACCCAAGACCACUCCCAUUCGUGCCCUAGCCUCUUCCGUGCUGGAGAAGUGAAGAAGAAGAAGAAGAAGAAAAAUAGGGGGGAAAUAAGAGAAAAAUAAAGGGAAAAUAGUCACGUACCUUCCGCACCUCGGUAUUUUUCUUUUUUCUUCACUUUUCUGCAUUUUUUUCCAUUCUUAUCUCAUAACUCUCAUUGGUAAUUUUUUUUUUAAAUAUAAAUAUUAUAUUUUGAGUUUUUGACAUGAAAAUUUUACAAAAUAAAAAUAAAUAAACAAAAAACACUCAUAUGCAUGUUUGUUGUUAAUGUGAUAACGUGAUAUGCAUUUUUUUUUUUAAUUUUUUUCUUAAUUUAAUUAUAAUUAUUUUAUUGUAGAGUAUAGAUAAUUUGUUUUCAAGAUGGAUAAUGAGAGUGAAACUCAAGUGGACUCUAGUGCAAGUGGACUCUAGUGCAAGUGGAAGAAGAGAUCCCGGGUGGAAAUAUGUUCGUUUGGUUAAUGAAAAAGAUUUGAACACCAUCAUAUGCAUUUUUUGUGAUGAAGUAACCAAAGGAGGCAUAUAUAGACACAAACAACAUCUUGUUGGUGGAUAUAGAAAUGCUAAAAAGUGUAGAAAAUGUCUGGAACAUGUUAGACAAGAAAUGGAAGAGUAUAUGAGUUCCAAGAAAAAUCAAAAAGAGCAAAUGAAUAUGAGGAGCGAAGAUGUUAAUGAAGAUUUGUUUGGUUUGAAAGAUGAAGAUUUUGGUAAGGAGAUUAAUGGUAGAACGAAUGUCACCAACAUUUCUAGUGGAGGUAGUAACCGAGGAGGAAGUGGUGGUAGGACGUUUUCUUCAAAAAAACCAAGACAAAAAGGUCCUAUGGAUCAUUUUUUCACUCCUAAUGCAGAGAUGGUUGUUCAAAAUCGAAUGAGUGGAAAGAUGAAUCAAACUACCAUCAAUGAUGCCUACAAAAAGGAAGCAAGAGAAAGAACUUGUAUGCUUAUCACAAGAUGGAUGUAUGAGGCUGCUAUUCCAUUUAAUGUCGUCACAAAUCCGAGUUUCCAACCAAUAAUUGAGGCUAUUGGCCAAUAUGGUGUGGGUAUGAAGGGACCAACUUUUCAUGAGGUAAGAGUUACUAACCUUAAGAAAGAAUUGGCUCUCACAAAAGAUUUGAUGAAAGAUCACAUGAUGGAAUGGGGGAAAAAUGGAUGUUCAAUUAUGUCAGAUGGAUGGACCGAUAGGAAAGAGAGAACUUUGGUGAACUUUUUGGUUAAUUGUUCAAAGGGAACCAUGUUCAUGCAAUCCAUUGAUGCUUCUUCAAUGAUUAAGACGGGAGAAAAGAUGUUUGAGUUACUUGACAAAUGGGUAGAGCAAGUUGGUGAGGAGAAUGUUAUUCAAGUUAUAACAGAUAAUCACUCAAGUUAUGUGAUGGUAGGUAAUAAAUACUAUUUCUUGAAUUUUUAUUUACUUUUAAAAUUUGAAUUAUUUAUCUUGAGAACUUAUAUAAAUUUAUUAUCUACAAUGUCAUAUAGGGAGGUUGUUAGAAUUAAAGCGCCCACAUUUGUAUUGGACACCAUGUGCUGCACAUUGCCUUGACUUGAUGUUGGAAGAUAUUGGAAAGCUACCAAACAUCAAGAGGACAUUGGAGAGGGUUAUAUCACUAAAUGGGUAUAUUUAUAAUCGCUCAGGACUAUUCAACAUGAUGAGGCGGUUUAUUGGACAAAGGAAACUGCUUAGGCCUGCUAAGACUCGGUUUGCAACUGCUUUCAUCACAUUAUUGCGAUUGCAUGAACAAAAAAACAAUUUGAGGAAGAUGUUUACAAGCUCGGAUUGGUCAAAUAGUAAAUGGGCAAAAGAGCGGAAGGGGAAAACUAUAGCCAACAUAGUUCUAAUGCCUUCAUUUUGGAACACUAUUGUGUUUUGCUUAAAGGUUUUGGGUCCCCUAGUUCAUGUGCUUCGUUUGGUUGAUGGUGAAAAAAAAAAUCCUAUGGGAUACAUCUAUGAGGCCAUGAAUAGAGCUAAGGAUACAAUUGUGAGAAGUUUUAAUGGAAAUAAAGAGAAGUACAAAGAAAUCUUCAACAUCAUUGAUAAGAGGUGGGAGAUUCAGCUUCAUCGGCCUUUGCAUGCGGCAGGGUACUUUUUGAACCCGGAAUUCUUCUAUGAUAAACCAGAAAUAGAGCAUGAUGCCGAGAUUAUGAGUGAUUUGUAUAAAUGCAUCUUAAGGCUAACAAGAGACCCUGCUAAGCAAGAAAAAGUUGUGGCCGAAGUGAGUUUGUUCACAAAUGCCCAAGGACUAUUCAGGAAUGAGUUAGCUGUUAGGAUAAGAAAGACUAGAGCACCAGGUUAGUUAUUUAGUUUUGUUUAUUUAAAUGAUUAGAUUGUAUUUUUGCUAAAAUAGGUGAAUUGUCUCACUAAAUUGUUAAUAUCUAUACUACAGCUGAAUGGUGGGUUGCAUAUGGAGCUUCAGCUCCAAAUUUGCAAAAGUUUGCAAUGAAAGUCCUCAACUUAACAUGCAGUGCAUCAGGUUGUGAACGAAAUUGGAGCAUCUUUGAAAAUGUAAGUGACCAAAUCCAAAAUAAUUACAAAUAAUAGUCUAAUAGAGUCUUGAAUGUAACUUAAAAGUUAAAACUUUAAAAUAUAUUUAUGAGCUUAUGAAUUUUUGCAGAUUCAUAGCAAGAGGAGAAAUAGGUUAGAUCAUCAACGCUUGAAUGAUUUGGUGUACAUUAAGUAUAAUCGAGCCUUGAAGAGAAGAUACAAUGAACGUAACACCAUUGACCCAAUUUCCUUGAAAGAUUUAGAUGAUAGCAAUGAAUGGUUGAUAGGAAGAAUGGAAGAUGAGGAUUCUCAUGGAGGUGCACAAGAUGAUUUUGUAUUUGAUGAUGAUAAUUUGACAUGGGGUGAUGUUGCUAGAGCUACUGAGCUGAGGCAACCAGAUUUGAUACUAGAGCUAGAGCUAGAGCAAGCUCAAGCAUAAUACCACCAACAGGGGGAAUAGCUUCAAGUUCUAGAACUUUGCCUUCUCAUUCACUAAUAGAUGAAGAUGAAGAUGGAGAUAUGGUUGAUUCAGCAGAUGAAGAAGAUGGGGAAGGCUACAAAUGUGGUGAUGGAAAUGAUGAUGAUGAUGAUUUUGUUGAUUUAGAGGAGUGAUGAUUGCUUGUUGUGGACAAAUUUGUUAUUUAAGUGUUUUUUAAUGAUGUUUUUGAAUUGUGGACAAAUUUCAUGUUUUGGACCUUUAGGUUUGAAAACUUUGGAUUUGGAUAUGUAUUAGGCUAUUAGCAAUAUGGAUUUGGAUUUGUUUUUAUGCUUGGAGUUCUUUAUUUUUAUGUUUUUUGUUUAUUAAAUUGAAGUUUUGGAUGAUAUUUGAUGAUUUAUGUGUUUAGGACAAAUAAAUGAUUGUUAAAUUUGAUUAUAUUAUAUAAAAAUAUAUAUGUAAAUUAGGGUGCGCCUCACUUCACUCAAACCCACGCCUUAGAUGCGCUUUGCGUCUUGGUGCGCCUUGAGCCUUUUAAAACUAUGGAUGAAAUUAUGUCCAAGCACUAAAAUUUCUAGUAACAUGGCAAUAUACAAACAUUUCAUAAUGCGCAACAUUCAAUGAUGAGGUUCAACAUCAUGCAUACCUUCAGUUCCUCAUCAUAUCCAACCAAAGAAAGAGCCAGUUCUGUAUUCUCCUUACCAACCUGAAGAUGCCAAAUAAUAAUAUUUGAACCAUGGCUGACAGACUGAAACCAUUAAAUUAUGGAGAAAACUAAGUGCAUUGACUAACCAAUCUGGAAGCUGCAUUGACUAAGAAACUUCUGCACCACGUCCAGCUUAAGAGCACAUUCCUAAAAAGCAUUAUGCAAUCUAAAAAGUAAAAGUGUGAUCAAAUUAGGAUUCAUAUAUCAUUUAUGUAGUGUUGGCAGCCAUUUGGGGAAGAGCACACUAACCUUUUGUAAAGCUUCCAUCUGACCUUUGUAUGUAAGAGAUUCCAAUGCCAUUUUGAUAUUUUCCACAUCCUUUCUCCUCACAUUAAGCUCAUUCUCAACAGAAACAGCUUCUUCACGCUUAGAUAUUGACUCAUUUGUUUUCUCUUUCAGCUCUUUCUCACGAUGAGUUAUUUUUGUGUUGAGCUGUUUCAAUUCUGUUUCUGCUCUCCCAACUGCUACUUUUGCAUCAGCUAGUUGAUCUUCAAGGCAUUUUUCCUCACUUCCACUGCUCUUACCGGCUAGAACACCCUAUCAUGGUAUGUACAACAUCUCUUCUAUAUUCAGCUCAGCUUGCCUAUAAAUGAGAGCAAUAACAAAGCCCAUCAAGUUCAAUAGCAGAAUGAGAUAUAUUAGAACUUUUUUUACCUGGUACUCUUUUUCACACUCUUCCAAAUUCUUAGAAAGUCCCUCAACUCUUUGUUUUAGAUCAACUGCCCCAUCUUCAGCCCUUUUGACAACAGAGGCCCUCUCUUCACAGACUGUUUUAAAUCUUCAAUACCUGUAACAAUCUAGUAACAUCAACACAACUAAAUGUGAUAUUCCAUACAACUCACAAUAACAGCAGAAAAAUAUUAGUACAAAACACAAAAAGCAAACUUUCAAAAAACAAAAGCUAGUGGAAAGCAUGCAAUGCUUGCAACCAAGAGAAAACAUAUCUUUAUUUUUUUGGUGCCAGGCUCUAGUUACCUUUUCAGCAUUCUCUUUUUCACUCCUGAGAGUGUCUUCUUGAUUUUUCAGUACUGAUGCUUGCUUCACAAGCUCACGAGAAAGAGCAUCUAUGUUCUCUGAUAAAACUUUUACCUCUCCGCCCAGACUUGCCUUCUUUUCAGCAGUCAAGUUUGACACUUGUGUCUCCAUUUCCUGUAUUUCCACCUGCAUCCUUUUGUGACUCUCUUCGAUAUCAGCAGUCUUUGUCUUUACUUGUUCAACCCCAGAGACUGCACUGUCCCUAAUCUUCUCUGCCUGAACAAAUUCAUAGGCAAUGCAGAACCUUUUAAGUCAAUCUAAUUCUGCAAUGCCAUUAGCCCAUUGCAUAUACUGCAUAUGUUCUUUCCUCAACUUCUCCAAAGCAAGCAAUAUCUCCUAGUCAAGAAGAUUAUCAAUCUCAUCAACUUUGCUCUACUUCUUCUCAAGUGUUUUCAGAGCAGCCUCUUCUUUUUUUCAUACAUUCUUGUCCCAGCAGCCUCUUCAAGCAUAGAUAAAAUCCCUGGAGGUUUCAUGUUUAAGACCUUCGUGAUGCGCCCUUGCAUUAUGAGAAAAUGUGGGUUGUUAACAUUGAGCUGUACAGAGUGGAAAGGGUUUUGAACUCAACUAGGCUGGGCAAGGUGUCUAUUUAUUAGGUAUUUGUUCCUUCCACCAACCACAAUCUACCAAGUAAGCAAACAAUUCUAGACUAAGUUGGAAUAAAAGCAAUGCAUUGACGGUCCAAAAGGACAUUAGCAUAGCACUAGUUGGAGCAAACCGAUUAUAAGGUGUAUUACAUAUGCUACCACAUAAAAGUGACAAUUAACUUUUGGAAAAAUAUGUGACAUGACUUAAUGCUGAUUAAUUUUGGUAAUAUGUGACAUGACUUAAUGCUGAUUAAUUUUGGUACCAAUUUGCCUUGGAAAAUAAAGUCAUGAUCCAAACAGUAAUAGAAUAGAAUUCUUGUUAUUUAGUAAAUCCUGAAAUUAUUAUUUUGUCUUCUUUUUUUCCAAUUUUUAUGUUUUUUACCAUCUAGAAUGAAGCCAUCCACAGAAGAAGCAAAAUAGUUUUAAAAAGUCAUAAGAAUUUGAUCAGUUUUUAACACCCUUAAAGAACAAUGUUUAUACCAGAGUGAAGAGAAAAAACUAGACUAAGUUCUUAUGUUAUUAAAAAAAAUAAAAAUAAAAAGGAAAAAAUAAAAAGGAAAAAAUAAAAAAGAUAAGAUUUGUCCUCCAUUUAGUUGCUGAGAAAGGUAGGAAAACAAAACAUCGGAUAAAAUUUUGAAUCUUCAUGUUCCAUUACUAAGGACCGUGGAUCUGCAAACCUCACCCAACUCAAUGUACCACAACUGUUCAGCUUACUUAGGAUAUUUUUCAGUUGCAGACACAAACACCACAUAAACAGGAUAUUUGCCUCUCGUCUCAGCAAGCAAACAGGAAGUUCUUGAAAUUACCAAAAACUAAAAAGAAAAAUGAGAUAAUUUCAUUUGUUGCGAGUUUAAGCACCACAAAAAAAAAUUGGCUGUGCCCGAAAGAUUGGCCUGUUUCACAUCAUGGGUAACCAAAGAAGAAAGAAAGAAAGAAAGAAAUCCAAAAAGUAAAAAACUAAUUACACUGAAAACAGGCUUAAAUCAUAUCCAAAGGAUCAUGCAAUUUCUAAAUACAAGCAAACAUGCUUCAUAAUUUCACCCAUAUUAAGCUUUCUUCUUUCAAAUUUGAACAAUCUAAAACAUACAUACCAAAAAAAUAACAUAACAUUACAUAAUAGUAUAACAAUACUUCUCAACAGUUCCCCAGCAACCAAACAGGACAUCUUUCUUUUUCAUUUUAAUGCAGUUGUCAAAAUGGCUAUAAAAUACACUAAAAAACUAAAAAUCAGUGCGAACCCCACACACCUGCCGUAUUUUCGUAAUUUCUGGACAAUCCUGGUAGCCGAGCGGACUCCGACUCCUAUCAGAAUUAUCAAACACCACCGACACGGUGGCCUUGGUAAUCCCAGCUUGGCCUUGCUUAUAGACCAGCUUCUGGAGAUUGGAAGCCAGAACCUGCCGCAAAUUGGUAAUGCCCAACACAAAGCAGAUGGAGUCAAGAAUGUUGGACUUGCAGGAACCAUUAAGGCCGGUGAUGGCAUUGAAGUAGGGAUCGAAGCCAGGGACGACCGUGCGAGUGGCGUAGGAUUUGAAGCCCUCCAAGCAGAUGUCCUUUAUGUACAUUAUUGGGAUGAAAUUGAAACCCUAAGGGGGAGAGCUGAAGAGAGUGGUUUCGGAGAUGGAUACCCUAGAGUUCGAGAGAGGGAGUGGGGAUUUUGGAGGGCUUUUGAAAUGAAUGUCUCUUUAUUUCAAAGGCGGGAAAUGACUGGAUUUUUAUUUUUAAUUAAAAUAUUAUAUAAACAAAGUAUAACUGUUAACACGUCAGCGGGGAUAGGUCAGUUGGGAGAGCGUCUUACAUUAUUUAUCCUUUUACUUCUCUAUUUUCUAUGAGGCCCAUCAUUAAAUUCCUUUUUUCCUUUUCUUUUUUUUAUCACACUUGAUAAUAUUUAGGAUUUUUUUUUCAAAUUUGAGUUUUUAAAUAAAAUUUUGUUCUCAAAAAUUAAGUAGGAAUUUUUAAAAAUAAAAUUUUUCUACAACUAUUUUCAAGAAAAUUGUUAAACUACAUGCUCAUUUGAUCAUGUCUUAUGAUGUUUGUUUUUAAAAAUUAUUAAUUUUUAUAUUACAAGUCAGCACUGGUACGUAAUAGUCACAUUGAAUGUUUAUAUAAUAAAAUGUUUCUCUAUUGUCAUUUCGAGUGACAAAAUUCCACAAAUUGAAACAUUCAAUAUACAAAAUAACUACCCGUGCAUAUAGUUAGUUCUCUUAUUUAUUUUUUCAUAAAAUAUAAAAAUAAAAUAAAAUAAAAUGAAAAUUAUUUAAAGUGUCUCCAAUAAUAAAUAGCAAUGUAGUGUUAUUUUUAACAUUGAUAAUUGUUUUUCAUAACAAAUGCCAAAUUUUGAUGGAUACUUCAAUAACAAAUGUUAAAAAGAAUGUUUUGUUUUAGUGUUAAUACCAUAAUUUUUAAAGCUUAAAAAAAACAAAUGAUUGAGUUUGAAUUUAAUUUUCAUUUUCUUUUUGUUCUCAUUUCCCUCUUUAUUGCGUCUCUACUUUUUUUUCUCUAUACUUUCCCUUCUAUUUUUUAUAAUUCAAAGAAAACUUGGAUGUGAUUUUUCUUUUAUAAAAUAAAAGAUGAUUUAUGCUCUAGCGCCAAAAAACAAUCUAAAAGUCUAUUUGAUAUAUAUAUACAUUGCAAUUGAACUUUUAAAUUAAUUUACUACCAUUUAUUACAAAUUUCUCAAGUGCUACUACUUGUAGAAUAAUAUAAAAGUCCAUUAGACCUUGUGAUUUAAUAACAGUUUUCUAUUUUUAAAAAUAAAAAAUUAUUUUUUAAAAUUUAUAAUACGAUUUGACCGUUGUUAUCUGAAAACAAUUUUUAAAAACAAAGUAAAAUAUAGAAUUAUUUUUAAAGAAUAAGUAGGAGUUGUUUUCAUUGGUUUAAAAAAAAAACAUGAGCCCAUUUUGUCAUAUUUUUCAAACUUAUUUUUAAAAAUUGUUUUUAAGUUAUAAAAUAAAAAAUAAAUUUUAAAAAUAAGUUUUAGAAAAUAUAAUUAAAUUUUUAGCCAAAUUCCACUCAAUAUAAAUAUGAGCUUUUCUCAAAAUAAUUAAUUACAAUUCCCGACCCAAGGUGGGCUCAAAGCAUAAGCCAAGUUGGGCUUAGGAUUAAACUUGAUCUAAAAAUUAAAUUUCUAAUUGGAUAUAUGACUUGUUGGGCCUUGUUACGGCCAACUGAGCCCAAGCCAAGGCAAUCACUUAAGGUUGAAGAUGGGACAUUAUAUUAGCCCAUUCCACAUCAGAACUCAUAAGCUGAAGUCCAAGGUUGGUUCAAAAAAUUGGGGCUUGAGAUUGGGUGUUGCAACAUCUUGGACAUGGGCAUCUAUCCCCACCUGGAAAUUAUUGCUCACCAUAUUUAUGUUAUAAAAGUCUAUAAUGGUUUUGGAAAUUCUAUCCUUAUUCCUCCAUUUUUUUUACUAGCAAAUAAAAUAAAAAUUAUAUUUACAUUCGUGUAAGGAUUUAAUAAUAUCAGCAAAUAUACAUGUCGAUUUGAUAGGGUGGUGGGUCAUUGAAUCAAGUUAAGUCAAAUCGGAUUUAGCUAGUCAACAAGUUAUAAUUACAUUUUACAUCAAUUUAAUGAGGAAUUUUGUAUAAAAAUAAAAUCACAUUAAAUCAACUUACUAUCUCUUGUAGUUGAUAUACAUUUAAUAAGGAAUUGAUUGUCAAAUUUAUAAAAGUCAUAUUUUAAUGGGCUAAUAUUUGAAAUUAUAAUAAUUUCAUUAAACAUAUCAACUUUUAAUGUAAGAGAAAAAGGCCUCCAUUAGAAAUAGUAUCAUUAUUCUUGCUCAUACAUAUGAAAACUCUUACUAAGAUUAAAGAGGAGCUUUUAGUUUCAAAGAAGAAAAUCCAAAAUAACAUUUGGCUCUCCUUAGUCUUAUGGAAAAUUUUAUUUCAUAGGAGGAAAAGGAGUUACUAUGUUUUAAAAUUUGGAAAAAAAAAAUUAAAAAGUUACGAUUUAUAAGUUUUAGAGUAUUUUGAAAAGUUAACUUUUCUAACAUAGUAUAUUAGCCGAGUAGUGCCCAAUACUUCUAUUUUCAAAUUAUUUCUUAUCACUCAACACACAAAGUCAACAAACUUCAUUUUCCUACAAAUGAAAUGAACAUCAAAAUUAGAAAAGAAAAGAAAAAACCAGCAUAUUGGUUUUAUAAAAUAAUAAGUGGAAACAAUCUUGCUUUAUUUUUGACAAAAUAAUAACUUGAAUAUUUGAUUUGGUUGUUUUGAUGUAGAUCCAAGAAGUUAAGGAUAUGCCUUUAAAAUGGAGUGAUUAAGGGUUAUAGGUAGUCAUGCUUGAUUCUUCCUCAAAGUUGUUAAACCACCUCUGAAGUUGUGAUGAUUUUGGUCUAACAAGUUAAAAAUUAGCACUUACGAUUAUGUUUGGUUUUGUCAUAUUACUCAAUACAAGUUUAACAUGUGUCAUAUCCUUCAUCAAACUCAUUGAAGAACAUUUUAAGUUGUCUUAGAUUUUGGAGUUUUUUUAGGUCUCUUGUUGUAUUUCCCUGAAGAGACCAAUAUUUAUGGGUGGAGUUUGGAUACCUUAUUUGGCAUCCUAAGAUUUGAUUUUAUUGAUUCUAAAAAUUUAAUUCAUUGAUUGCAUUACUUUGUCUUUUCUUAGAUGACAUUUUACUACUGCCAACAAGAGAAUAAAUCCUCUUAAUUUCCUAUAAUUUGAUUUGAUUUUCUUUUGCAAGGUAAUUUUCUUCCAUGAGGCAUUUUUAUGUAUGGUUUCACAAAAUGAUAUGAAAGUGCUUCUAUAGUCUAGUGAUAGUUAUUGAUUUUAUGGUUUAACAAAAUGAUGAAUAUUGAAAAUUAUGGAUAGCCAAGUGGUAUUCCACCUUAUAAUGUCAAUCUCUUAAUUAUUGUAUGAAUACUUUUGCUUUAGGAUAGUAUUUCAUAAAUUUAAAGAGCUUUUGAUAUAGUAUUGAAGAAAAAUUGCAUUAACAUGGAACACAAUCAUAUAAGGUGAAUUAAAGGGGUUUAAAAGUAAAAUAUGGAAUUCUUUUAUUUAUUAACUUAUUAAAUUUUUAUCUUUUACUAAGAAAGAGAAUAAAUUGGAGAAUGGUUAAGAACAAACGGAGUUCAAAUUUUACUUUUUAUUUUCUAUUUUCUUUUACCUUCUAAAAUUUUCUUUUAUUUUUUAUUUUAAUUUUUUAGUCCAUUCAAUUUGAGAUAGCUAGAUAAAUAUAGUAUCAUCAUAAUCAUAUAUGUAUAUUUAGGUUGUUUGUUAUUGGGACUUUUACUAAAUUUGUAUACUUUACAUUAAGAUCUAGCAUUUCUUUACAAUGGUCUUAUAUAUUAGGUAAAAAAAAUUAUUUUAUAUAAAUAUUUUUCAAAAAGUAUUUGCAAAAUGUCUUACGUGAAAAAAACUCCAAGAACUCAAUACUCUUGUUAAAAGAAUUUAUAAAUACACAAUCUUGUAACUUUAUAGGUUAUAAUAAGACCUAGCAUUUCAUGAGGAGGGAGAAUUUUAAAAAAUUGUCGGUGGUUGGGCAAAAGAACUUAAAAACUUUAUGACUAAUAAGCUUUGUAAAAGUUAAACAAAAAGCAAGUCUUAGUUGAUUGACUUGACUCUAAAUCAUUUAAAAUCUAAUGAUUUUGCCAAAAAAAAAAAAAAGAGAGAAAAAAGAAAAAAGAAAAAAAUGUGACCUUAAAAGCAAAUACAACUAUAGUUCUAAAAUUUUAUUUCCAAAAUAUAUCUUCUUGUGAGGAUACAAAAUUGACUCUAAAGAAUUAAUAUAGUUUCAUAUUAAGUGUAUCUAUGUCCAAGAUUUUUUUUUUUUUUUUUUUUCUAAAUAAUGCAUUGUUUUUUAUAUUAAAAAGAAAAAAAAAACCUUUUAAUGUCAAUCUCUUAUUUUAUAAAUAAUUUUACUUUACAACAUAAUACUAUAAAUUUUAAAAACCUCUAAUUUAAUAUUGAAGAAAAAUUGCAUUUGCAUGUACACAAUCAUAUAAUAUAAAUCAAGAGGGUACAUAAGAAGUAAAUACCAAACACACGAGCAUAAGAAAAGGUGAAGAAGUAUAUAAAUUAAUAAAAUGUUUAAUGAUUAUUAUUAUGUAAUUGUGUCCUUUAAACAUUAUUAAUUUUUUAAUGGAAUCAUACAAAUUUUCUUUUUUGUAUAAAGGUAAACACAAACAUUGAAUUUUGAAAAAAAAAAAAAAAUUCAAGAAGCAUUUGCAAACAUUUUUGCAUGUAAAAAAAAAUCCUAGAUGUUGCAACUUAUAUUAAUUAGAUAAUUACCACGUUGUAUGUUAGACUUGACAAUUUAAGUAAUGAAAAUUUGAUGAAAACUUUAUGCUUGAUAAUACAUUCCCUAACAUUAUUAGUGGUGGUAAUCUUGUAACAUACGAUAAUUAGACUUGAUAAUGCAAAUUAACACCAAGUACCAUGAGAAAAUAAAGGAAAAAUGAGUGUCUCUCGUGUUUGUAGGUGAUAAAAAGUUAUUAAAUGAAGAACAAUAUUUAUAUUUUUUUAAUUUUCAUAAAUUUUCUUUUCAUUAUAGUAGAAUGCAUACCAUCCUACAAGAUAAAAUAAAUGUAAAAUUAGGGAAAGAUUAACAAGCAAAGUUGAAUGGAAGUAAUAUAUAAGUCUUGCUUUACUUGUAGUGGUCUUCUUUUUAAUAUAUUUUGUGCUUUAUAUGCCAUUGACUUCAUGAGAUGUUUCAAUUAAUUAUUUAUGAAUUAAAGUGUGUGGGAAGAGAAAGGCUAAUAUGCUUAUUGAAAACAUAGACUUUGGACAAUUAUCUUAUUUUUUUCUCUCUUUCACACAUGGUAGUGGUGUUUACUCAUAAAUUUUUUGAUGUUCUUUAGUAGGUAGAGAUAUUGUCAAGUCAAGUCAAUUGAUAUUGAAAACAUAGACCUUGGUUAAUUAUCCAUUUUAUUCUCUUUCACACAAGGUAAAGGUGUACAUUGAUAUUUCUGUCUUUUGCAAAGGAUACAUUACCUUUUUCUUUUGUGAGUUUUUUCGAGUCAAGUCAAUAGAUCCAUGGGUGGAGGAGAAAAAACAAACUAACAAACAUGGACCUUAGACCAUUACUUUUUUCUCUUUCACACGUGAUAGUGGUCUUAGUUCACAAUUUUUUCUAUGUCCUUUGAUAAGGGUAGGGACUCUUCAUUAUUAUCUCUCAUGUUGUUAGUUUCCAUCUUUAAUAUCUUACAUGCUAUCUUAUUCCAUCUUUAACUUGUAGUUUGGUGGCAAGUCUAUUUAUUGUGACUUGUAAGUCAAGUAUUUGGAAAAUUUGAGAUUCUUUUUAGCAAGACUAUUAAGUCUUGAAUUUAUUCUUUCAUAAAAAUUCUCUAUAGAAUUUAAGUAAAAAAUUUAUGUAAAAUAUAAAAAAAAAUUUAAAGAAAUGAAAUAUUUUGAAUACACAUAACAACAUAUUUGUGGGAAAAAGGAAAAGAGUGAUAAAUAGUGAUUAAAUGAAAAUAAAUAAAUAUAAAAAUGGGGGGAAAAACAAUAAGAAAAGUUGAACAAAAAGUAAUAUACAAGUCUUGCUUUUUUAGAAAAGUAAAGUUGAAUUGUGGAUGUCCCAAUUCACUAGCUUGACUUCAAAAGCUAAGAUGCAAUGAUGCUUUAUGCCCUUGAGAUCAUGAGAUGUUUUAAUUCAUUACUUAUGAAUUAAAGAAUUAGGUAGACCUAGAAGAAGGUAAAGACUAAUAUGGUUAUAUGGUUGUUAAAAAGUUAAAAAAAAAAAAAAAAAAAACCUUUGCUUUGGGGACAUUUCCUAGUUGAUUGACUUGACUUUGAACUAUUAUACAAAAGAACUUCAAAAAUAAAAAUAAAAAUAUAGCAAAAUAAGAAAUGUAGUUGUAUAAUUAAAUACAACUAUAGUUCUAAAAUUUUAUUUCCAAAAUAUAUCUUCUUGUGAGGAUACAAAAUUGACUCUUAAGAAUCAACGGAGUUUCAUGUAAAGCAUAUCUAUGUCGAGGAAUUUUUUUUUUCUCAAAUGAUGCAUUGUUUUUUAUAUCAAAAAAAAAAAAAAAAACCUUUUAAUGUCAAUUUCUUAUUUUAUAAAUAUUUUUUCUAUACAACAUAACACUAUAAAUUUAAAAAGCCUCUAAUUUAAUAUUGAAGAAAAAUUGCAUUUGCAUGUACCCAAUCAUAUAAUAUAAAUUAAGAGGGUAUAUAAGAAGUAAAUACUAAAGACAUGAGCUCAAGAGAAGGUGAAUAUGUACAUAAAUUAACAAAAAAUUUAAUGAAUAUAAUUAUAUGAUUGUGUCAUUUAAACUUUAUUGAUUUUUUUAAUGGAAUCACACAAAUUUUCUUUUCUUGUAAAAAAGUAAACAUUGGAUUUUUAUAACAAGAAAUAUUUGCAAAUAUUUUUGCAUGUAAAAAAAAUCCUAGAAGUUUACACUUUUACCAAAGAAUCUACAAAUACAUCAUCUUGCAACAUAUUAAUUAGAUAAAAUUAUUACUUUGUAUGUUAGACUUUAUACUUUAUACUUGAUAAUACAUGCUUUAACAAUUUGGUAAAUUUUUUUAUUAAUGGUAGUCUUGUAAGAUAUGAUAAUUAGACUUCAUAAUGCAAAUUAACACCAAGUACCAUGAGAAAAUAAAGGAAAAAUGAGUGUCUCUCGUGUUUCUAGGUGAUAAAUGGUGAUUAAAUAAAUAACAAUAUUUAUUUAUUUUUUAAUUUUCAUAAAUUUUGUUUUCAUUAUAGUGGCAUGCAUACCAUCCUAGGAGAUAAAAUAAAUGUAAAAUUGGGGAAAGAUUAACAAGAAAAGUUGAAACAAAGUAAUAUAUAAGUCUUGCUUUACAUGUAAUGGUCUUCUCUUUAAUAUAAUUUAUGCUUUAUAUGUCAUUGAGUUCUUGAGAUGUUUCAAUUAAUUAUUUAUGAAUUAAAGUGUGUGGGAAGAGAAAGACUAAUAUGCUUAUUGGAAACAUAGACUUUAGACAAUUAUCCUAUUUUUUUUUCCUCUUUCACACAUGGUAGUGGUAAACACUCGUAAAUUUUUCCAUGUCGUUCUUUAGUAGGUAGAGAUAUUGUCAAGUCAAGUCAAUUGAUAUUGAAAACAUAGACCUUGGUCAAUUAUCCCUUUUCUUCUCUUUCACACAAGGCAAAGGCAUACAUUGAUAUUUUUUAGUAGGUAGAGAUAUUGUUAAGUCAAGUCAAUUGAUAUUGAAAACAUAGACUUUGGUCAAUUAUCCAUUUUCUUCUCUUUCACACAAGGUAAAGGCAUGAAUUGAUAUUUCUAUGUCUUUUGCAAAGGAUACAUUACCUUUUUCUUUUUUUUGAGUUUUUUCGGGUCAAGUCAAUAGAUCCAUGGGUGGAGGAGAAAAAACAAACAAACAUGGACCUUAGACCAUUACUUUUUUCUCUUUCACACAUGAUAGUGGUCUUAGUUUAUAAAUUUUUCUAUGUCCUUUAGUAAGGGUAGGGACUCUUCAUUAUUAUCUCUCAUGUUGUUAGUUUCCAUCUUUAAUAUCUUACAUGCUAUCUUAUUCCCUCUUUAACUUGUAGUUCGGUGGCAAGUCUAUUUAUUGUGACUUGUAAGUCAAGUAUUUGGAAAUUUUGAGAUUCUUUUUAGCAAGACUAUUAAGUCUUGAAUUUAUUCUUUCAUAAAAAUUCUCUACAAAAUUUAAGUAAAAAAUUUAUGUAACAUAUAACAAAAAUUUAAAGAGAUGAAAUAUUUUGAAUACAUAUAACAACAUAUUUGUGGGAAAAAGGAAAAGCGAGAUAUUCUAAUCUUACUUUCUUAUCCCUUAUUUUUAAGAAUGUUCCAAUUAAUUGCUUUAGAUAAAACAUGUUUUCAAAGCAGAUGGACGUAGAAAAAUUAAAGUUCUGUGAAAUCAUGAAAAAUAGGAAGGAAAGUACAAAGGAAAAAAAAGAAGGAAAAAUAAGGAAGGGAAAAGAAAGAAAAACAAAGAAAGAGUUGAACAAUUUUUUCUCACACACUUUCAAAUUUAUGUUUGUACUUUUCUUUUUAUACAACUAAUAAAGAUUUGAAGAUGCUUAAAUAUUUAUAUAAUUUUUAUUAUAUUUAUUUCUCUUUCUAUCAUACAUCCAACUAGAGAAUUUAGACUUUUUUAACUUUAUUUUUAUUUUUUUAUAAUAGUUUCCAGGAUCUGAGUGGUAUCUAAAAUAUCUUAAUAUUGCACAUACUUCAAAAAAUUGUUUUAAUUUUUUCCCAUCUUCUUUGCUUGUUGAGCACUAACAAAACAUACUGUUGAACACAUGUUGUCCCAAUCUUAGGGUGUAAUUAUUUGAAAGAUGGUAUUCAGGUCCACAAGAAUAGUAGCCACUUUAAAGAUGCAUUGAGGUCCACUAAAAUGAUAGCCACUUUAAAGAUUUAUUUUAGGGGUCUUCAUAAGUCUCUUUUUUAUUGUCAUUUUUCUUUUGGUGAUCUUAGUAGAGUUUUAAAUAAAUAUGUUUUUCCGAACCUAAAGAAAUAGUAAAAUCUUAUAUUAAGAUAAAUAACAAGGAUCCGACCAAAUUUUAUUGAAGUGACAUGUUAUUUUAUUACAUAAUAGUUGGAAUGCCUUAUAAUUGGUAUUCUUAUAAAAUUUUAUAUUUUAUAUUUAAAAUCUUCUAUUUCUUCAAUUUUUUUUAUAUAUUAGACUAAAAAUUUUAAGUACUUACUGAAAAUUUCAUAUGAAAAAAAAAUCUUAAAUGUCUACAAUGUUGCUAAAAUAGUUUCAUAAAAAUCUUAAAUGUUAAGGCCUUGUGUGUUGGAAUCAAAUGAUUUGGUAUUAAUAGUAAUUUACUAGAAAUAUUUUAUUUCAUUCACUACAACAAAAAUAAUUUAUGGUGUCACUUUUAAAAUAAUGACACCAUAUGACUUAAAAUUCAUAAAGGUGACACAUCAUAUAAAAAUUUUUAAUUAGGAUAGGUGAUAUUAAUUUUAAGUUUAGUGUCAGUUUUAAAAAAGUGACACCAUAUAAAAUAAAAUUUUUAAAAUAUUAUAACUAAAUGGGCCCACUUUGAGAAUAAUGAUUGUAUAUAAAAAAAACUCAUUGUUUCCACAUUCCCACAAUCCAAAAAAAUCUCAUUCCAUAACCCAUAACCAUAACUUUCUUCUACCUCUCUUCUCACACCCAUAGUUCACACACAACUGCUCUUCUCUACUUCAUGAACUCUCAGGUAACCCAAAAUCUCUUAGAUCUAUCAUUUUCUUUUUUUUUUCUUUUUUUUUAUUAAUACCAAAAUCUUCAUUAGCACAACUGAUUUACAUUCAUUGAUUUGGUAUAUUUGUAAUGUAGAUUGUGUAAAUAGUGUUUUUUUUAUUGAGUUGUAGGAAAGUAAAAAUUAGGCUUAACAUUCCACUAUAUCUUUUGUUUCAUUGUUAAAUCCAUAAACCCCAAAACGAAUGAAAAUAAGAUAAAUGAAUGAUUUUUUAAUAUCUUUCAUACUCAAAAUGAGGGAUAAACAUUUUACAGUAUGAAAUUUUCUUUUGAUCUUACAAGAAAUUUCUUUUGAUGAGAUUUUAUGUUUGUUUUCUAGGAAUAUUAUAGUAUAUUGUGAUGAGGAUAUGUAUCGGUGAUAUUUGACAAAUAAUUUUUUAGAAAAUUAUUCUCAAUAUUGUCAUCUCCCACAAAAGGAAAAAUGAAAUAGUUUCCAUAUCAUGUUGGAGUUGGUUUAGAAUGUUGGAAUUAACAAUGAGAAAUUAAUUUUAUUUUCUAUUUAUUAAUGUAAAUGAAUUGUUCUUUAAAAUUUAAAUAGGAAUGAAAAUUUUUAUAAUUAUAAAAAUGAUCAAAUCUCAUAUUUUGAUUUUUUUUUUUUAAUUCUUUUACAUGGUAUUAUGGUUAAUAUCUCAUCUUGUUCUAUUCAUUUAUUUUUUUAAUCCUUAAAAUAUUUUUUUGUUUUUUAUUUUUACCUUCUUUUCUUAUUGUUUUUAUAUGUGUUCACCAAAAUUUAGAGUAAUUUGAGAUUGAUGAUGAAAUUUCUCUUUCAAGGUUAAAAAAUUUCUAUAAAAUCCUUUUAUUACAUAAAUUUUCCUUCCAUAAUUUUUGAGAAAAUUAUUCUCAAUAUUGUCAUCUCCCUCAAAAGGAUUCUAAAAAUUUGUUUUUUUUUUGUCUUCUUUUCUUAUUGUUUUUAUAUGCAUUGACCAAAUUUUGGAGUAAUUUGAAAUUGAUGAUGAAAUUUUCCUUUCAAGGUUAGGAAAUUUCUAUAAAAUCCUUUUAUUACAAAAAUUUUUCCAAUCCCUUCCAUAAAACUCUUCAUUUUCUUCAUUUUUCUUUUUUCUAAAAAGAUAUUUGAUAAUUUAUUGAUCUAAAGAUUAUCAAAAUUAAAAUCUAAAAUAUUGAAUAUCUUUUCCUUUGAUGUUUUUAAUCUUUUAUUAUUUUUAUUUGAACAUAUUUUUCAUAUCCAGAUUUUUUAUUAAUUAUUUUAAUUAGAAAAAAUAAAUAUUAAUUGGAGUUAUGACUGAAAAAUUAAUAAUUUUUAUGAAAGGUUCUUUAAUUCUUUCUCAUACUAAUUUUUUUCUUAAUAUUUUUUAAUAAUGAAUUAGGUUUUUUGUCUUAUAUACACAAUCUUCAAGCUUGUUAUAAUAUCAUGUCCUCUCAUAUUAAUAGUUGAAAACAUUUUUAUAUUUUGUUACUAAAAUUUUAUUUUAUAUAAUUGAGAUGAAAUUUAAUGGACAUUGUUAUUUCACAAAAUGAACAUUAAAAAAAUAUUGAAAUUAAAAAAAAUCCUUCCAAGAAAUAAAAAAAUAUAUAAAAAGAAUUAAAUGUUAAAAAUGAUUUUUAAAAGCACAAUGAAUUAUAAAAAAUAAAUUUAAAAAGUGCAGAUUUUAAGUGGAAGAUUACUAUUUUCUAAAAUUUUAGAUUUAUUUUGUGAUUUUCUAGUUUUUCUUUAUUUUUUAUUUUCUUGAAUUGUUUUUAUUUGAGUUCAAAUGUGACUGCUUUGUUAUGAGAUUCAUUAAAGAGAUAAUUGUUGAUUCUACAAUUAUUGUAUUAAAUGUUUUACUCAUUUAAUGAAUUGUACUUAGUUUCAUACUUCCAAUUAUUAUAAUAUUAAUGUUAUUCUCAUUUUAUUUCAGUUUUAUGAUAAAAAAAAAAAAACCAUAUUCUCAGGUAGAAUUUGAUGAAAUUAGAGGAGAAUUAACUUCUUUUGUGUUAUAACUAAUCAUGAAUCAUAUUGAUAAAUCAUGAUCAUGCAUGGUGAGUCCCUUAGUUGUUAUAUGAAUUUUCCAUUGGUAUUGUAUAACAUUACUUAUUCUUUACAAAUUAUUUUUAUAUCAAAAUGGGAAAAAGAAAAAAGAAAACAUUAGUACUUAGAUUUGUUUAUUUUUUAUAACAUCAAUUAAUUUUUAUUUUCAAUAAAACUCAAAAUCUCAUUAAACUAUGAAAUGCAGGUAUACACUCUUGGGAAGACAUUAUGAAGAAUAAAAAGAAAGGAGAAAGAAACAACAACAUUUUGGGUUUUUAGAUAUGACUCUUAUGUCAUAUAUUAUAGGACAUCAAUGUUACUUUAUUUGGUAUUGAGAAUUUUGGGUUUUUGGAUGCAACUCUUGUGUCAUUUUAUGAUUAGCCGGUUUUAUGCAUAUGAAAUGCAGGUAUACAUGAAUGUUGGAAUGCUUAACAUUUCUAAAUCAUAUUUUAAUAUGUAUUCACUUUUCUUUUUUAGUUUCGGUGGGUUUGAUGUACUAUCAUUUUGUAAACAUUUGAUAUACAAAUAUCACUGCAUGAUGUAAUGUAUUACAGGUUAAUCCAUAAGCAUUACGAAAAUAUAAGUUAAAUAUGAUAUGAUUAUUAUAUUUAUGGACAAAAUAUACAUAAGUUGAUCUUAUUUGUUAAUAAACAUUACAAAAAUCAAUAGGCUAAUUAAUAAAAAAUAACCACAUCUUCCAUAAUCAUUUACAAUGAUGUAACACCAUAACUCAAAGGUGAUGCAUUUAAUGUGACACCAUAACUAAAAGGUGAUGCAUUUAAUAUGACACCUUAUAUAUCUCAUGCAACUCUAUAUCAAAUUAAGUAUAACUAAAAAUAUAUGGUGUCGCUUCUGAAUCCUUUUAUGGUUAGAAAAUUGAUUGAAACUCUUCUAAAUUCCUAGAAAGAUUAUUAAGACAACAUGAAGCACAAAAAGAAAUAAAUGUCCUUGAAAAAUGUUAUUAUCCAUAUUUUAGGACCGAUCAUAAAAAAGAAUCAAGUGGUUGUUGAUCAUCCCACUUAAGAACUUGUUUGGAUAUGUAGUGAUCUACAUUAUAUUUUUGUUUUGACAAUUUAAGAGGUUUGUUCUUGGUUUUCUAUUUUCUUUCCAAUUCCUUCUUAAAAGAAAUUAGAAUCCUUUUAGGCUUACUUCACAUUAUGGAGUUAUAGGUAGAUUUUUUAAUUUCUUUGUCCUACCUCAAUUGUACUCCAAUAAUGUAUGUGAUUAAUUGGUACCCUAUUUGAAUUUGCAAGGCUAGCAUUAGCGGCUGGGAUGACUCUUGUUAAUUCAGGUUUGUGUUGAAAAUAUGCUUAAUCCAUCUAUGAACUAUUUAAUAGUUAUAGUAGAAUACCUUGAUACUUACACCACCCAUUUACUAAAUAAAUAACAAGACAUAACAUGUUUAAUAAAUAGGUUGGAUUGAAAUAUUAAUUAUGAAUUGAUACUUUUUACCCAUAACUUGAUAGCAUGAUUCUAAGUCGUUAAAUCGGUUAACAUGAUUACAAUCCAUUUAACCUCUUUAUGAUUUUGAAUUAAUAAAAUGUAUUUUUCAAAUAUUUUUCAAUUACUUUCAAGUUUUAAUUUCAAAAUUUUUCUAAAUCAUAAUUAAUUUAAUUAAUUGUAAUAUGCAAUAUGCUUAUAAGAUAAGAGAAAAAUCAAACUUUAAUUUUCACUUGUAUAGAGUUUUAUUUUAAUUUUUCAAUUAUAAAAUAUUUUUAAUCUUUAUAAUUUUUUAAAUAUAUAAAGUUUUACUCUAUUAGUUAUUUAAUUUGUUAAUUAAUUAAAAACUAUCAUUUUUUGAAUUUUAAUAUAUAUAAAAAUUAAUAAAUUUAAUGGUUAAACGAAUUAGUAUAUAAACAGGUUAUUUCUUGAACGUGUGAAAUUAGUCAAAAAUAAUUAUGGCACAAACACAAGAAUAUCCUAUCCAAACCUACUAAAAUUAACAUCAUCUUUUAGUUGCAUUGUGAAAUAAUGCCAAAAUUUUCACCCCCCAUUUUGCAUCUAACCAAGAUUCAAGAAUCAAUCUUGCUGAAAUCUUUUAAAAAUUUAUGAAAGAAAAGAGUAGUUGGUCUUACUUAACCAAUAUAUCCAACCCAAACCAACUAAAACUCCUAUAGUUUAUUAAUUCUCAUCCUCGUCCCAUUAAAAAAAUUAAAUAAGACGGGGCGAGACAGAACAAGUAUGUGAAUUUCCUAUACUUGUCCCACCCCGUUUAACUUUUUUAUUUUUAUUUUUUUUUUGAAAAAUUUUAAUUUUUUUAAAAAAUUAAUUUUGAUUUUUUAAUUACAUUAAAAUAAAUGUAUUUUAUAAAUAAUUAAAAUAUUAUAAUUUUGUAUAACUUAUUUUAUUGAAAAUAUUUGUUGUGGGUAGGUAUCGGAAAAACUAGCCCAAUUAUCAUUCCUAAUCAAAACCGAUGAGUCAACCUUGUCAAAAGUCUUCAAAAAUUUAAGGAAAAAAAAAAUAGUGGGGCCUUACUAGUUAUGAUUUUAGAACCAAUACUGUGUGAGAAGGGCUAAGCUUAAUGUUUGGAUUGGACAUAGCACUACGAAGUCAAUAAAAGUCGACAGUUGUCACAUCCUUAUUCACAACUUUGAUGACUUAUCGAUUCAACAAACCAUUUUUUCUUUCUCAUUUGUCAUUACUAAAUUUGAUUUGUCUUUAUCAAUGUACUAUGCAAGUUGAAUUAAAAGCCAUCUUAUGUAGAAAUGUCAAAUGUUUAUAAUUCAUAAAAUUGGAAAUUUGCUAGAAUUUCAAAUAUAAAUAUUUGAAAAUUUUAAGUUCUAUUUUCCAUCAAAACCUGAGAUAAAGUAGAAGGAAACUACGAGAAAAUUUCUAAGACAAAAUGCAUUCAAAUGGUGGGGUUAGAAAAAAAAACGACGGCUCAAGAAAUUUGAAUCAGUCAAACCUACCAUUCAGCUGAACCAAGUUGCUAAAAUGGUUUCAUAAAUUAAAAUAUAUAUAUGUGUAUAUAAUUGGAGAAAUUAAUUUGUGGAGAGCAUGUGGAUAAAUUAAACAUAUCCAAAUAUAUUAUAUAAAAUCUCAAGUCGAUAUAUAUGUAAUUUUUUUCAUGAGUUUCCUUUUUAAUCAAAUUCUGGUAAAAGAAAUAUUAAUAUUGCUUUGAAGUAUAAAAAAUUUUUGAUAAUUUACCUUCAGUAUUUAAAGCACCAAUAUAUGUUGGCUUACGAGAACAUUUAUUGGAGUUGGAUUCACUUGGCACUUUCAACGUGAGAGAAGUUUCUAGGAAAUUUGCUACAGUAUAAGAGAAAAAAAAACUGUACAAUUUUCCACAGAAGACCAUGAAAUUGAAUGAGUUUCCAUAGACUAUUUAACAAGAAAAUGUACUAACAAAAUUUUCCACACGAUGAAUAGAUAACAAUGAACUUGAAUGAGUUUCCAUGGACUAUUUAACAAUAAAUGAACAGAUAUUUUCCAUUGACUUGGAUGUUAUAUAAGACUUCCAUGUGGAAUUUUCAAGUGCCGUGUGAUUUCGGGAGGAAUGAAUGGAAAUUUUUUGACGAGUUAACAUUGUCUUAUUUAACAUGGGCCUUCCUACACAUAUGAUCUUUCAUUGGCUUUGAUGUUGUAUAAGACUUCCAUGUGGAAUUUUCAAGUGCCGUGUGGUUUUGGGAGGAAUGAAUGGAAAUUUUUGACGAGUUAACAUUGUCUUAUUUAACAUGGGCCUUCCUACACGUAUGAUCUUCCAUUGGCUUUGAUGUUGUAUAAGACUUCCAUGUGGAAUUUUCAAGUGCCGUGUGGUUUUGGGAGGAAUGAAUGGAAAUUUUUGACGAGUUAACAUUGUCUUAUUUAACAUGGGCCUUCCUACACGUAUGAUCUUCCAUUGACUUGGAUGUUAUACAAGACUUCCAUAUGGAAUUUUCAAGUGCCGCAUGAUUUCGGGAGGAAUGAAUGGAAAUUUUUGAUGAGUUAACAUUGUCUUAUUUAACAUGGGCCUUUCUACACGUAUGAUCUUCCAUUGGCUUUGAUGUUGUAUAACACUUCCAUGUGGAAUUUUCAAGUGCCGUGUGGUUUUGGGAGGAAUGGAUGGAAAUUUUUGACGAGUUAACAUUAUCUUAUUUAACAUGGGCCUUCCUACACGUAUGAUCUUCCAUUGACUUGGAUGUUAUAUAAGACUUCCAUAUGAAAUUUUCAAGUGCCGCGUGAUUUCGGGAGGAAUGAAUGGAAAUUUUUUGACAAGUUAACAUUGUCUUAUUUAACAUGGGCCUUUCUACACAUAUGAUCUUCCAUUGGCUUUGAUGUUGUAUAAGACUUUCAUGUGGAAUUUUCAAGUGCCGUGUGGUUUUGGGAGGAAUGAAUGGAAAUUUUUGAUGAGUUAACAUUGUUGUAUUUAACGUGGGCCUUCCUACACAUGUGAUCUUCCAUUGACUUGGAUGUUAUAUAAGACUUUCAUGUGGAAUUUUCAAGUGCCGUGUGGUUUCGGGAGGAAUGAAUGGAAAUUUUUGACGAGUUAACAUUGUCUAUUUAACGUGGGCCUUCCUACAUGUAUGAUCUUCCAUUGACUUGGAUGUUAUAUAAGACUUCCAUGUGGAAUUUUCAAGUGUCGUGUGGUUUCGGGAGGAAUGAAUGGAAAUUUUUGACGAGUUAAUAUUGUCGUACUUAAUGUGGGCCUGCCUACACGUAUGAUCUUCCAUUAACUUGGAUGUUAUAUAAGACUUCCAUGUGGAAUUUUCUAGUGCUGCGUGGUUUCGGGAAGAAUGAAUGGAAAUUUUUGACGAGUUAACAUUGUCAUAUUUAACGUGGGCCUUCCUACAUGUAUGAUAUUUAGAGUUAUAACAUUAUUGAUCUUGCAAAACAAUCUAGUAAAAAUUAUAAUAAUGAUAUAAGACAUAAUUAAAUGGGUGGGACAAGCGUGAGAAAUAGAGCGGUUGGCUUAGUAGAGAGAGAGAGAGAGAGAGAGAGGUCCAUAUGGGAAACAGUUGCUAAGGAAAUUACUUGGUCCUUUCUGUAUGUUCAGUCGUUGAAUCUAUCAACCUUCUAAUUCCAAAGUGUCAAAUGGUGAGAUAUUGUCCGCACAACAAAACUCUCACAUGCUGAAACACAGAGAAAUUAAGAGGGCAGUAGGCUUUUGUGUGUUGUUACCACAUGAUUUGGUAUUACCGGUAAUUUAUUAAAAAUAUUUUAUUUCAUUUUGCUUUAUUUGCAUCAACAUAAUUACAAACUUAUAUUUAUAAUAAACAAAUCAUCGUUGUAUAUGACUAAUUCAUAAUUACACUAAGAGUUUCAAUUAACAUAAUGAUCCUAAACAAAUAAAAAAUUUUAAUAUUUUUCGAACUCCUAAAAUACUUUUAAUUUGAAUUGAAGUCAGAUAAUUAUGACUUGUGGGUUAUGAUGAUUAUACUUGAGUGGUAACCUUGUAAGUUAUGAUGAUUAAAUUUAAUAAUACAAUGACCAGAUAUGGUAUGCAAAAAAUAAAUAAAAAUAAAAAUAGGAGUCUUUAAUGUUACCAAGUGAUAAAUAUUAAAUAAAAAUAAAUAAAUAUAAUAAUAGGAGAAACACAACAAGAAAAGUUGAACAAAAAGUGAUAUACAAGUCUUGCUCUUUCAGAAAAGUAAAGUUGAAUUGUGGAUGUCUCAAUCCACUAACUUGACUUCAAAAGCUAAGAUGCAAGGGUGCUUUAUGCCCUUGAGAUCAUGAGAUAUUUUAAUUUAUUACUUAUGAAUUAAAGAAUUAGGUAGAUUUACAAGAAGGUAAAAAACUAAUAUGGUUAUAUGACUGUUAUAAAAAUAAAUAAAAAAAUAAAAAAAUAUUGUAACAUCUCUUUCUUAUUCUUUGCUCGGGGGACAUGUCCUAGUUGUUUCACUUGACUUUGAACCAUUAUACAAUCAAAUUUCAUAAGUUAGUUGGAAACUAAAGUAAUGAUGCAAUCAACUUUUUUUUUUUUUUUUUUUUCCCUAGUUUGUGAAGAUGUCUUGAUUAAUGUGUUUUUCUUUGUAAUGGAGUUUCAAUAUGUUGAUAUAACUUAAAAUAAGAGAUUAAAGAUUUGUAAUUAUUUUUGGUCAAUAAAAGUAGAAAACUAAAAUAAGAAAAUCUUUCUUCCUCAUUUGUCAUUAAUUAUUAAUUAAAUUUGAUUUUGGAUCAAGAUAUGUUAAUGAAUUUACAUAAGUUGAGCUUUAAGGAAUCAUAUCAAAUAUUGGAGAGUUGUCAUUAAUUAUUAAUUAAUAAAAUUAGAGAUUUGCUAGAAUCUUAAUUAAUUUAAACAAAAGUGAUUCGAAAAAACAGUUUUUAUAAGAAUUUAUAACAUUCAAAAAUUGUUAUGUAACUUUUAAUAGUGCUGAAAAGAACUCCCGAAUAUUCAAAAAUUGGGUUCUAAAGAAAUCAAGGGUAGUGAAAACUGAAAAGCUACUAGCUCAGCUGUUGGAGGCCUUCCAACUGUGCAAAACCCAAAGGUUAAAACGACGUCGUUUUCUCAAACUGGGACGACGCCGUUUUGGGUUAGGACGCAGUGAAAUAAGAUUGAAUUCACAAUCGUUUCAUUAUUUGCCGCUUUUUCCAGUUGCCGGAAACGACAAAGCUUCACGGACUGAGUGGUAUAAGAAUUUCAAUUUACUUAAACAAAAGUGAUUUCAAAAAACAGUUUUUAAUACAAAAAUUAUGAAUUUCACUCUUCAAUAAAUAAAAGUGGAAGGAAUCUUGGUAUUGCGUUCAUAUGGUAGACUCAAACAGAUACUAUAUAUAUGUGAGUGCUUGGUCUCCUCGGAAUUCAUAAGAGAAAAACAGCAGUUGCAAAGCCUCUCUUCUAUUACUUGCAGACCAUGGCAGGACGGUCCUUUCAACACCUUCUUAGCUUUCUUGUGCUUUUGCUGCUAUGUGCCAAACCUGGCCUCGGGAAUGUUACUGGGUGCAUAGAGAGGGAGAGACAAGCUCUCCUUCACUUCAAACGUGGCCUUGUCGAUGACUAUGGCCUUCUUUCUUCUUGGGGAGAUGAACAUGACAACAGAAAUUGUUGCAACUGGAGAGGAGUCCAGUGUAGUAACCAGUCAGGUCACGUCAUCAUGCUUCAUCUUCAAGCCCCUCCUUCUGAAUAUGCUUAUGAGUACCAGUCUCUAAGAGGUGAGAUAAGUCCUUCGCUGCUUGAAUUGGAGCAUUUGACUCAUUUGGAUCUCAGCUGUAUUGAUUUUGAAUGGAGGCAUAUAC